rnacentral:lncRNA from 1 species
UAACUUUUAGGUUAAAAAUAACUCAUAAAUAAUUCAAAUUAACAAGAGAAGGGGAUAUGGUAGAAAAUUAAUAUAUUAAAAAAAUCACAACAACAAUUUAUUAUUGAACCAAAUAAAAUUCAAAAUAAAACAACUAUGUAAUCAAAUAAAGAACCAUAUCAAGGUUAAUUGCACAAGCUGAUCGAAGAACAUAUCAAGUUUUCAAACUAGUUAUUGUCAUACCAAGUCUGUCCUUGAAGAUAAAAAUUCAAAAUAAAACAACUAUGUAAUCAAAUAAAGAACCAUAUCAAGGUUAAUUGCACAAGCUGAUCGAAGAACAUAUCAAGUUUUCAAACUAGUUAUUGUCAUACCAAGUCUGUCCUUGAAGAUAAUCAAUGAUACUCUUAUCAACUUGAAAAGCUUUAGUAAGAACCUCGUCAGAAAUAGGGGGAUUAGAUUUAAAUAAAGCAUUUGCAAUAGUGAUAACUCCUGGAUUUUGACUGCUAAGUCCAGCGAUGGCAACAGCGUUGCCAUAUCCCACAUUUAGUUGAAAGUGAAUUAGACCGAUUGGGAACACAAACACAUCUCCCUUGUUGAGAACUUUGGUGAAAAGACGAUUUUUAUCUUGAUUGGAAGUGACAAAUCCAACAUAAAGAGUGCCUUCGAGAACUGUAAGGAUCUCAGUCCCUCGAGGGUGAAUGUGGGGUGGAUUUAAACCUUUGGGUGCAAAAUCAAUGCGAGCCAAAGAUAUUCCAAGUGUGUUUAGUCCAAACAGUUGGUCUACAAAUACUGGAGUCACUUGAGAGCCCAAUGCAUUUACGGGAUUCCCAGGAUCAAUAUGUUUGAAGAAAUCUUCAGCUUUAACUAGCGCAGGAUCUUUACAGAACUUUCCGUUCACAAAUACUGCAAAUUACCAAAGCAUAACAGUGAUAUAUUAAAAAGAAGAAAAUAAUAUUAAUUCUUAAUUAAACCAAAAAAAUAAUUUAAAUAGUAAGAAUUUGGGAGGAAUAUAUACAUACCACCAUCUUUAGGGUCUUUGAUUGCAACACAAAAGUCUUGGAGAGGGCUUGGGUCAUAAGCAAAGGAAACGGAUGCCAAAGCCAAAAUGCUAACAAGGAAGUAAAGAACUUUCAUUUUGCAACUGACUACUACUCUUUAAUGACUCUUGUUAUUAUGUAAAUUAUUAUUUGCUGGUGAGAAUUGAUUUAUGUUGCAUGUAUAGCUCUCUAUUUAUAAGAGUGCAAUAUUGAAGUGGUUUGCAUUUGAUCUUUACGGUAAUUAAUUUUCUAUUAAAGAAUGAACCAUUCUUUAACAACUACCGUGCUAAAUCUUCCCAACAAAGUCAAUCAAAUUUUAAAAUGGAAAGUUUUGGCUAAAUCAAAUUAAGAUUUAGACUUUGUCUUAUUUCUGGAUAUUUGAUUAUCACCAGUUGUGUUUUUUAAUAAAGAUGAAAAUUGAAUUGGUUUGCAAUUGAUCUUAACCUUAAUUAAUUUUGUAUUUUAUAAUGAAUCAUUAUUUCAUAACUUGUAUGUGUGCCUAAUUGCCUCACCAAAGUCAAGAAAAUUUAAAGGCAUUAAGUUGUCUACUUGUACAUGGUAGUUUUAUUUUGGUAUAUUCUUGGCAAAAUCAAAUUAAAAUCAGUAAAGACUUCUUCUUAGUUCUGACUUAAUUUUUGAGAUAUUCGGUCACAAUCAUAUAGCAUCACGCUAAUAUAUGUUCACAAGGCAGAAUAGAAAUAUCAUUUCAAAGUUACCCAGCCAAUAAAUAAUUAACUUGGCUUUCACUGUAAUCCAAAAUAUGAAAAAUAAAUAAUAAAAAACAUCUCACGCUAAUUAAGAAUGGUAGAUAAUUUUGCUUAAAAGGUGAUGCAUUGAUCUCGCUAUAUAUUAUAGCUAGAUAUUUUAUUUACUGGUUUACAAUGUAUUGGAUGUAUUAAAAAUGAAAGAUUGAAAUGUUAUGCUACCCGAAUCCGGUCUGGUCAAAUGGUCCAAUAAGACGGAUCUAAUUUAAAGGUUUAAUUCAAGAAUUUGCGUCUAUUCAAGCUGAAGAACAUGUGAGUUAUCGCUGAGAAGUCCGCACUGAAGUAAAACAUCACUUCAUCUCAAUCAUUAGGGUCAUCCAAUAGUCCUUGUGCAAGAUGUCACGUUUACCUGAGACAACUAUAAUCUUUGUUCUAUACAAGUCGCAUCACAUCAAGGUGCAAUAUUCAUUACAUACUUGCUAGUUCCGCCUCUUUGAUUUUUUUGAUUUGGUCUUUUGAGUGUUAACUUUGUAGAUACAUCUCAUUUCUAACAACUAGAGACGUCUAUUAUCGUACAAGAAUCUUUUCACAACAGACAUUCCUACUCUACUACUGUUAGCUCAUAAUUUUGACGCCCACUAAAGAAUCACCAAAAGGGAAAUCCUGUGUAGAGAUAUUUCGACCAGGAGGAGAUGUUCGACCAUGUAGAGGUAUUUCGACUGGAUAAGGAUAAUAAGAGUCAAAAUGCAGUUGUAGAAAUAUUUCUUAAAACGGUUGGAGACGGUUUUCGAUUGGAGAUUCAAAUUUUAAAUAAAGGAUGAAACUUUGCUCUUAUCUGAAACUGUUGAAGGUACACGUGGGGCAUAAUGGAUAGGUACAUCCAUGCAAGGUGCCAUGUGUCUCGACGCGAUUGAAGGGCCGUUAGAAACGGUUAUUUUGAUUAAGUAUAAAUAAAGGGUCUUAGUGUUAGGAUCAAGUGUAUGUGUCAAAUUGUGUAUAGAGUCUGUAAAUUUACCAAGUACCCGUGUGAAAAGGAACCGUAAAUUAAAGAAUGUACGUUUGUUUACACCAUUGUUAGUUAUUUUAAAGCAAUACAAUUCAUCUUUAUUUUUCUUCCAGAAAUACAUUUCUUUAUUUCUUUAUUUCAAACCGUCUCCUUUUACUUCGUUAUUUCAAACAGUCUUAAUAUUUCUUUGUUUCAAACACUUACUGUUGCCACUUGGUUAUCAUCAUAGUCUUUUACAAUUUUUCUCCUUAAUUCAUAUUAGCUUUUUACCGUAAGUUUUAAUCCCUAGUCUCACUAAUACUGUGGAAGUGUUCAUGAUUACUAAAAUUCAUUUUAAAAACAGUUCGCACAUGUCCUAGGAUCAAUCUGAUCGAUCUUGUGAGUAACCAAAUUUAGAAAUUUGAAAGAUCAGCGGUUGUUUACUAAUUUUCAAGGUAAACAAAUUGGCAUACCAGGUGGGUCUGUGCUAGUGUUUUGGGAAUUGUUUUUAGUUUUGGUUGUUAAGUCAUUUUUCCCUUUUUUCGGAAAGAAUUCGUUGUAUGUUAUUAAGGAGUGGUAAAGUAGCCACAAACAACGAACAACGACCAAAGAGAGAAUCACAUACGAGGAUGGCAAAUGUAAAUGCACCAGAUAACCAAAACUCUCAAAAUCCAUCAACCAGUAACAUAACGCCCCCUUCUUCUUCGAUGGGGGCGAACACAACCGCAAUACACGUGUUUGAAAUAGUUCCAUCUAUGGUAAGUUUGAUUCCUACGCAUUCGAUAUCCCAUACUGAACCGAUUUUAACCUACAUCGGGACUAGAGGGCCUCCACAUACUCCCGCGCCAAUUAGAGAUAUUCCAAACAUGACUUUGGUACCCCCUGGUUUAUCAAUACCAUUUGGUAGUUGAGAACAGCCUUACGGAAUGUCAACUUCAGUGAUGUCUAGUUUACACAACGCUGAUUCUACUUUCUCAGAACCAGUGGUUAACAUAAACUCUCCAGUACAAGGGUAUGGGGUUAACAUGGGUUAAAUCAACCAAUCUUUGGGUUUGAGACACCAGACACAACUACCUAGUCUUACAAAUAACUCUGAAGCAGUGUGGAGACAACAAAUGGACGAAAGUAACCAUGAGAUGGUCCAAAUGUUGACCCAAACAUUGACUACCGUAUUAAAUCCUCUGAUUCAAAAUACGGCUCAGUCGAAUCAAAAAAUGACGGAGCAGGUGGCGAUAAUGUCUGAUUUCUUGGGUGUACCACAGCUACAGCGACACCCUCCUAGGGAUUGGGUAAGAGAAAACUAGGGGGCCACUUUUGAAGAAGACCUUACUAUCAACCAGAUCCCACAAAAUCAAGUGCAACCAGAGAUGCUGAAUCAGGGGGUAGGAGUAGUACCCCCUAAGAUCGAACCACAAAUACCCAAGGAACCAAGGGUAGUAAUGGUAAAUAGAAACCAAAACGCCGAUGAUAUCAUACAACAAGUUCGACAUUACGAUUUGGCAGCAGAUAAUAAUCUAGCAGCCAUGGUCGAGAGGAUUAUGGUUCAAAUGGGGUAAGUUUCGACCUUCAAAGGCCAAAUUAUGCAUCACCUUUGUCAGAGUAUAUCUUACAGGCAGAAGCACCCCCUAGAACCAAAAUCCCCAAAUUUACUAUGUUUUUUGGGGAUACCACUGAAUCCACUGUCGAGCACGUGGCUAGAUAUUUAAUUGAGGCAGGAGAUAUGUCAAACAAUGAGAGCCUUAGAAUAAAGUUUUUUUCCAAGUUCUCUCACCUAGAAUGUCUUCACAUGGUUCACCACCCUACCCCAAAGUUCGAUCCACACUUGGAACCAACUAGAGAGAAUGUUCCAUGAGCAGUUUUACAUGGGACAAACGGAGAUAAGUAUUAAGGAAUUGGCUAGUAUCAAACGAAAGUUUACUGAGCCAAUUGAUGACUAUCUGAAUAGGUUUCAAUUACUCAAAGCUAGAUGUUUUACACAAGUUCCAGAGCAUGAAAUGUUCGAAAUGGCCACUAGGGGCAUUAACUAUUCAAUUAGGAAGAAAUUAGAUACAUAACAUUUGAGAGAUAUGGCCCAACUGGCUGAUAGGGUUCGACAGUUAGAACGUUUGAAGGAAGAAAAGGCUAGGGCAAAUAAAGGUAAAAUGGUAGCCUAUGUCGAUUUCAGAAAUGAUGAUGAAGGAUCCUGCCAUGGACUUUCAGACUUCGAUGAUAAUGAGAUCGACUUUGCUGAAUUGAAGCAGGGGCCACCAUACGCGUGUGAUGUUUUGACCCCUUCGAAUGGAAAAAACCCUAUCGAACCAGAAAAGAAUGAUAAAUUUCCCAAGAAAACUUAUACUUUCGACGUGACAAAAUGUGACAAAAUUUUCGAUUUGUUAGUCAAGGAUGGUCAAAUGAUAGUACCCCCCGGUGCUAAAAUACCUCCUUUAGAACAAAGAAAGAAAAGAGGGUUUUGCAAAUACCAUGGUUUUCUGGGUCAUAAAACAUCUCAAUGUUUUCUUUUCAGGGAUCUUGUGCAGUGCCAUCCAAGAAGGGAGACUCAAAUUUGGAGACAAAACACAGAGCCAGAUGAAGAUCGACUUUGAUCCUUGUCGCAUUCGCGAAAAACAACCGGCGGGAAAAAGACACAAACAGAGCCGCCACCGUGCGUUAUUUAUCCCAAAGGAAGGAAAGGAAACGCUCGAAGUAAACCUGGAAAGGAAAUGGUCUUACGACCGGAGAUUGCAAGGAUCGGGAGUCGGUUCCGCAAGGGGAAGGUAUUAGCACCCCUCACGUCCGUCGUACUCGACGGGAUCCACGCUCAAAAGAAUAAGAAAAGGUUUCCAAAUAACUUCUCAAAAAGAAAGCACACACACUGGAAUAAAACACAGAGGGAAGAAGACGGAAGAAGGUGACUCGGCAGGAUGUCGCAUCCUGGGCCUACGUAGUUUGUCAGAAACAAAGAUCAGAGUCGACGUAGUUCGGGGAAAUGGGAAACGGGCUCGCUAGGAUAUCGCAUCCUAUGCCUACGUAUCUCAUAUGGAAUAAGAAUCAGAGCUGCCAUAGUUCGGCUAACGCACGCCGAAAUAAAACACAACACAAAGACGUUGAGACGUCAAAAGAAACAUGCAAAUGGAAACAGACUGCCAAUGGCUGGUCUUACAUCCGACUCCAAACAAAAGAAACACAAACAGGAAACCGAAUGCCAAUGGAUGGACUUACAUCAGACUCCAAUCACACAACAAAUAGGAAACGGAAUGCCAAUCGCUGGCCUUACAUCCCACUCCUAACACACACAAAAAGGUUAUCAAACAGACAAGCUAAUAGGGAGUCUGGAACUCGAGCCUAAUAGCUGUCAAGCAAACACACACAAAAAAAGAAAAGGUUGAAAAAAGAAAAAGGGUGCCCGGAGAGAUCUCGCACGAUCUUCUGCCUACGUACAUCAUCUGGUAUGAGGAUCAGGGCGACGUAGUUCCCCUUAACAUGGGAGAAACUUUCUCCUACCCAGAGACCUUGGAAUAACAAACUAAAAGGGAGACUGAAUCGAGCCUAAUAGUUGUCAUGCAAUCCACAAUAGUCCUAGGUUGAGGUAUCUGAAUCAAAACCUAACUCGCACAGGCAGCAAGUCAAUCACACAGCAAGUAAGCAACACAGGUGAACAGGUAUCACAACCACAAUAGUCCUAGGUUGAGGUAUCUGAAUCAAAACCUAACUCGCACAGGCAGCAAGUCAAUCACACAGCAAGUAAGCAACACAGGUGAACAGGUAUCACACGCUAUAUGCAAACAAGUGGCUCAUCCAAGGCUGGGCUUUAGUCAAGGGGUCAUAUCAACCUCGACAAACAAGCCAACUGGAAGGGUAUGAUGAAGCUCUUAACCACUGACAUUGACUAUCAGGGUGAGCAGAUGAAAGGUAAUGAGGGUUGGACCUCAUAGCUCUUAACCCGGGCCUGGGUGAGCUUGAAUCAAUGAAAGCGUGGGGGUCCAGAAUGUGGGACCCUACUCCACUUGACUGACUCUAUAUACAAGGAUCUUGGGUGUUUAUUCAAAAGCCUCAGCACGUAGUGCGAGCAUAGUGAAAGACUCAACUGAAUAGAAGGGGACUGACUGCUAGUCCCUUCUAUCUGCCAGUUGCCUCUUCACUUAGGAGGACUUGAAGUACAUGGCACAAUUAUAAACAAUCACAGACAUUGCCUCUUAAGGAGGUCUUCAGCCAAAUGCCUGCCAAACAGAAACGACAGGGCUUCCAGACUACAUGAAGUUAGAGGAUGAUUACCUAGGUGGUAUGCCAACCACAAGCAAAGCAACUCAAGCAAUGAGCUAAAGCAACUAAAAGUACCUGAGAAAAUCAAAGAAGUCAAUAUUCACAUUCAGACAAAUCAAAUAGACAGUCAACAGUGUUACAACCAAUGCACAAUGCAAGUCAAUCAACUCAUAUGAAUUCAUCACCAAGGAACCUACAAUACAACAAAUGUUAGUGGACAAAGCAAAUUGCAUCUUCAAGUCAUUGAGAUUGCAUCAACCAUUAGGACUAUAAGCUUGAACCUGAAAUGCAAAACUCAAAAGAUGAGUACAAACCACUAGCACCAAGGCUAGGGUCAAAGGCAAAGCAAAAAGUCAAAACAGCAACCAAUAUUCAACAUAAAGCAUAUUUAUUCAAGUAAGAACAUGUCCUAAAAAGGACCAAACUCAAAUCCAUUGGCAAAGUCAUCUCAUAAGCAAGAUAUGGCAAAGGCAAUUUCAAAGCACACAAUUGGACAUCCAGAAUGAAAAUUCCAUAUUAAAACAGAAAUGACUCAAACAAUCAUGAAAACUUUUAUGAGCAUACAACAUGUCAAACAUAAUCAUCAUGCCAAAAAUUAGAAUCAACAGAGCUCAAUUGAUAUGGCAAUGAAAAUGAACAAGUAUGACAUCAAAUUGUGUGACACACAUUGUCACACCAUGCAUUCAUGUGUCUAAAACAGAAAUGAAAAAUGCUAAAAAUGCACAACCAAGCCUCAAAAAUCAUGCAACCUAUUGGGAAUCAGCAUACCAAAUUUCAAAUCAAUUGGCCAAUGUAUGAGCAUUUCACAAUAGAAUGAGUGAAGCAUGUCACAUUUGCAUACAUGUCCAAAGAACAAUUCACCAUCCAAAAUCCAGAAACGAUAAAAUCAUGAAAUCACAACCACAAAAUAAUAGACAUCCAUAUGAACAUGUGAAAAAAAAAGGCAUUCAAUUUGGAUUAAUUUUCAAUUUGUUAUGAAUUUUACAAGUUGCAUGAAAAUAUUAUGAAUAAUGAAGAAAUCACAUGAUGAAAUGAAGGGAAAUAGAAAUGUUUGGAUUUAAUUUGAAAUAAUUCUAGAAGCUGGAAUCGAAGUGAGUACGGCGCCUUGUCAAAACGACGUCGUUUUAACCAAGGCUGGAAAUGAAAAAAGAAAAUAUGAAACGCGCUCAGGGAGAAUCGAAGGGAGGUGCGCGCUAGCAUGGCAAAACGGCGUCGUUUCAUAACGCCGCCCCUAGGGUUUGCAGACAGCGGAUGUACAGUGCCGGGCGGUGGUUUCCACCGUCUUCCUCAUGAAGAUGGUGGCUGCUACAGUGCUCACCAACAUUUUUUUUGCAGAAUUUCAUAAAAGUUAUACCAUUGGAAAGAUCUCGUUGUGUACAUCAUGAAUAUCACACUAGCUAAGCCUAAAACAUCACACAUUAAGCAAAUCGAAGGAAAGAACAUUGGAUCUACAAACUUUAAAUCAACAUAACUUCUUCAAUUUUCAUCCAUUUUUAAUGAAAUUUAGAUCAGAAUCAUCAACAUGGAAAGGCCUAUCUAAACAUGUGCAUAAAGUGGAGAAUCAUGAGGUUUGAAUUCUAACCUCUUUGAAGAACAAUCAAUGGAAACAGUAGAUCCAAGGCCUUGCAAGUGUUCAAAUCUGCUCAUCUACUCUUGUUAUGAAGUUUUGUGCGUGAAUUGAUGCUUGAAUUUUCCUGGAUCUAGCUUAAUUUGCACUUGCCAUUGAUGUGCUCAUGAGCUUGCAUGCUUCAAACCUUGCUCAAUUUCCACGAAUUAUGACUGAUUCAUGCUCCAAAUUCCAUGACGAUGAUGAAUCUAUCAAGAAAAUAUGUGGUUGUGUGGAGAAAAUUUGAAUUCCAAUGAGAGGGAAUUUUGGAGGGAAAAAAUUUUCUAGAUCUAGAAUGUGUGAUUAUGCCAAAUUCUGUUAUGAUUAAGGCUUUAUACUAUUCACUAAUCAUGCUGAAAAAUUAAUUAGGCAAUGGUUAAUUAGAAGUUAAUGAGAAUGAGGUGUUUUAGCAAAUUUGGAAAAGUUCGUGGGUGCCAUGGCCUAAUUUGGCGUGAAUAGUAGCAUGCAAUGAUCCAUUUUCACUCAAAAUCACCUAAUGAACACAAUGGGAUUGGAAUUAUGCUUGUAGCUUGCACCAAAUUUAAAUUCCCCAAUUUCCCUCCAAAAUGCACUUGAAUUGACACAUGGCCAUGUGAACUUUUUUCAUGCAAUGCAAUGGUAUGUUUGGAAAGCAUAGUUCAAGACAAGAAAUUUGCAAAAAGAGUGGCUUCAUUUGGAGUUUUGAGUCAAAAGUUAUGCCACUUUGAAGUCUCAUGCACACUUGGUGAUCAUUUGUUCAUAUCUCCUCAACCAUUCAUCAUAAAUUCAUGAUCUUGGACUUUUUGGAAAUGGGAGAGAAAGAUCUUCAACUUUAAUGUUGGACAAAAAUUCAUUUGAAGCUUCUUUGAUGAUGUAAAAUCAAGUUGAAUUUGGACCAAAAUCUUUCCAUUUUUGGAAACUUCCAAUUAUAGGUCACUUUCCAUUUUUGGAAACUUUUGAUCUGACCUCAAAUUCUUCAAGAUAAGUGUUUGUAAUGAUGAAUAAGCCUCUUUAGGACAUGAAUGAAGUGUCUCAAACCAUUUCUCCACAUCCUAGCCCUCAGUUGACUUUCAGUUGACUUUUAUGGGCCCCAGAUGACUUGAAAAUGCACUGUGGACUUUGAGCCUCUAAUACUUGGCCAAUUUGCUUCAAAAUGAACCUUGGCUCAUAUAAGCUCAAUAGAAUGAUCAUGUGAUCCCCCUCUCCAUAGAAUACCUCAUAUCCUUGAAAAUCACUGAUUGGAAGAAAAGUCAUUGAUUAGGGUUGACCAGAGGUCAAAACCCUAAUCCAGAGGAAUCUAAGCAUGAACGAAGAACCCUUUGAGGAUGACAUAACCAUGAUGAUGAUGAUGUACCCUUGAAAUCAAGAUAAUGCUCAACCUCCUUGAAGAACCAAGAAAACCCUAAUUGAAGCACAAACCCUCAGAUGGUUGGUGAUCAAUUCAAUAUGACCCUUAGGCUUGAACUAUACAACUUCUCCAUCUUUGACAAAACCUUAGAGGAUGACUUGUUUAUUAUCACAUGAUAUGCAAUAUGCAAAUGCCUAAUGUCCUACAAAAUGAAAUGCAAUAUGCUAAACUAGUCCCAAGAAGAGGAGGGCAAAUUUUGAGGUGUUACAAUCCUCUGCAAGUAGCUAAUGCUCAUUACACAGAGCCAAAGGAAGUGAACCUAGUUGAAGUCACCGAUGAUUUCGACAUGACUGAAGUCACUGAAGACUUUGUCAAUGAACCUGUUAUGGCUAAGGUUUCUGAAUACCUUGACCAGGUAUCUCUUAAUGACUUCAUUCAAAAAGUUGUGGGAGAUACCACCAACAAAAAUGUUGAUGUCUCUGACGUUGGGGACGCUGAAAGUUCCAAGCUGAUGAUAAUCACCAAGGAAACUGCUGAUGGUUUCGUACAGAUAGACAAGGCCACUGAGGGCCUUCAAUUACAAUUUCAAAAGUUGGACAUCACUGAAGAUGUCAACAUGGAGGUUAAUAUGGUAGAGAUAUCCCAUGAGACCUCUGUGGAAGUUGACGAGGAAUGUCGAUAGGAAGAAUAUAACAAAAUCGCCUUCCCUAAAGAGGAAGAAACGUUAUUAGACUUCCUCCGAAGGUGCCAGAAGAAGCAAUCGGAAGUCAUGUUGUGCCCUCGGUGCAGUGCUGUGUUCGACAAGAAGGCAGCCCAAAAUCUCGAAGGGGUAAGGAGAGUGAAUCACCAAGAGGGUCGCAAAUCUCUUUAAAAUCACCAUGUUGUUCAUCCCAUAAGGGAUUUCGACCCUAGGAGAUACUAUGAUCCAAGACAAUCGAUGGUGAAACUUAGUGAAGCCAAGCGAAUAGGGACAACUACUAAACCCAUUUCUUUUAAACCUAGUGCUGAGGUUUCGAAUGGGAUGUGGGUAAAGCCAACUGAUGGUAGGAAACGCGGUCAAGGGAAAUGACAGAGCUUCUAAGUCGAAAGGGGUUCGUCAUUGGCUUACCUUAGGCAAUUUCAGGCCGAUAAAAGAACCUCCCAUGUAUUUGAAAACUAUAAAGGAAAAAACCCUAUGACAAGAUCUCAGUGGAGAAGAGAGAAGAGGAGAAGGAAAGCCCAGAGGGAUGCUGGUGAGAAAGAUAAAGUUGAGUCUAGCACCAACGUGCCUACAAAGCAAAGGGAAGCCUCAAGCUUUGACAAAAGAAAAUUCAAUGAUCCAGCAGAGGCGGCCAGAGAAAGAUAUAAUCAAGUGGCGGCUGAAGAUGAAAUGUUGACUGAUAAUUUUGACUUAGGAUCUGAGGCUUCUCUAGAUAUUUUAUUUGGUGUUGUGUCUGUGAUGCCUAGGGAGUUCGACCGGAUCAUAGAGGUCGAAGAUACCGACAGCAUCACGGAGAGAGAAAUGGUUGCUCAUAAGCUAGUAUGCUAAUAUAUGAUGAAUAAUGGUUGCGUUGAAGAUAAAAAUUCCUUCUUCGAGAGAGCUAAUGAGGCUAUGAAGAGUCAUCUUAAGCCUCUCUUCAUUACUGGAAAGGUCGAAGACGUUCCCAUUAAUAAAAUCUUGGUGGACUGUGGCGUGACCGUUAAUUUGAUUCCUCAUCACAUGCUGAGGAAAAUUGGCAAGUAUGACAUUGAUUCCAAACCUCAUAAUAUGGUGCUUACCAACUACGAAGGUAAAGUGGGUUCCACCCUUGGUGUCAUCCAAGUCGAAUUAACCGUAGGAACAGUCACAAGAUCUACAAUGUUUAUGAUUAUGGAAACAAAGGCCAAUUAUAAUCUAUUACUUGGAAGGGAGUGGAUACAUAGGGCCGGAGCUGUCCCAUCCUCAAUUCACCAGAGGAUAAUUAUUUGGAACCCAGAUGGUAUUGUGGAAAAUAUAGAGGCAAAUCAAGGGUACUUCAAAACCCCUAUCAAUUAUACCGAUAGACGCCAGUUCGACAAGCAUUUGGCCAAUAUCGCUCCCUGUGAUUCAGCUAAUUUUGCAUUCACUCCGGAUGACAAUGCUUAUUGUUCCCUGUCAUUGCACCCAUACAAUGGUUUUCGCUGGGACAGAGAAGUAGUGGGCGAAGAUGACUUUGGAUACUUAGAAGCGUCUGGAGUUGAACCCACAGGUUGGGGAAGCGAUUUCAGUGUUGAUGACUGAGUUCACAGCGCUAAAAAGGAUUUCGGCUUACAUAGCCGAAAACAAGAAACAAUUUCCCUUAGAGGCCGAAUUUAAAAACAUGGUUGUCGAGGCCAGUGAAGUUUCUCAUCAAAUAGGUCCUGGGAAGGACUAUGACCCAAUGCCACCUGACAAGGGUCAGAACAAAGAGCAAGGCCAGAGGCUCGAUGCUAUCUACGACGAUGAGCCUUUGGGUUUCAAGAAGGAUCCACUAGCAACAAACGUUAAAAUGUUGGCUCAGGAUCCACUUGAAGAAAUAGACUUGGGAGAGGGAUUGAUAAAAAGGCCAACUUACAUCAGCGCCAAUAUCCAUCCUCAACUAAAAGUUGAUGUAGUCCAGUUGUUGAAAGAGUUCAAAGAAUGUUUUGCAUGGGACUAUGACGAGAUGUCUGGUUUGAGUAGAGAUCUGGUCGAGUUAAAGUUUCCAAUCAAACCUGGAAAGAAGCCUGUUAAGUAGAGCCCAAGGAGAUUUGCACCAACAAUACUUUCGAAGAUCAAAGAAGAGGUCGAAAGGCUCCUUCGCUGCAAUUUCAUUCGCACAACUAGGUAUGUCAAAUGGUUAGAUAAUAUUGUGCCUGUUGUAAAAAAGAAUGUUACUUUGAGGGUUUGCAUAAAUUUUAGAGAUUUAAAUACUGCAACCCCAAAGGAUGAAUAUUCAAUUCUAGUGGCAGAAAUGCUAGUCGAUUCAGCUGCAGGCUAUGAAUAUUUAAGCAUACUCAAUGGAUAUUCUGGGUAUAAUCAAAUAUUUAUUGUAGAAGAGGAUGUGCCAAAAACAACAUUUUGAUGCCCUGGAGCCCUGGGCACCUAUGAAUGGGUAGUGAUGCCUUUUGGUUUUAAAAAUGCUAGGGCAACCUACCAAAGAGAAAUGAUUUCGAUCUUCCAUGAUUUUAUAUAGACUUUUAUGCAAGUCUACAUAGAUGAUAUUGUCAUUAAGUCUGUUUCAGGGAAGAGUCAUAUAGACCAUCUUCGAAUAUCCUGUGAAAGGAUGAGAAAACAUGGUCUGAAAAUGAAUCCUCUAAAAUGCAUUUUUUUUUGUGCAGCCUGGGGAUUUCUUAAGCUUUGUGGUCCACAAAAAGGGAAUUGAAAUAAACAAGAAUAAGACCAAGGCCAUAAUGGAAGCGAAAGCUCCAUCAACGAAGAAAGGAUUGAAGUCACUACUAGGAAAGAUCAAUUUCCUGAGGAGAUUCAUCUCAAAUAUUAGUGGGAAGACACAAUCUUUUUCACCAUUUCUUUGACUCAACAAGGAAGGAUUCGAAUGGGGGCAGGCUCAUCAAGAUGCAUUUGAUAAGAUUAAAGCAUACUUGAGUCAUCCACCAAUCCUAACACCCCCUUGUAGAAAUAAAAGUAUGAGAUUGUAUAUAUUUGCGUCUGACAAGACUUUAGGGAGCAUGUUGGCUCAAGAGGAUGAUAAUGGCGUCGAAAGAACCAUCUAUUACCUCAGUAGGGUCUUAAAUGGUGCAGAAACUAGGUAUAACAUAGUUGAAAAAUUGUGUUUAUGCUUAUAUUUCUCUUGUACAAAGUUGAAGUAUUAUAUAAAACUCGUUGAUGUUUAUGUUUCACCUCAUUUCAAUGUUAUUAAACAUAUGUUAUCCAAACCGAUUUUGCAUAGUCGAAAUGGGAAAUGGGAAUUAGCGUUAACCAAAUUUUAUUUAGCGUACUUGCCAUUAAAGGCUGUUAAAGGACAAGUGCUAGCAGAUUUUAUAGUCGACCACUCCAUAGAUGCAAACGGACUACACUAUCUUGAAGUAGAGCCUUGGAAGUUGUACUUCGAUGGGUCUAGUCACAAGGAUGGAACAUGCAUAUGAGUGCUAAUUAUUUCUCCUAAUAAAAUUCCAACAAGACUCAAGUACAAAGUAGAAGGUCUGUGUUCAAACAAUGAGGCUGGAUAUGAAGCCCUCAUAGCCAGACUUGAAAUAUUAUUGGAAUUGGGGGCAACUCGGGUCGAAAUAAUGGGUGACUCAGAGUUAGUCAUAAAACAGAUCACAAAGGAAUGCAAAUGUAUUAAAGAUAAUUUGAUUAUGUACUUUAUAAUAUCCAGUCGAUUGCUAAAAAGAUUCGAAAUGGAUAAUAUUCAACAUAUACCUCGAUUAGAAAAUCAAGUGGCUAACGAUUUGGCUCAGAUUGCAUCUGUGUAUAAAAUUUCAAAAGAAAAAUUGCAAAAAGUCAUCGAAGUCAUAGGAAAGGCCGUGGCAACCAGAUUGAUCCCUUCAGACUUAGAAAAGACAAAGCUGGGAUACGCUGAUGAAGGAAACUUCGAAAUAUUGGCAGUAGAAAAUCUGAUAGAUGGAGAUUAGAGGAAACCAAUAGUGGUAUAUCUACAGAAUCCAACGGCGUAUGCUGAUCAAUAAACCAGGUAUCGAGCAUUAAGUUAUGUACUUUUGGGAUUAGAAUUGUGUAAGAAGUCUCCUGAGGGAGUUUUUCUUAAGUGCCUCAGUGAGUUAGAGGAAUAUUUAGCCCUUUCGACUGUCCACAGUGGGGCGUGUGGGACACACCAAGUUGGACAUAAGAUGAAAUGGAUUUUGUUUCGCCAAGGGAUGUAUUGGCCUACUAUGUUGAAGGAUUGCAUUGAAUUUGCAAAUGGAUGUCAAGGAUGUCAGAUACAUGCAGGCAUACAACAUGUUCCUACAAGCGAAUUGCACUCUAUCAUCAAGCCUUGGCCAUUCAGAGGUUGGGCUUUAGAUUUAAUUGGGGAUAUUUGACUACCAUCAUCUAAGAGUCAAAGAUAUAUCCUGAUGGGCGUUGAUAAUUUUACGAAAUGGGUCUAAGCUAUACCCUUACCAAACAUAAAUCAGGAGGAUAUGAUCGAGUUUAUCCAGAAGCAUGUUAUUUAUAGAUUUGGAAUCCCAGAGACUGUUACAACAAUUCAAGGGUCAAUAUUCACUGGUCGAUGGAUGCAAGAAUUUGCUAAAGAAAUGGGUUUCAAACUGUUAACUUCGAUGCCAUAUUAUGCUUAGGCUAAUGGACAAGUCGAAGCUGCUAAUAAAGUGAUCACUAAUUUGAUUAAAAACCAUCUGGGGAAGAAGCCUAGAAAUUGGCACAAAACUCUAGAUCAAAUUUUGUGGGCAUGUCGUACCUCUCCCAAAGAAGCCACUAAGUCGACCCUUUUUCGGCUAACUUUCGGCUAUGAUGUUGUUUUACCAGUAAAGAUUCACCUAUAACCCACAAGGAUUCAAAGGCCUCGUGAAAUUCCAACAGAGUUAUAAUGGAGCAUGAUGUUGGAUGAAUUAGUUGAUUUAGAUGAAGAAAGGUCAAAUGCCUUGGAAUUAUUAAAACGACAAAAGAAGAAAGUAGAGAAUUUUUAUAACAAGAAGGUGAAAGUCAAAAGUUUUUUGCUUGAAGACUUGGUAUGGAAAAUGAUCCUUCCAAUGGAUCGAAAGGAUAGGACCUUAGGGAAGUGGUCUCCAAAAUGGGAAGGUCCUUUUCAGAUUUUGCAAGUAUUUUCUAAUGGUGCCUAUGAAAUUGAAGAGCUUAAUGAAGACAAGAUGACUCUGAGAGUAAAUGGGAAAUAUUUAUAAAAGUAUAAGCCAAUACUCCAAGAGAUAAAAAUAAGAGAGGAAUAGUUAUAUAUAAGUUAAUCAGAGCCAAUAUGGUAAAAAUGUCAAAAUGGUUUACAUUUGAUUUGAAGGCCCAAAGGGAUAAUAUUCAUUACAAUUAAAAUUUGUUUCAUUACAUCAAAAAAUAAGCAAAACGGAAAAGGAGACUAAAAAAUUUAGAAAGGAAGGUUGGCCUUGAUCUGAAGGUACUUUGCUUUAAUAAUCUCCAUACAUUUCUCACAUAAAGAUCUCUUCAACCAAAUAAGUUUGAGGUCAGACUCGAGUUUUCGAGCCUGUUCGACGAACUCCAUGCUGAAUUCUAGCUCUUUAGCCAUUAAGGAAUCAUCAAACUCUAAGAGUUGGCUUUUGCUUCUUUCUGCAUCAAAAAUCUUUGCCCGAAGUUCUUAUAUUUGUUUCCUCCAAGAAGCAAUAUCACAAUCAUGUCCUUCGAUCUUUUCUUUGUUCUUUUGUUUAGUUUUCUCCAAUUCCAUCGCCUUGUUGGUGGACUCGGUGGCAGCAUCCCAGACAGCUACCUCAAAAGCAAACUUCUUCUCCAUUUCCCCUGUUAGCUGAGGUGGUGGCUUAUGAUCUGUGACAACUUAGUCGAUAAUAGUACCUAUCUCCAAUAUAACAUUGGCAACUUCAGGGGAAGUUUCUAGCAGGUCGACUUGAUUAAGAAGAGCCUUUAAGAUCUUGUCUUUAAUCUUGGAAAGCACUUCAUCUGCAUGAGUGCUCAAAGGUUGAUCUUCAGACACCGAAGUAGUGCUAAGGCUUUUUUUAGAGGAACUUUCCCUACAUAUUAACAUAGCCUUCAAAUAUUCAAGGGGUUGGCUUCGUUUUAGAAUAGCCAGUCUUUCUGCAGAAAGGCCCCCAGUACUACUUGUCGAAACUCGACCCGACGAAAUAACUACAAUGGUUAGAGUGACAAGAGUUUGGUUCUAAGCCUACCUUUCGUCUGUAUCAGCCUCCCUCUCUUCAAAGGCUUCAUCAUCGUCAGAGACUGGGAUCUGGUUGCCUUCAUUCUCUUCCUCCAUCACCGUAUCUUCGACGUUGCCACCUUCCCCUUGGGGAUUGAUUGUUCCUUCGAUGUUGUAUAAAUCGUCUUCAAGAUUAUCUCCAUAUUCAACUAAUUCAUCCACCACCAUAGGUUUUGGGUUCCCUCCAGCCUCACCUUCUUCGAUCGAAGCAGUUUCAUGAUCGGAGUCGCUGGUGUGAGAGUGUUAAGUAGCAGUCUUCGGUGGUGAAGUAUCAAGGCCACCAGAGGGAGGUUGGUUAAUCUCACUCAUGGAUCCUUUUUCAGACUAUGGUCGAUAAGUGGGUUCGCCAGCAUUGUUUAAGACAUCCGCUAUAGAAGCUGGCACGGAGGAAGUUGUGGUUUUGGUUUGAACGGCGGUACUUGCACCAUCCUGAAAUCAACACAAUCGAAACAAUGAGUGGUUAAAGAUGGUAAAUAAACUAUGUAAGGUAGAGUGAAGUUUGUUUAACCUUGUCACCUUCGACCCCAGGGCUGGAGUUGCCACUCUCACUUUAGGCCGCUGCUAUCUUUGCCAUUUUUUCAGGAAUAGGCUCUUGGAUAGUAAGUGCAAAAGACCUUUUCUUCAGAAGUUUUGAUGGAGGCUGGCUCAAGGUGUCGGUGACCUUCGGUUGUUGCUUCCUCUUCUUGGAAGUUAGGUCGAGAACCAGCGACAAAUCCUCUUCGUCAGAUUCUAUUGUGACGGGGGUUUCUGUAGGUUUUUGGAUUUUGGUGGGGCUUAGAGGAGGUUUUCGAACAGCCUGAGUUAAGAUUUGGAAUGUCAGCAUCAUUAAACAUAACAAAAGAAAAAGAUAUGAGAAUACAUAAGUAUACCUUUGUAGGCUUGCUACCUCCCUCAAUCUUCGAUCCGACUGGUCUUCUGAUGGUGGGUUUCUUAGGUGGAACCCUGAUGGAUAAAUGAAAAUAACAUAAAUAAGUUAGUGUUAGCUAAGAGUAAAUAGCCUGAAAGAGGGAUGUGCUUCGAGGAAAACCUCCUGUGUCACACCUUCAUAUAUGUACGAUUUGAUGCGGACAUCUUCGAUCCCUACAUGAAGAUGCCCUUUGAAACUGUCUAGAGUAUGCUUAGUCACAACCACCCGCUGAGCUUUUUUCUGGGAUUGUUGUCGAAGUAUUUUAAUGGAGUCUCCAUAAAUAAACCAGUUUGGAAAUGGAGGGGCAAGGGACACACCAUAGUUAGCAUUAGGCAGUGGAGGAAAUUUUGGGGGAAACAGUUCGAAAGCCAUUUCACAGUGUUUCUCAUGAGGAACGUAUGAAGGAAUCUUUAGACUUCCCAUUUUCUUUGAAAAAAAUUCUUUGAGCAUGACAGCUGCUUCACGGAUGGUUCGAAUAAGAUCAUCAGGCCUAUAGGCAGUUUCAAAGUAGUUUUGGAAAGUUUGGAUUUCUUUGAUAAGCGUGUAAGUACCUUUUCUGGUCUUUUCCUGCACAAGAAGAAAAACUUUGUCAAAGAGUUGGAUAAAGGAAGAGACAUCACAGAACUCUUCAAUGUAGUAUUUAGUCCACCAUCUCCCAAACUCUCGAGUGUAGAGGAAGUUGGGCUCUAAGUUAAAAGGAGUAAGUUGGGUUCUGCCUGUGUAUCUGACUAUCUGCUUGAGGGCAGUGGCUUCAUUAUGGACUACAUUGUAGAGAAGGAGGCUACCCUUUUUGUCAUACAUGCACUUUGGGAGAACUUGAAUUAACCCAAAUUGUCGGGUGACGAGGUUGGGUUUAUAGGUGAUCAAAGUAACCUGAACCUUUGAAGGAUUAAAUCGAAUGGUUAGGAUCCUGGGGGUCAAGAAGGCUUCUCAAAUCAGUAAAGAUUUUGUAUCUUGUUUUUUGGAUGGAGAUGGGAAGGUCCUGGUAAACCAUUUUAGACCGUACUUCCUGAAAGCAAAGAGGUCCAUGCUCGAAGUGAAAACAUGGCGCUUGGAGAAAAUCAUUAUGUAGCUCAUGAAAGUUGGUUUCAGGGCUUGUCCUUCGUCACUGGGAGUCAACUGAGCUAGUCUAAUGCCUUCGACCCUUCUGUUUUUAACCUCCUCAGCUUCUUCGUCAAUGAGGCCUUUGUUCGAUAGACUAGCCUCGAAGGUGGCAUUGCGCCAGAGUUGAAAUAGCCAAAAAGGGCCAGAAAGGAGAAGAUUCCCUUUUUCGCCCAAAUUCUUCAAUUGAGCGACUCCAUCGCUUAAUGACUCAUAGAGACUGACCAAUAUCAUUUCGCUUAGACAAAUAUCAUGUCCAACAUGUAGUUGAUUUUCCAAGGUAAGAUAUUUCUUGGCAACUUGCAAAGACUUCGAGUAGAAGACAGAGUGAGACAACCACAAAGCCAAGAAAGAUAUGUGCUCCAUGUCAGAGACGGUGUCAAUAUCCUUGUCAUGAUAAUGGGCUAUGUGAGUCGAAUAUGCUGCUCGGGAUGUCAAAAAGGCUAUGGUGUCCGCAGUAUCGAUUUCAAGAUCGUAAGUAUGUCCAGUAGAUUUUAGCCCUGUGAUAGGGGUUAAGUCGAAGAGCGUUGGUGUGGCCAUACCACAAGGAAGGGGGAAAGUAUAGUAUGUUCUGUCCUAAAAGUACAAUGAAGAAAUCAACAUAGAGGUGCUAUACUCCAACUCUAUCUUCGACAACAUGAUGAGGUCAUAAAUGCCGGUGUCUUUCCAGUUAUGAGAUUUAGCUUUCUCUACUUUCUUUAACCAGCCUAAAUAAUCAAUGGGGUCUUUAAAUGUGGGGGUAGCGCGGAAAACUUUGAAUCCAUUAUUCAUAAACCUUAAAUCUCUAGACUCACUAGCCUUAGGGUUUUCAGUGGUGGUUAUUCCAGUCCUAGGGUUUUUUGCUUGCCCUAUAGACUUGCAUUUGUGAUAAGAGGGGAAAUACUCUCUAAGCUUACUAGAAUCAAUGUCUAAAUCAGUUAGAGGUCCAGAUAAUGCAUGAUUCUUUCCAGAAACAGAAACGGGAAUAAGUACUUGAGAAGGAUAGAUUCUGCGUUGUUCCUUCAUUUUGGGCUAUGAUAUGUAUUGUUGAUUUCCUACCGUUAGUGGAGCUGACAAUGUAGUGAAAGGACGAAGCCCUGAUAUCUUCUUGGGAGAUUUUGUUUUGGUAGUUGUGGUCUUGAUGGCUACGCUGACUUCUUUAGGAGCUUUGCUUGAAGUUGCCAUUUCUGUUGGAGAUUGAAAGAGAGAAAUCUUGGUUUUUUGGUUGAAGAUUGUUUGAAGAGAAAAAGCUAGAGCGUUUGGGAGUUCAGAAAGCGUAAAGUGUGAAAUGGGUAAGUUUGUGGGUUUUAUAGGCGUGCUUGGAAGAGAAAACAUUUCAAAUCAGCAUUAAUGGUUGACAAGUUAGUGGGACACGUGUCUUCCUUUGGCAGUGUGACGGGGAUGUUAAUUAAUGUCUGGACCCAUGAUUUCCUAGAGUCUAGGAAACGUGAUGAGUGAAAAUAUUCGGUUGUGGAAUGAAGAGACGUGGUUAGGGAAAAUGUAAUGAUGACUCUGACAUUACCAGACAGUUGGAGAAACUUAAAAGUUUUGCAACAUUGGAACAGUUGGCACAAUGUCAGAGUUGUUAAGGCAUCAAAGUGUGGUCUCAAAAAAUGUAUUUUUCUCUCAUAUGUCGAAAAUAACAUUUUUGGGGGCCAAUUUGUUAGCUCAUAAUUUCGACGCCCACUAAUGAAUUACCAAAAGGGAAAUCCUAUGUAGGGAUGUUUAGACUAGGAGGAGAUGUUCGACCAGGUAAAGGUGUUUCGAAUGGAUAAAGUUAAUAAGAGUCAGCGUGCAGUUGGGACUUCAGAAAUAUUUUUUAAAAUGGUUGAAAAUGGUUUUCGAUUGAAGAUUCCAAAUUCAAAUAAAGGAGGGAACUUUGCUCUUUCUGAAACUGUUGAAGGUACAUGUGGGGCAUAAUGGAUAGGUACAUCCAUGCAAGGUACCAUGUGUCUCGACGUGAUUGAAGGACCGUUAGAAACACUUAUUUUGAUUAAGUAUAAAUAAAGGGUAUUAGUGUUAGGAUCAAGUGUGUGUAUCAAAUUGUGUACAGAGUCUGUAAUUUACCAAGUACCCGUGUGAAGAGGAACCAUAAAUUAAAGAAUGUACGUUUGUUUACACCAUUGUUAGUUAUUUUAAAGCAAUACAAUUCAUCUUUAUUUUUCUUCAAGUAAUACAUUUCUUUACUUCUUUAUUUCAAACAGUCUCCUAUUACUUUGUUAUUUCAAACAGUCUUAAUAUUUAUUUGUUUCAAACACUUACCGUUGCCACUUGGUUAUCAUCAUAGUCUUUUACAAUUUUUCUCCUUAAUUCAUAUUAUCUUUUUACCGUAAGUUUUAAUCCCUAGUAUUACUAAUACUGUCGAAGUGUUCAUGAUUACUAAAAUUCAUUUUAAAAACAGUUAGCACAUUUCCUAGGAUCAAUCUGAUUGAUCCUGUGAGUUGCCAAAUUUAGAAAUUUGGAAGAUCAGCGGUUGUUUACUAAUUUUCAAGGUAAACAACUACAUAUCUUUUGUUAUGCACCAUAACAGUGGCGUUAUAUAUGGGAAUCUCGUCUCUGGGUUCUCGCUUACAUGCCAGAUUUCUCUAAUCCUUCUUGUUGCAUAAUCACAACCGCUAUAUUAACCCAUUUGAUUGUAUAUAUUUUACAACUAUAAGGAACGGUAGGCUACAAAUCGGCCUAAACCAUAAUUCAUCUGAACACCAUUCCUUCACAUGAUGUCUGUUCAUCAUUCCCGACACUUCAAAACAUUGAUUCAAAAGUCCUCACCCCCAUGUUUGAAAUCCACUUCCUUCGCCAAAAAAAUAGGUAUUCCCAUUCUUGUGACUUCUUUAACGGCAUCCUCUCACAAGAUCUCGAUCCCUCAACCAGUUGACAUGGGACAUUUAUGGUCUUUUCUUUAUCAUAAUCUCUUCAACAAUUUCUUGGUUACACUUGAAAGAACCUCCACCUCCUCCGCAAUUGUAAUUUUCAGGGCCAAAUAUGUCUCAGAAACUCCAACGACUCUAGGAUGCACUCAAGAUGCAAGGUGCACGAACUUGUUAUGAUUAUCUAUAAAAGUAGACUGGAAAUCAACUAUGGGCACCACAAUACGGUUAUCCCGAACAUUGGGUAGGACAUAAGGCAUGAAGUUAACAGUGAUAUAUGAGAACAUAAUUCCCCACCACAACAGCCAACCAAGCACUAAGGGAAUCCAAUGCAGAUAAAUUCAUUAGAAAAGAGAUACAUAUGAGUUAAUAAAUCAACAUCUUGGUCUUUUUCAUUACAUACUUUUAUCAAUCUAUGUAAAAUCUUACUAUGUAAUCCUUUAACUCAGAGAAAAUAAAUGAAUUAUUCACCAGAAUUCUUUCCUUUAUCAUUAUGCAUAAAACCUGGUUCGCCAUCGAUCAUCAUAGAGCUUAAGCUAAAGGUGGAAAAUGGGUGAAUUCAUUAACAUCAUGAGUGUAUGACUUAAGCAGUCGACACCCAAUGACAAGAAUAUUCGACAAGUGACUUCGAGCACAAGAGAUGGGUGAAUUGUAGUAUUCAAGAUUUGCGAUUAAUUUAGGUUUUGUUACUUUGAAAAUAAAUUGUGUUAGUAUUCUAUGAGAUCAUAGAAAAAUGAGAGAUAAAAAUGGUAAAGUAAAUUACUUUGCGAUUAAUGAACAACGGGAAGAUAAAAACAGUAAAGUAAAUUACAGAAAAUGAGAGAUAAGGGUUUAGAGAGAUGACACUAGUGAUUUGUCCAAAUUCGACUAAACAUUGGCCUACUCCUGUCCCCAAGAUGUAUUCUUGAGAUUUUGACUAUAACUUUGAUCUUUUAUAGGUUAUGACCAUGAACCUUGAUACAAGCUAAUCUUCAUAUUUUACAAAGGUUUAUCCCCAACCAAAAUCAAAACUUUUACCCAAGCUAAGCUAACAAAUCGACUAAAGAUUUUACAAGCUAAUCUCAAGAACCAAACAAAGUGUUUUUUCGGAAAAGUUCUAAAAACCAAACAUAAAUUUUAAGACUGGUUUAUCUCAGGAAUCAAACUCGAUUUCUUCAAGAAUAUCAUACCCUUGAGAAUUAUAACAACAACACAACAACAAUACAAUUUCUUCCUCACAAGUAACAUUUCACUCAAAGACACUAAGGCAGUUUAAGUGAGAUAUAAAUUCUUUUUAGAGAGAGAGAUAAGUUCCAAAUAAAAUAUAGAACUUCAAAGAUUUUGUGUGAAAUGAGGAGGAUAAGAACCUCCUUUAUAUAGGAGUUGGAAAGCUAAAAAAAGAAAACGAUCCCUGGGAAAUUUUACUGAUCUAAUCAAUUGAAUUAGAAAGAUAAUCAAUUAUUCUGAACCAUUUGGAAAGUUUAGGUAGAUAUUUGUUACCAACCAUUAAUACAUUAUCACAUUAGAUUAUACAAUUUAUUAGGCUUCCUCCAAUCCACUAGCUUAAGGAUCUAAUCGAUUGGGUAGUUCAAAAAAUUCUUCAAAAUGAAGUUGAUAGUUUCUUAAUUAGAUGGCUUGGGUUUGAAAGCAAUUUUAAGAGAUUUGAUGGUUAAAAACAUAUUUAACAUAGGUUUUAAGUAUGUGUGUAAGUUGCUUUAGUAUCUUAGAAGUUACUCACAGACUUUCACAAAACGACGGCGUCACACCCCAAUUUUGACCCUGAAUCGUCGAAUCAAUACAUACAUCAUAGUUUUCGCAUCUCUGCAUAUCAUAGCAUGCAUAUCAUACCACAUAAUGCCUAGAAUGUUAGUCAAAAUAAAUUUUUGGAUCUACAGAGAGACCGGUCAAAUCAAUUUUCAAAUGUGUGUCAAAUUAGCGUAGUUUAACCUGAUGUGUUUGUUUUAUUUUUCGGCUACCUUUUCAGUCAUAUUUUGAUCCACGUGACCCUUUUAACCGAGCAUUUUCAACUUCAAAAUCUAACAAAAACCUGUAUGUUUCCAGGAAGUUUAUUUUGCGUCGGUCAUUUUAGUGCAUUCAGUUUAAUUUUUUAUGCACUUUUGCACUCGAUUUUUACUCAUUUUAGUCAUUUUAUUUUUAUUUUUUGGUCAAAAUAUUCAGAAGAAUUUUUCACAUCUUCAUUUUAUUUCUAUUGUAUUUAUUUAAGAAGGUGUGAAUUUUAGUCAUUUUAAUUGAUUUAAUCUAAUUUAAAUUAAUUAAAGGUUUUAGAAGGGGCAACUUUGGCAUUUUAAGUUAUCUUCUCUUCUUUGAUUUAAUCUGGAUCAUCGAUUCAAAUUAAUUGAAUGGCCAUAUUAGUUAUCCAUGUGCCUUUUUGUCAUUCAAUCAUAAAAUAGAAUUAAAUAUAUAGAUUAAUAGAGAAAAUCAGAAAAUAAAAUAUCUCUCCCUACAUCAAGGACAUGCCACAUGUCCUUAGCUAGUUAGAGACUUUUUUGUCAUAAUUCCCCCUUUCAUUGGCUGAUUAAAUAAAAGUAAAAGACUUCGUCAAUCACAAGGAGCCAUGUGUCCCUAAUGAUAAGAGGAAAUUUUGGUUUUUGCUAUGAUAACAUUGCCAAACAGAGCUCAACUAAAGGAAAAAGUCAUUUUUUUCUCCCUCACGCGGAGGAAUUCUUUCUUAGACUCUCAGAUCUCUUUUCACAAAGACUUUUUCUCUGCAUUUUUCUCCUCUUCUUCUUCAAGAGUUUUCACAACCCCACAUCCCUUGUCUCUCCCAUAUCACCAUAACCAUCUCCGUCCUUUUCUUCUUCGAUCCAUUAACCCACUCACCGCCCUUCAUAAAAAACCCAGCUCCACACCAUCGAAACCGUCGACAACCCUUCUCAACACUCAAAGAAACCACCUCUCACUCAACUGAAUCUCUUCCCUCUGCCACCAUCAAAACUCAACCAAACCUCCCCUACAUUCACCAUCAUCAUCCCCAUCUCCGUUUACUUCCACCAUCACCGUAAACUGAUUCGACACCACCACGCAUAACUGACGAAACAACCAAACAACUCUUCCGCCUUUACCAGUCACACCGCCGUUUGAAAUCAUGAAGAAUAAUAGAGAGGAAAGUUUGAGUUUGUUUAGAAAGCUUGAAGAAUUUUUUGUUAUGUACAUUGUUCGUGUGUGAUUUUCAAUUGUAAUCUUGGUUCAACUUUAUGCACUUAAGGUUGAUUGUAUUUUCUUUCUUAAUCACUUUUUGAGUUGCAUCAAUUUGAAGAAGUUGUUGUGAUGAANNNNNNNNNNNNNNNNNNNNNNNNNNNNNNNNNNNNNNNNNNNNNNNNNNNNNNNNNNNNNNNNNNNNNNNNNNNNNNNNNNNNNNNNNNNNNNNNNNNNNNNNNNNNNNNNNNNNNNNNNNNNNNNNNNNNNNNNNNNNNNNNNNNNNNNNNNNNNNNNNNNNNNNNNNNNNNNNNNNNNNNNNNNNNNNNNNNNNNNNNNNNNNNNNNNNNNNNNNNNNNNNNNNNNNNNNNNNNNNNNNNNNNNNNNNNNNNNNNNNNNNNNNNNNNNNNNNNNNNNNNNNNNNNNNNNNNNNNNNNNNNNNNNNNNNNNNNNNNNNNNNNNNNNNNNNNNNNNNNNNNNNNNNNNNNNNNNNNNNNNNNNNNNNNNNNNNNNNNNNNNNNNNNNNNNNNNNNNNNNNNNNNNNNNNNNNNNNNNNNNNNNNNNNNNNNGUUAUUUUCUAUUUGUUUUUUGUUUGUUUGUUGAUUGAUUUUAUCGCGAUCGUUUUCUGUGUUUAUGCGCUUUUAUCAAUAUAUUAUUGUUUUCUUGUGUUAUACUUUGCAUACACGUUAUUUGGCCCCCACGCAUAUCCUAACUUUGGCAUAGUAUUUGAAUUUUGCAAGGCAUUUCUGAUUUUCGCUUAUUUUUUGAAUUCGCUAGGGGUUACUAAACCAGGUUGUACCGUUUUCAUUCCUUUGAUCGUUUCCCUUUCCAUUUUGCAAUUGUUGGUUUCACUUUAGAUUUCUUCAUUCUAUAACCAACCCAUGAUCCAUGUUGCGUUUAGAUGAAUUUGAUCAUAUUCCAUUUCCUUGUGUGGUUAUUGAAUGUUCCAUCUCGCUCAUGAUCUUAUUCCAUGCAUGUAUUUUUUUUUCUUCUUUCAAUUAAUUAGAUGAAUGUGAUGUUAAAUUAGUGGUGUGUUACUUCUCCUAAUUUUUUGCUUUUUAAUGUCUCUUGGGGGGCCUUCUUACAAUAGACUCUUUUUGCACAGACACCACUUGCUUGCGUUUGUUUAAUUAGGUUUUACUUUAAUUGUUUCAUUAUUUCAUAUUCCCAUUAGACAAAUGUACCCCCACUCCCAUGACGUGUAAUAAAUUUAUCGCUUUAUUUUUUAUUGCUUUGUUAAGUUAGUUUCUAACACAAGAAUAAAAUCAACUAUUUAAAAAAAAAAGAACAAAAAUAAAAACUCAAUCCAACAUCGAGUACUUUUCUUAAAGACCAAACCAUUCAACCAUUUCAAACCCUUCUCUUCGAUCCAUUUCUAACAUUCCCAAUUUCUCAAACUUUUCAUCUUAAACCAUUUUCAACUCUCAUACUAUUUGGCCAAACCUUUUCACAAUCGCUAAUCAAAUUCUUGAUCCAACGUCAAGCCAUUUUCACAAUGAAAAUAAAAAAAACGUAAUUAUUGUUAAACACUUCUCAAUAAAUAUGGAAACGGAACAUGGUGGAUACCACAAGCUCUUGAGACUAAUAUUUGAGACAGAUAUCUCGCCCAUCCUAGCUUUUGUCAUCCUUCAAAAUUAUCAAUGCGGCUUCUUCAAAACCUUUUCUCAAACAAAUUUCAAAAAACACCUAAAAUAUCAAACCUUUUGCAAAUAAGAUGAAAAUGGAAUAUGGUGGAUAUCACGAGCUCCUGAGGCUAGGAUUCGAGAUGGAUAUCCCGCCCAUUCAAGUUCUUGCCAUUACUCAAAACACAUUCAAACCAAUCAAACUCUUUUCUCACUUCCUUGCAAUUGAUCCUCUAACCCUUUUUCUCAAAUGAAAGUUACAUUGUCUCAAGAUGAUGCAAAAAUAAUGUUUUGUCCACUUGAACGUGUGAGUAAGAUUGCAACAUUACACAAGAAUGUUAAUUUAUUAACCCAGUUCGGUGCAACUUCACCUACAUCUAGGGGCAUCCAAGCCAGGAAGGAAGUCCAUUAUAACAAUAUUGGUUUGAAGUUCUAAACAACCUCUAGUUUUACAAACUUCUUACCUAAUCACUACCAGUGGAAUUUCUAUCUAAGAGUCUCCUAGAUAUGAGACCCAUCUCACUUCCCUUCAAUCAUACAACAAUGAUAACAACUGAAAAACAAUCAAAGAAUAGAAGACACGUUUCUAAUGAAACAAAAUGCACUCUUGCUUAAAAGCUCAUGAGUGAUUCAUAAUUACAACUCAAUAAAACAAGUCCAAUUCAAGUACCAAAGAGAUAUUAGAAUGCUUCACAAAUGACAAUGAUAACUAAACCCUAACAAUGACAAUUUACAGUGCAACUUUGCUAUCUUCUUAGGUUUAGAAUUGUCCUUUAAAUAUCCCUAGAAAGAGCAUGGGCUUCGUGCUUGAUCAAUGGCAGAUCCAAGGACUGCUCCACAAUCUUCUGCAGAAUCAAAUCCAUUCAUAUCAAAAGUUCCAUAAAAUUUUUGACAUCUGCACAAAAUUCUACAUAAUCAAAUCCAAUCAUAUCAGUAGUUUCUAUAAAUGUUUUGACAUCUGCACAACCUUCUGUAGAAACAAAUCAUAUCAUAAGUUUCUGUAAAUAUUUUGACAUUUGCACAAUCUUCUGUAGAAACAAAUCAUAUCAGAAGUUUAUGUAAAUGAUUUCUUCAGAAACAAGGCAAAGAACAACCUAUCAUUUUCUUCUAAAAAAUGUUUCUUGGAUGACUCAAUACGUGAAACACAACUACAAAGAAUCUUCAAAAGUUUCCAUAAAUCUCGAGAGACACUUCAGAAGUUUCCGUAAAUCAUCAGAGAAACUGAAACAGGGCUCGCUACGAUGUCGUACCAACAAGUCACGACAUCUUUCCUAACAUCUUUGUUUUCCCAAAAUGCAGCCAAUCAUAGUACACCAUACCUAACAAUCUGUUCCUUUGGAAAAUUUUGGCUUAAACAACCUUUGCAUCAUAUAGCUGGAGAAGAGAUAAAACACGGCAGUAGCAAACACAAUCACAAAAAAAACCACACUAACUUGGUAUACCACCAAGAUAAAAUAGAGGCACACGCAACAGAAAUAUAGAGACCCAGCCUAAAAAAAACACACAAAGACAGGAUUCUCUAAAACAAAAUGUUAGGACAUUCUGCAUGACACCAUACUCCCCUUGAAUGGAAUGAUCAAAUAUUACUCCCCCUGUCACACAUAACCCAUACUCCCCUCAAUGAAACAACUGAAACACUUCACACAUAAGGCAAACAACACACAGAUACAUACAUGCGCUACUCCCCCUUUUUAGCUAGAAUAUUGACAAACCGAGUAGACAUUUAUCAAAACCAGAAUCAACAACCAAAAAAUGGGUUAGGGGUACAGAACAGAGCACAUAAGGGUGGCAAAAAAAUCCAAGGAAAAUCAUACAAAUUCAAUAAAACAAUAGAAGAAAACCAACAAUUCAGAUGUCAGCAGAGGCAUUUGUGUCAUCUUCAUAGUUAUCACUAACAACAACAUCCUCUUCUUCAUUAUCUCCUUAUUCAACAUCAUCAGUCACAUGAUCAUCAGGACCCUCUAAAUCCAAAGGUUUUAUCAGUCUUUUAAGUGUGAUCUUCUUUUCAGUGUAGGUCUCAUAGUAACAUCCAAUGCUUUGACGUAUCUUUCAAUUCAACAAUCAAACCAGCCUUGGAGGUUGAACUGGAAGACUCUUUUCCAGAUGUCAAGACAAUAUUUGGGACAUGAGUCCCUUUAAAUAACCUGUAAUGAAGAGAAAGAGGAGAUUCCAUCUUGCUAGCAGAAUCAGAGCUAUUCAGAAUACCUGGAUGUUGAUUGAUAGUAACUCCAUAUAUAAGAGAAGGAAAUGCAAUGGGCAUUUUCACAGCACAUGUACCAAUAUGCUUCAAAGUUUGUUCAAAAACAUAAGCUUCAAAAUCAAAGUUGGUUUUUGUUCCAAUAACAUAGAUGAACUUCCCCACCCAUGUGGCAAUGGUUGAUGUAUGAUUGGUGGGGACCAAGUUAGAAGCUCCAAUCUUGUGAAGGAUAGAAUACUUCACACUUAAUUUGUUGGAUGACCGCUUUCGCUUUCUAGGCCAUUGUAGUACCUGUUUUGCAGUAAUUUCUUUGCAAACCAAGUUGUCAGUCACCUCUAUCUCAACCUGUUCAUCUUCACAUCUUCCCAUGUAUCUAUUAAUCACAUCAGGUGAAAAUUGCACACAUUUUCCUCUUACAAAUACUUUUCUGAAAUCCUUGUUUUUCUUGUUGUCACAAACUGCAGGGAUGUUUACAAUAAACUCCUUAACAAGUACUUCAUAGAAUUUUCCAAAACCUGUGACACUUUUCAUCAAACCAGCAUGUUCAAUGAGCUUCAUAACUUUGUUGCAUUCAAGUGCAUCCUUUCCAAGUUCCCUCUCCAGAGCUAGCCUUCUCUGGUAAAUAAACUUCCAUCUCUCAACAUUUUCAACAGAAUGGAAUGAGAUAUUAUCUAAAGGUACCUCAGGAACAUUCACAAGUAUCUUCUUCAGAACUGAAGUGAUGUCCUAAACAUCAUGUUCAACACGAAAAUCAGACUCACUUGAGGAGACCUUAUUCCUCUUCCUAUUAGCAGUCACUUUUCUUCAGAUUUUGGUGGAACCUAUACCAACAUGCUUCUUGGCAGCCUUAGAGGGCAUGCCUUCAGUCAUCACAACCUUGCCUAUUCUACUCUUCAGCCUCUUGGCAAUGUCAGGGGCCAUAUUCUUAGCAAUGGUCUCUUCAUCAGAGUCUAACUCAUUAACAUUAACAAUGACAUUGGAUUUUUCUUUCCUUCCAUCUAGAUUUUCCUCAUCAUCAGACACAUCUUGCUUCUCCUUAGCAUUCACAGACAUAGGGUCAUCAAUAGACACAACUUUAUUAGACUCAGUAGAGAUGGAGUCACUAUCACAACAAUCAUUAGAUGUUUCUGGGGUGGUUUCAGCUGGGUGAUUAGCAUGGGCCAAGGAUGUUGUAAAAUCCGGCACAUCAAUAGUCCUAACUUCCUUCAGAACACUGGAAACUAACAUACGAAUAAUUCUAUCAAUGGAAAUUUUUUCAGCAUCAUUCAAAUUAGGGUUUACCUUUUUUGAAGCAGAUGAACCAGAGGGCUCCACUCUACUAACCAGUUUUGAACAGAUAGACUCUUUAGCAGAAACAUUAGUAGAUUUAAUAGGUACAAGACAGAGGCAUGUUCUUUCUUUACAGACGGAGGUCUCAUCUUGUUUUGAAGAGAGACAUGACAUGGAACCAUUGAUAAAGAAACUACAUCAAGGACCACCUGUAAGGAGUCGAUCGUUGGAGUAGAGGAAGCAACCCUAGCUUUCAUAGGGCGGGAAGCUGAGUGAUCCUUUGAGAUGUUGAUGGGUGUUGAAACAGAUUGUUUCGACAUCUUGAAAGUUAUUUGGAGAAUAGUUUUGAGAUGGAAAGAAGAAAGUACAAAGAUGAGGAUUUUUCUAAGAAUGGCGUGAAUAGAAUCUCCAAGGUAGAUGGUAAUUAGUUGGUAGCGAGUAGGUAGGCAAAUAAUGAAGGUUUGAAAUGAUUUUCUUGGAGAAGUGUGCACCACUGACUGGACAAAAAAGAAAGUUUUUAUUGCAUGCUUUAAAACCAUUAAUUUCUAUAAUUCCUCAAAAAUGAAAAUUCCCAAUUCACCCCUUAGUUUUUCAAAUUGAUUCGUGUCCAAUGCCUCAGUGGAAAUAUCAUCCAGUUGCUUCUCAGUGGCCACAUGCUCAAGGGUAACAACCCUGUCUUCAACAAGAUCCCAAAUAAAAUGAUGACGAAUAUCAAUAUGUUGUGUCCUGUUAUGUUGAAUGGAAUUCUUGGAUAUAUUGAUUGCACUCAGAUUUUCAUAAUAUAAUAUCAUGACAUCCUGCUUGACAUUAUACUCGUUUAGCUUUUGUUUCAUCCAAAUCAAUUGAGAGCAACUGCUUCCUGGUGCAAUAUACUCAACUUCAGUAGUAGACAGGGACACACAAUUUUUCUUCUUGUUGAACCAAGAUAUAAGAUUAUUUACCAAUAAGAAGCAUCCUUCAGAAGUAUUUUUUCUCUCAUCAACAUUAAUUCAGAAUUCAUUAGUCAAGGCCUUCUUCACAUUUUUAGGUUCAAACUUUGAGAUAAAACAAGCAUUGGAUAUCACAUAUCUAGAUCUAUUGGUGAUCCCUUCAUUAAGAUUUCCAAUAAUGAGUUCCUUUGGAUGAUCUUUCUGUUUUGUGAUAGAGGGACCUUUGUUGGAUUGAGGGUUAUCUGAUUCAGUCCUUGCUGGCUCAAUGUAGGACUCAAUGUCUUCCACAUUUUUUGAAGCAUCAGUUUACUAAGAUAAUGUUCUAACAUCUUCAUCGACAUGAGUACCUUUUACAAUAAUUGAAUCAUCAACCACAACAUUAAUGGAUUCCAUCAUGCCCUUGGUUCUGGAGUUAAAUACCAUGUAAGCCAGGUUGUUUAUAGAGUAACCAAGAGAUAUCCCUUUGAGAUUCAGAUGUCCAAGCUUCUGGUGCCACAACUUGACUUCAUCUUCCUUGGACAUUAUGCAUGUGGAAGAAAAGGUUGUUUCUUGUGGUAUCCAUAAGUAACAAUUGUCCUUACAUCUGAAUCCCCUCAUCAGAACUUCAUUCUUUUCAUUAGUGACCAAACAUUCAGACUUAGUGAAAUUAACUUUAAGACCUUGAUCACAUAACUGACCAAUACUAAUCAGAUUAGCAGACAGACCUUUUACCAAUAGAAUAUCAUUAAGACUCGGGAGUCCUAUACAAGCUAGUCUUCCAACUCCUUUAAUUUCACCUUUAGCCCCAUCACCAAAAGUGACAUCACCGGUGGAGUAAGACUUGAUGUCCACCAAGAGCUUCUUGACCCCUAUCAUAUGUCUAGAGCAUUGUCAUACCCCCAAAUUCACCAUACCUACAUAUCAUCUUCGUAACCCUAAUGCAUUAGCAUAUAUUCAUCAUCCCAUCAUCUCAUUUACAUUUACACUUAUAAUAAGAAAGCAUAAACUCAAGGUAUGGUGUUCAUAUCUGAGGACCACCAAAAUAUUUUGAUCAUGAUGGGGUGUGACCAAGCCACCCUAAACCCUAAUUGCUUAUUCAAGCACUCCUUGACCUUGGGGGACUACACAAGUCACUCCAGUCACCUCUAAAACCAUAAUUUGGUUGGUGAGCCUUGGUUAAAAGCUUGGCUUGUUCAUCUGGUCAUCCAUGGACCUCAACCCUAAUACUUUGAUCCAUUGUGGUUUGUACAAGUCAUAAUUUGACUUUGUGCUUUGACCUUGACUUUGAGGAAACACUAAUAUACAAACAUUGAUCAUGCAUCAACCUUGCAAAACUACUAUAAGACACCUCUUGCACCCCAAACCCUAGUUUGUUUGACCUUGGCCUUUAAGGAACCUUUUGGGCAAGGAAACCCUAAUUUGUGCCCCAUUUUCUUCUAUUCCUUGCCUUUUCACUUGACCACCCUAUCAUUCUUUGGUCCAUUGACAUCCAAUUCAAUCCAAUUUCAAUUCUCAUUCAUCAAACAUCCAUCCACUUCAUCCAUACUUGGCAAUACAAGUGAGGGUUUUGUUUUGAACUUGAAGCUUUUGAACGAUUGGUUUCUACCAUAAGCAUGUCCCAUAAUCAUCUAUCAAAGCAUCAAGGCUUGGUAUCUAUCAAGGUUUACUCAUUUGAGCUUCAAAAAUCAUCAUGGUGCCUUGGAAUUCAGGAAAACAUCAAAGUUUCAUUUUAGGGCAUGUUGGUUGGUCAAGUUUUGGCAAGUUUGGCCUAUUAUUUGGUCCAAACCCCAUAAAGUUUUCAUAUUUUAACCUUUUAAGUAUCUACUUUGAGCCAAAUGUCCUAAAUGAAUCCCUCUCUAAGUUUGUAUGAAGAUCCAAGAACUAAUUCAAUGCAUAAGGACCUCAAAAUAUGGAUUGGCCAAGCUCUCUAGUCAAGCCUAAAAUCAUGUUCAUGACCUCCACUUUACACCAAUGCCAUUCCCACUUCACAACUCCUUUUGACCUGCUUCUUUUUGCAACAUGUUAAGGGUAUGACAAAGUUCAUUUGGCCUAAUUUUUACUCAAAAUGCACGAGCGAAUUUUAAUUGGCCCAAGUGAAAAGUUCAUGACACACCAUGUUGCACAUAUGUCAGACCAGAUCAGCCAAAAUGCGCCAAACCAUGCACCAAGUCAUUAAUCCAUGUUGUUUCACUCCCAUUUGAACCAAGGCAUGUGAUGUAACAAUUUGUGACAUCAAUUUCAAGCCAAAUAAGAUUGGAAAUCAUAUGAGCAAGCCAAAACCGAAGUCAAAAAGCAACAUUGCCAAAAAUGGAAACAAGACAAAACACCUCAACACAUGUUGGGACCACCUUUGUCUCACCUAAAGCGUGUUGUCUGCAUAACAAAUUAGAUGGAAGAGAAUUACAGGGCAAAGAUGGACCACCCUUAGCCAAAAAGUUUGUCUUUUUGUCAUUUUUCAGGUUCAAGUGAAAUCAGACUUCUCAACCCUAAAACUCCAAACAAAUCAUUCCCUCACCUUCCCUAUAAAUAGGGGGUGUUUCUCCCUUAAUUUUCCAAGCUUCCAAGCCAUUGAAACUCUACAGGAAACUCACCCCUUUCCCUUCAAAAAUAGAGUAAUAGAUUUCCAUCUUUGAGUCCUUUCCAGUACAACUAAAACACCCAAGCACAUUCACCUAACAUCUCUGAAGGUAAUUGGAACCUUGGUAGUGUUUGAAGCAACCUCACAUGAGCUAUUCAAAUCCAUCGGAACCACCAACUGAAACUGAUUCCAACAAGGUAGUUAAUAGUUUCAUUUCCAUCCAAACAAGUUACCACUCCACUCCUUAUGAUCCGCUGAUGCUAAGCCCCAAUAUUUGAGCUUCAAUCAUUGAACAACGCCAUUUUAUUUUAUUUUUAUGGUUGAGGUUUCAUUCGUGUUCAUGUGAAAUACUCCAUACUCAGAACCAAUCAUUGGAUCAUAAGUAUGGAGAAGGCAACGAUGAUCCAAGUUUGAGUGGAAUCCAUGUUUGAUUCCAUAAAAACCAUUAAGUUAGAGAGGUUCAAAUUUCAAAAAUUCCAAGGAUGAAGACGAUGUUUGAUCGUUGCUUCGCGCGUGUUCUUUGUGGUUAAAUUCAAAUAAUUAUGUUGUCACAUUUUCAUUGGUUGUUUUGUUUGACCCUGCCUCUGUGUGUGUGUGUGUGUGUGUGUGUGUGUUUAUGUAUGUGUGUGUGUGGGUGUGUGUGUGUGCGCCUCAAGUCAAUGCGCGCGUGUGUGCCUCAUGAUCAUAACCCUUCAUUUUGCUUACUUUUAUUAAUGAGUCAGAUCCAAGGGUUGGGUUUGGCCCAUUUGUUAUUUUUGAUUGGAGUUUAUUAUUUAUUUUUAUUAAGCAUGCUUAUUAACACCAAGAGCACUUGACUCAGUGGUAAGGGGGUUGACAAUUAAUGAGUCAGAUCCAAGGGUUGGGUUUGGCCCAUUUGUUAUUUUUGAUUGGAGUUUAUUAUUUAUUUUUAUUAAGCAUGCUUAUUAACACCAAGAGCACUUGACUCAGUGGUAAGGGGGUUGACCUAUGACCCUAAGGUCAGGGGUUCAACCCCCAACGCCCCCAUUGUUCUUUUUUAUUCUUUUACCUUUUAUUUCUUAUUUUCAUUUUAUUUUUCUUUCCAUUUUAAUUCUUGUUAUUUUCUCAUUUAUUUCUUUUAAACCCAAUAUGUUUGUAAAUACACUUCAUCAAAAUAUUGUGUUUUAUUUUAUCCAUUAUUUUUUUAUCACUUUAAUUGGACAUUUUUACCCUUUGUGUUUGAUUAUUGGUUGAAGAAGUUCUAUUUGGUCAUGGUAAUUGGUCUUAGGGUUGACUUAAUCUUCAACACUUCAAACAUGUUAAUGAAUGAUCAAUGGAUCAUUCAUGACACUUUGACGUGUUGAUAGAUUGCCCCUAUUUAAUCAUGUUUGAACCAUUUGAUGCAUAUAUGAGACCUCUACUUACUUGAGCCUUAUUUGUUGAUUCUAUUUGAUUGUGUUGUGUCCAUUGACCACUAACCAUUAACACUUGGACUUGAAUGUUUAUCUUGUACAUUGUUUGACCUUUAAACUUGUAAUUAUUUGGGUGAUACACUCUUCCACUCUUGAAAUCAUUGAUAGAUGGACUUGAGGUUGUAUAACCUUCUUUGAUUCAUAUCUAUUUAUAGAUGAUCAUGGAUCAUGUUUAAUACUUUGCAUAAAUGACAAAUUAUCCCUCAAUGUGCCAUAUUUUGAGUCCUUUGACUUGUGGAUUGAUAAUCCCUAUGUAGUUUACCUUGUGCCAUUUGAUUACUCACCACUAACUAUUCAUCACUAACCAUUGAUAUUGUUGACAUAAUUUAUCAUCUUGUGAUUUAUUUUGUUUUCCACUUAUUGUAUUGUCAUUCACUUUAAAGCUCCCAUCAUCAUACUUAUUAUCAUUAUAUAUAAACUCUCAUGCACCUUUAUCAAUUGUCAUUUACUUAUUGCCAUUGCAUAAUCAAAAACAACAAAAACAUGGUAAAAUCAAAAGAUAAAAAGAAUGCAUUCAUCUGUGAUUAUUGUGGGACUUUGAGGAUUUAAUUAGGACCCUUGCAUGUGGACCUUUCCCUAAUUCUUGAUCCAAUGCACUAGUUUGGAUUUUCAUCUGUAACUUGCGAUCUUUUAUUGCAAGAUUGACAUUCAUAGAACUACCCUAGGGAGACAUGCUUUUAAGUCCAUUAUCCACCUUUUAGCAUAAGUCACUUUGCACACACAAGGCUUUCUCUUGGGCUACCUAACAACGAGACCCUUUAUUUAUCGCAUUUGUUAUCUUGUAAAUAUCCAUGUAUGUCACCAUUCAAAAAUCAAUAAGAAAUAAACCCUUGAUCCAACAUCAAGUGGAAUUUUAGUAAUCAAACUAAAAAAUAUAAUAAAAAUACAAUUAUAAUUGUAUGCCACGAGCCUUAAGUGGUAAGGAAUGAGUAUGUAGAGCUUUCAUACCCUUCCUUUGAGUAUUUUGGACACAAGACGCUUGGUUUGUUUUUUUGAAAUAUUCACCUCCACCCAUAGUCUUUAGUGCAAUUCUAACCAAAAACAUUUCUUUUCAAAAAAACCUAAAAACAACAUCAACUCAUCAAACCUUAUUUUUGCGCCUUAGGGCAUCACUCCGAAAACCCUUUUUCAAGGUAAAAUCAACCAACACACAAACAUUUUCUACUCCGAACUACGGAGCUAUGAUUCUUUAUCCCUUGAUGAAUGAUACGUAGGCACAAGAGCCCCAAUCCUUGGCGAGCACAAUAAUAAAAAAACCAAAAUCUCAUUCUUUCCCCCUUUUUUCCUAAUAAUAAAGAUAAAACUUAAAGAUAAAUACCUAUGCAUGUUAGACAACUUAAAUGGUUCCCAUGGAGUACCAUGGACAUGUGGGGUGCUAAUACUUUCCCUUUGCGUAAUCGACUUCAUAACCCAUAUUUGGUUGUGAGACCAAUCCUUAUCCAUAUAUUAUUUUCUUUUAAGGGUUUUAUCGGCGAUUUCCCCUUUCCUCUCUAGGAAUAAAUAAAACCCGGUGGCGACUCUGUGUCAUUUCUUUUGACGUAAUGGUCAGUUUUUUGCGGUAGAGACAAGCAUCCACUGUCAAAGUACCAGUAUUCUCUAGCUAAAGCUCUAAGAGAGGUGUGAGCUAUAAGACUAGUGAUGACAGGCUUGGGUAUCCACUCCCUUCUGGUUUUAAUCACCACUUGAUUAACCAUAGGUUGUGUUGGAUGCAUUGGAUAGCCAUACAAUUUGAAGCAGAAGGGCUUUAUUUGACUAAAUUCUCCACAUUAAUGACAUCUCCAGCGUAAUAGCUUGCCUCCAAUUUGAGUAUUAUGAUGUUUGGCACGAUGUUGAGGCAGAUGAUUAGACAUCAUUGGCAUAGGCUCCUUUUUUGGAGGAACAAAUUUUGUCACAAAGGUUUUUCCUUGUUUAUUUUGAUAUUGGUAAUUAAAACCUAUACCUUUUAAGUUUCCAGCCCCUUUUCCAACUUGAAGAAUUUCAUCUAGCAUAUCAGACCCGUUGUUCAACAUUCUUAUGGGUUUGAUCAUGUUUUUAAGUUUAGAAGAUAAUACAUUUACCUUAUUUUCAAGAUCAAUGACAGUAGAUAAAAAUUUCUCUUUUUCAGCCUCUAGUUGAGCUAUGAUUCUUUUUUUCUCUUCUCCUGUCUUACACACCUCUUCACUUCUGACACAAAGCUCUUUGUAGGAAGCAACAAUUCUUCAUAAGAGACAUCCCCAUCACAAUAAUUCAUCAGAUUCAUAUCUACCAGUGAAAGCUGUAACAUGCGUAGCAGGUUCACCAUCAGUUUCACCUUCAGAAUCAUUAGACCAAGAAACAAACAAGCCCUUAUUUUGUUUCUUGAGAUACGUGGGACAUUCUGAUCUAAUGUGACCAAAACCCUCACAUUCAUGACACUGAAUACAUUUUCCUUGAUUGGGCUUUUCUUUUGUUCUUGCUUUUCUAUGAGAAUCAUUGUUCUUACUGAUGUCGAAUGUCAUGUUCUUGACAUCAGGUCUUUACUUUCUAUCCAUUUUAUACAACACCUUAUUGAAUUUCCUCCCAAGAAGCACAAUGACAUUAGAAAUUCCUUCAUCAGUCCCCAAGUCACAUUGACCCUCUUGAUCCUUAGUAUUGGAGAUAAAAGUUAUACUCUUGUUCUUAUUUUUAGAUCUAUCACUGAUAGCCAAUUCAAAAGUUUGGAGUGACUCAAUAAGCUCAUCCAGACUCAUGUUGCAAAUGUCUUGGGCUUCUUCAAUAUUUGUGACCUUCAUGUCAAACUUCUGAAGCAACAAUUUGAGAAUUUUUCUAACCAGCUUCUCUUCUAACAUAUUCUCUCCCUAGGCACUUUAUGAAUUGGUAAUAUCAAGAAUAUUCAUGUUAAAAUCAUGCAUACAUUCAUCAUCUUUCAUCAUGAGAUUCUAAAAUUUGGUGGUGAGAAGUUGAAGUCUUGACAUUUUUACUUUUGAUGUGCCUUCAUGAGUGGUUCUGAGGAUUUCCCAUGCAUCUUUGGCCAUAAUACAAGUAUUUAUUAACCUAAAUAUAUUUUUCAACUCCAUUGAACAAGGAAUUCAAAGAUUUGGAGUUUCCAAGAGCAAAUUCAUCUUCUUCCUUUGACCAGUCCUCUUCAGGCUUCAUAUUUGUUGUGUCCUUCCCAUCUUUGUCCUGCACCACAUGAUGUUACCAACCUUUGAUAACUGCUUUCUAGGUUCUGCUAUCCAUAGAUUUUAGAAAAGUUAUCAUAUGCGCCUUCCAGUAAUCAUAGUUGGUGCCAUCCAGAAUAGGUGGUCUAUUGACAAAUCCUCCUUUCUUGUUCAUAGUACUAGAAAAUAUCUCCCUGGAGCUCACCCAAAACAGAACAUGGUGCUUGCUCUGAUGCCAACUGAAAUUCUGGUAUAUAGAUCCCAAAUGUCAUAUACGAUGUCAUGACACCAGGAUCAGGAUAUUGUCACAACACAAACAAUAACAGUGUUCAAGUAAGUAACAAGAAGUAAAUAACACAAAUAAUUGUUAACCCAGUUCGAUGCAACUUCACCUACAUCUGGGGGAAUCCAAGACAAGAAGGAUAUCCACUAUAAUAGUAUUAGUUUAAAGUUCUAAACAACCUUUAGUUUUACAAACUUCUCACCUAAUCACUACCCGUGGAAUUUCUAUCUAAGACUCUCCUAGAUAUGAGACCCUUCUCACUUCCCUUCAAUCAAACAACAAUGAUAACAACUGAAAAACAAUCAAAGAACAUAAGAUAAACUUCCAAUGAAACCGAAUGCACUCUUUCUUAAAAGCUCAUGAGUACAAUUACAACUCUAUAAAACAAGUCCAAUUCAAGUAUCAAAGAGAUACUAGAUUGGAUCACAAAUGACAACGACAACUAAACCCUAACAAUGACAAUUUCCAGCGCAACUUCGUUAUCUUCUUAGGUUUAGAAUCGUCAUUUAAAUAGCCCUAGAAAAAGUGUGGCCUUCGGGCUUUAUCAACAGCAGAUCCAAGGAUUGCUCCAUAAUCUUCUAUAGAAUCAAAUCCAUUCAUAUAAGAAGUUUCUAUAAAUGUUUUGACAUCUGCACAAUCUUCUGCAAAAUCAUAUCCAAUCAUAUAAGAAGUUUCUGUAAAUGUUUAGACAUCUGCACAACCUUCUAUAGAAACAAAUCAUAUCAUAAGUUUCUAUAAAUGUUUUGACAUUUGUACAAUCUUUUGCAGAAACAAAUCAUAUCAUAAGUUUCUGCAAAUAAUUUCUUCAAAAAUAAGGCAAAGCACAACCUGUCCUUUGCUUAUAAAAAAAACUUUUCUUGGAUCACACAAUACAUGAAACACAACUAUAGAGAAUCUUUAGAAGUUUUUGUAAAUCUUCAGAGACACUUCAGAAGUUUCUGUAAAUGUUAAGAGAAAUUGAAACAGAGCUCGCUACGAUAUCUUACCAACAAGUCAAGACAUCUUGGCCAAUGUAUUUGUUUUCCUGAAAUGCAGCCAAUCAUAAUACACCAUACCUAACAAGUAGCUUUCACUAAAAUCGGCCAACAAAGAAACAUUUUCUACCCAGAACUAUGUAAGCCUUGAGUUAUCUAUUGCACCUAGAGAUACGUAGGACCGGGAUUUGUAAAUCUUAUCAGGCACAUUAAUAAAAAAAUCCAAAAAUAAUUUAUCUUUUCUUUUGUUCCUAUUUCUUCUUUCCCUUCUGAGUAACUCGAGAAGCCUAAUAUUUAUAAUCUAACACUAAUGUGCACAACUAACCUAACAGUUUCCAUUAAGUACAACAGACGUGAGGGGUGCUAAUACCUCUCCCCUGCGUAAUCGACUCCCGAACCCUGAUUUGAUUGCGACGACCAUUAUCAUUGUCGUUCAUUCUUGGGUUUUAUAGUUAUUUCCCAUUUCCUUUCUAGGAAUAAAUAAAGUUUGGUGGCAAUUCUAUUUAGACAUCCUGCGAGCAUGUGAUUGGGCUUCGCGAGGUCGUGUUCUCAUUUUUUGAGGUACGACAAAUGGAGACUCAGAUACGCACGACCAAGCGAGCUUUUACACUUCCUCUCUUUCACAACUUUGAGGAUUCCACGAUUAUUUUCCAAAUACAUCUAUCAUAAAAUAACUUCUAUUGAAAUUUAAGUAUUCUACUUGAUGAUGCUUGAGUUGUUUUCAAGUUUUGUCCCCAUUAUCAUAGAUUUGGAUAUUUAUUACCACCAAAUUCAGCAGUCAUUGGUGUCGUCGUCAUAAAAUUCCAGAAAGGUUCUCACCAGGAUCAACAACUUCAUAUCUACAACCAAAUAUAUCCACAAAAAUUCUUUUGAUUAAGGACACCAAACCUCGAAAGAAAAGAAGCUGAUAUGGGCUCACCCACAUCUUGGAAGCUAACCAUUCUAAAGUGCAAGAGGUAAAGCUGCAUCACGCAAGUCUCAGAACCAAGUCAUUACUUGGGGGAAGGGGAAAGGAGAUGACCAUUAACCAACCUCGCUCCUCAGAGAUGUCCAAUCAAGCCUCUCAGCACUUCCUCAUGGUAGAUUCCAAAGAUCAAUGAAGCUAACCUUAGGAACAAAGUGAUAACGCUCAAUGAAAAAUACUAUGUAAGUAAACAUGAAACAAUGCCCGCUCUCAAAUUAAACAUGGGAGAUAUAAAAACACAACAACAAUAUGAAUAAACGAAAAUUGAAAAUAAGUUUCAAAUCAUAAUAAAUAUUCUUACAAAGACAUGAGGAACACCAACUAACAUGUACAAAAUAAGUACAUAACCUAUGAGUUCGUCUUCUCACCAAGAAUGUGUUUGUGUAAGCCCUAAAGGCCAAAUAGUUUACUUGAAAAUGGUACUUGUAUUGAAUUAUCUGUUAUUAAUAAUAAGACAUUUCUUUAUUGUGUUUCUCUUUCAAAAGUCAUAAGUCCCUAUAAUAGCUAGGUUGUAUGAUGAAGCAUUAAAUGUGACUUAAUUGUGAGACCCCAUUAAACAUAAGGACAUUGUCCUUAAAGUAUGUGUAGCCAAUAUUUGUUGUGAAGUGGGAUAACAUUAAAGCAUUGAGAUUGUUAUGUGGAUAGACUAAUGAUCAUAUCUCAGGAAUCAUGGAUAAAGAGUUAUUAGGUCUUCACAGGUAUCAAUAUCAGGAGUAAUAUUUAUACUAGAUUGACCCACCAUAAGAAUACUGCAUAAAAUGUUAUGCAAGUGUCACAAGUUAUUCUAAAGGUGAUAUUGGUGUAUACAUACUUUCGACGUGAAACCAAUAUGGACUCUAUAUGACGAGUCAAGUACUUUAGUUCCAAUAAAAAAUUAUAGGUAACAAGAUGACCAUAAAGAUGGAUGAUGGGUAUUUCAUAAAUCAUGUUGAGGGACAUGAGUUACCUAGAUGGAAUUUUUCUAUUCUGCGUAACAGGAUAAGUGUCUAAGGCCUCAAUAUUGAAUUGUACAAGGGUGACAUAGUUUAUGACUUGUGUUCUUUAUAGACAUGAGAAAAAAUGGAAAUUAUACACAUAAACUAUAUUGCAAAAAGAUUUUGUCAUAUCAUAUGAUAUUUUUGUGACUUUGGCAGCAGUGAUGUAUUACUAGAUACCUCGCAUUAUUGAUUAUAUUAAAUGUGUGAUUUGAUAUAAUGGCUAAUAUCCCGAGAACCUACAUGGUUACACACUUAAGACAUAUUAAUGGGAGAAAAAUAAAUAAGUUAAGCUUAUUUGAUUAUAGGCUUUUUAAAUGAAUUAUCUUUAAUUAGAAAAACAUGGUCCACCAUAAAACACGAUUAAGUGCAAUAUGGAACAUCGUAAGGUAUAAUGUACUUAAGUCAAAUAAGAAACACUAUAAGAUAUGGUGUAAUUAAGUAAAAUAUGGAACACUAUAAGAUAUGACGCACUUAAGUGAAAUACAACAUAUUGUAAGGUAUGGUGUACUAAGUGGAAUUGUUCAGCUUGCAACUCAUAUAAAUGGUGCUAUAAAUAGAACCCUUGUAGUGAAGUAUUUGAUACUGGUCCAAAUUCAUUUUGUGAAACCCAUGUUGCAUUUCUCUCUCUUUCUCUCUCUCUCUCUCUCUCUCUCUCUCUCAUCUCUCUCUCCUCCCUCCCUCUCCCUCUCCUCUCUCUCUCUCUCUCUCUCUCUCUCUCUCUUCCCUCUCUCUCUCCCCUCUCUCUCUCUUCUCUAUAUAUAUAUAUAUAUAUAUAUAUAUAUAUAUAUAUAUAUAUAUAUAUAUAUAUAUUAUAUAUAUAUAUAGUAUAUAUUAUUAAUAUUAUUAUAUAUAUAUCCUUCAAUAGUCUUCAUUCAUAACACCUAGAAUUGAGAUUUAAGUCACUGUGUUCAUGUGGACUAAGUAUAAGUGCUUUGUUCGUUCAUCCCUUUAUUGACCUCACUCAAGGACUUCUCUAGCUCCCUUAAUGUCUUAUGAGAAGAACUUAAAGCAUCAUUCAUGUUGGUCAAAGCAGUUUCUAUGGUAUACCAUGCCUUUUGGACUGACUUUAAGGUGGUAUCCCUCUCCUUUAAUAUUAGAGUCAACACCUUCACUUUCUCAGCCAACAAAAUAGGGGUACCCAAACACUAGCACCUCAUAACCCAUUUCCCUCAAGAGGUUAAUCGACCUUGCAAGGUCAUGAAGAAGCAUGUCCCUCUCAACAACAAUUGUACCAAGACGCUCUUUUGGCUUCUCAUUUUCCUUUUGGAGGCACUCUGGUGCCAAGACUUCACUAUUGUUCGUUGCUCUGAAAGCCAAGAUAGUAGAGUCCAUGCACAUCUGGUAUGAAAUUCAUGCCAUCUCUUCCUAACGAACCACUUCGGCCUUGCUCGAAAAAUAUGUUUAGUCUUCUUUAAAAAAAUAUAUCAAUGCUCUUUAGCCGUUAUAGGACCAAGACGGAUGAGAAAUGACAAAGACAUGUUUGUUGGGUCUGAGAAUGAACUUUCCCUAUGAUCCAACCUCCACAAACUUCGCUCUCUGUCUAGAGGUAUCUUGAAGAUGGUCUCACCAAGUAAAGAACCACCAUUAGAAGCCCUUCUUUUGGAACCUUCACUAGUUUCUCUUAGUGUUGACCUAGACACAUUCUCACACAUUGGCUUGUAAGAAUACCCUCUUAUCUAAGUUGUGUUAACUCUGAGUAAGAGAAUACAUCAUAUUUUAGACCGUAUUGGAUAAUGAAGAGAUGAAUAAACCAGAUAAAUAAAGGACACUAAAUGAUGAAUCUCUUCUUAAACUAACAUGGUCACAUCAUCAAAAGAAGAUUAUAUAUCUCUCAACAUUCUCCUUAUUUGGAGCAUCAUCUCGAAGUAACAUAUCUUUUGUGCAAAUGGAUGGGGAAAAAAUAAAAAAAUAAGAACACUCAACUAUGAAUGAUACUAAAAAUGAAAAAAAGUGAGGUUCUCCACCCCAUUACCAAAUAUGUAACACCUCUACUCUCUGAUAGGUGCAUCCAUCAACAAGUGGAUCUGAAUAUACCUCUUCUUCCACUUUCCAGAUACGAAACCAAAGGAUCCAAUACUGUUGUUGGAAAAACGAAGACCUUCCUAUAAAUUUAUAAACUUAAUCUUAAAAUAUGUUUCAUCUUGAGACAAAUCAUCACGCAAAUGAAUUUAGGUUCGCUGUCCGGCUAAAAACUAGGUUUAGCACCAGAAUUUUAGAAAUUUGUCAGUACAUCUUAAGGGAACACCAGUUUGAGCCUCAUAGACACUUAUAUGUGAAGCCUCAGAGAAAGGAAUAACCAAAUAGUAUCAUACCUUUAAAACUUUCAUAUUAUCAGUGUACAUGUCAAAUAUCUUCUAACUAUGCUUAAGAGAGAGAGAGAGAAACUUGACCCGUUUUAAACUACCCAAGGUACGUUGGAUAUUGGAAAGUCAGAAGAAAAACGUAUGGAACUCUGCCUUUAUAUAAACACCAAUAUUUAAACACUUUUACAUAAGCUUAUCACAUAGGAUGCAGUUGCGAAGGGGAAAUUUCCAUGUGGUUGAGAAAUCCCAUCUCGAAGCCCUAUAUUGGAAAAUAAACAUUUAUGGAAAAGGAUUACACAUAUUUCAUGUUUUCUACAUAACUUCUUAUCAUCCUUCAUAAAGAGAACCUCUGUUUAGGAGAGUAACCCACCUCUGUGAGAGCAUUGUCCAAACCUCCUUUAUAAGCAAAGACAGAAACCAUUUACAACGUCUCUUGAUCCAUCCAUGACGGUUGGUAUUCAUUCCCAUACUUUAUGUCGGUCUGGUGGUUGCCUCGAUCCAUUCCUACUUUAGUUCCAACAGAUAAAAAACAAAUUGUUGAACAUAUGACUCCAUUUCAUACCCUAAUUAUUAACCCUAAGAUCUCACAUAUCAUUUGCAUCAUUUGCACAUAAACAAGGCCACUUCUUGGUUCCUCUCCCUCUCAUCCUUAAGCUUUGCUUCUUGCAGAGAUCACCAAGCACCUUUUUAUUGGUUUGUUUUACCUUUGUAUUUACAUGAUUAAUUGAUUAUCUAACCACUAAUCAAAAUAUAAAAAAUGUCUUUUUCCCUUAAGUUUAUUUUGCAAGGUAGGGCUUUUCAAUUAAGAGUCUCUCAAAUUAAGUCAAAGGUUCACAUGUUUAUUUCCAUGCCUUCUUCAACAAGAAACUUCAAGCUUUGAGCAAUUUAAUUAAGAGGAAAUCAAGGAAACCUUAUCCCGAGGUCAUAGGAUCAUCCAUGUGCUUUGAAAUGCAAGGAAAAUCGAAGUACUCAAGCUUGUUCCAAGAGGUUUGACUAAAAGUCAACCAUCUGAAGUCAAAGUUCCAAAGAUCACAACUCCUUCAAUUCUCAAUAUUUUUGAAUGCUUAAUUUUUCAUAUGACUCUUAUCAACAUCCUCUACAACUUCUCUUUACAUGACAAGAGUGAAUUAUGCUUGGAGGAUCAUUAAAAGUUUGGAGACAUUAUAGGUCAUUUGUGGACUUAGUGAAAUUUGACCUAUUUUCAAGUGACUUUUCCCCAACUUUAAAAGAUCAUAACAUCUUCAUUUUUCAACAUAUGAGGCUUAUUACUUUUUCACAAUAUCAUUUGUGAUACCCUCUACAAGUUUGCUUCAAGGACCAAGGUCAGAAUUUGCUUGGAAAACCAUGGAACUCAUUAAGACAUUACAGGUCAUUUUCAUACAUGAAGCACUCAAAUUUUUCUAAGUUAUAUGAUCAGUUUUUCAUGCCAACUUCAACAUAACAUAACUCUGUGCUCAAUUUUCCAAAUGAAACCUUUCUUGGCACAUCGUAAUCUUUGCCAUGAUGAUAACACUUUGCAAAAAUAAUGUGAUUAAAAAGCCUCCUGAGUAGGGUGCCCGAUUGGGUUGAACAUGGUGACUUGCAACUAAAGAAAUUGCCAUUGCACGAGUUUUGAACUUCACUAAUCUCAAUUCCAAGCCAAAUUAGCAUGUGUUUUGGACCUAAACAUGUUUAUCCAAGUCUCCAGAAGUUAAUUGAACCUUAAAAUGCAUCAUUUGGCUGUGUUUUUAGGAGUUUCAAAUCACACUUUUCUCACACUCUAAUCAAAUUACUUUUGCACGAAUUCUGCAUCAUUUCACAUGCAUUUGCAUCCAAUCGCAUUCCCUAUAAAUAGAGGGAGUUGUUACAUUCAUUUCCAAUCUUUGGAGAGCCAAGAAAUCUCUGCUACAACUUGAAUUUCCCCCCAGAAAAUUCAACUAUCGUGUUUUGAGUUUCAGCUUGUUUGAAUCCAAUAAUUUGAUUCCAUUAGCAUCUUCGACAUCCUCUAAAACUUUUACAAUAAUUCCCAAGCUCUGAGAUCUUCUGAAGUGCUCUAACCAGAUCAAGCUUCAUCAACUUCUGUUAACCAUUUGGACAAGGUAGUUUUGAGCAUCAUUUGAACUAAAACAAGUUACCACAAUGUAGUCCUUCAUUCUCUGAAGAUUUCCCUUAACUUAUCUGGUGUUGAUUGAUCGUGUUCAUCAUUUAAUUUUAUUUUUCAUGGCUUGCUUGUUUCUGAAACUUCUUUGAAAUUCCCUUUGCUCGAUUUAAAUAAAUGAAUUUGAGGCAUAAGGUUGAAUUCGGGAUGAGAAGAGGAUCACAAUGGUAGUGGUCCUGUAUUCUAAAUUUACCAAACGAUGAAACUCUGGUGAGAGCUCAUCGGAGAAGACGACCGAAGUUUUCUCUGGUUAUCUGAGUUUGGUCAGAUACGUUGGAGGAACGAAAUGUUCUGAUUGGUUGGAUUAAAAUUGGAUCUUGUGUUUGGCUUGCAACGCGUUCCAUCGUGUUCUCUAACAUAUGGAGUGUUGGAUCUGCCACGUCAGUUAAUGAGGCGUGAUCCAACGCUCCGUAUUUUUUCUGGUUUUUAUUCUUUUUCUUUUAUUAUUUUUAAUUGGUUUUUGCUUUUAAAAUUUAUAGUAAUUCCAUUUUUCAUCCAAAAUAUCCCAAAAUAAUUUCUAAAAUUCUCUUUUAUUUUUCUUCAUCUGAUUUUUAUUUUUCACAUUUUAUUUCACUCAUUUUCUAUUUUUCAUCAAUUUUCUAUUUUCUCAUUUUUUUAAUUGGUUUAAAAAUAUUUUUCUACAUUUGUAAAUUCUGAAAAUUUUAUUAUAUGCUUCUUAUUUUAUUUCAACCUUUCAUAAUUUUCUUGGCCAUUUAUUUGGUGUUUUGAAGGACUUUAUAGAUUUUUCAUUUUGUUUCUAUUUUAAAAAUUCAUUCAAAAAUACUUUAGGUGCAUUUUUAUUUCAUUUAAUUGCAUUUUAUAUUUGUGAACACUUGUGAACUUCUGUUGGCCUUGGAUCAUGAUGGUUUCAACUUCAAGUCUCAUCAAACUCAAUUGAUCUUGGGUGUUGAUGGGGUGAAAACCCUAAUCCACCAAAAUGGAUGAUUGAUUUUGAUGAUGACUUGAUCAAACUUUUGGUCCAAUUUGGGUGUGACCUCUCUUGUCCCUUUAUUCUUCAUCUCUUUCCUUUCCCUUUGAUCAAUUGGAUGACUUGUGUCCAUCUUGUUCAUGAUGUGUGGAUUGGUGCUUGAUGAACUUUCAUCAUCUCAAAUAUACCUACUAAUUGAUCAUGGAUCAUUUAAGGUACUUUGGAUUGAGGCAUAAGGUUGUCCUAAGUGUCAUGAAGUGUGGAUUAAAGUAAUGGACCAUCCUCCUAGCCUUUGUGCUUGAUCAUCCCCUUUGUUUCUUUUUUUUUGUGGCAUGUAUUAACACAAACAUUAUUAUUGACCAGCCUCAGAUAGUUGUGACUUCUACAUAAGUCCAACUACGAUUGCUUAACUUAGAGCUAAAUUUGUCCCAAAAGCAAAGGCAUUUUUAUAAGUGAGAUUUUAAAUCUCCUAUUCCUCAUGGUAUUGUGUGAAAAUGUUGGUCCUUUUCCAUUUGUGAGAGCUAGUGGCAUGAUUUUAUCCAAGUUGGAGCCCUUCUCAUAAAUGAUGUAUACGUUCAUAUUUUCAUUCUUGUAAGUGAAUAAUUGAGUGUUCUCCAAAAAUGACCAAACCAUCUUUCAUCUUUGAUUACUAACACUUUAUUGUAUUAACUUUUACCUCAAAUGUCACUUACUUUAUGCCGUUUACUUUAUACUUUAUAUUUAGCAUCCUAUAUCAUUUUAUUUGUGAUUUUGUCAUUUGGUUUGUAUCCAUUUGGACUUUAUACACAUCAUUGUAAAUAAGACAUUAAUAAAGAAAAAACCUAAACAGGAAACUUGUUUCUCCUAACUCAUGGACCUGUGGUUACUAUCCUUGGAAUCAUUGUGGAGUUAUGAAUUCAGAAUUAGGAUCUUAACCUUUACUUUGGGACUACGUCAUAUAUAUAGAGAUUUCACUCUUAAAAGCACUGAUGCAAAUGUGAGAAAAUAAAAGAGAGAAAUGAUAAUUAGAUAAAGUUGUCUCAAAUAAGUUUUAUGGUGUGUUAGAAAUGAUAAAUAAGCCUUCUUUUUAUAUAAAAAAGGUGACUCAAAUAUAGAAACAAUCCAUGGGGUUUUCAAUGUUGAUAAUCAAUUAUGUGCAUUCAAUAAUUGAUUAUCAAACCAAAAAAUGGAUGGUUUUGAUUCUAAGCCUUUUCCAAUUAUUAAGGAACUACUCCAAUCGAUUUUAGGAAUUAAAAAGUGAUAUUAUCAACUAUCCCAAAGGUCUAAUUGAUUAUCCCUUUGUAAAACAUACUUCUAAUUAAUCAGACAAUUUCGUAAUCAAUUAGCUAGAAUUUUAAGACAUUUUUAGGUGAUUUAACAAAAUCAUGAGAGGAUCUUCAAGAGGUUUGAGUGUGUUUGUUAUUUUACUUAGUAUGACCAAGAGUUUUUCUUAUACCUUUACAGACAUUGAUCACUUGAAACAAACUUGGCGAGCUUUCAGACUUCCUUGUUUUUCAAAACUCUGAAACCUUGAAUCUUCUUCAAUCACAGUCCUUUAAUCUUUGACUAAUUAGUGUUGAGAUAAAUAUUCUUCUUGUUCCAUCAUUAGACAAACAACUUGAUUAGAGAUCUUUGUUUACUUCACUCAAUGUUGCUUGACAUAAGGUGUUGUCUCCAUAUAUAGGCACAAACAAAUUAAUCUACAAACAACAAAAUCUUUAUCACCAUAACUUGAUAUUCAUCCAUAUUCACUUGAUCACUGCAUCAGAUGAUCUUUAGGUUUCAUCUUGUCAACAUAUCUUGAUCUUCAAGCACAAUAGCUUAGUCAACAUGUCAAACAUUUUCACUUGAUCAACAACAUUUCAAGCACCAUCACUUGAUCAUAAUAUCAAGACUCGUCACAUGAUCAGAACCUUGUCAAGAACCAUCACUUGAUCAACAUAUCAGAUGAUAUCAUCUGAACAAGUUGGCUUUGAACAAAUAAGCUGAUAAAGACUUAUCUUAAGAGUGUUGUCAACAUCAAAACCAAUUAAAUAGGUUGCUAAAUACUUCAUACAUGUAAGCACAUAGAUCCAAAUUCUCCCUUUUUUAUUAUGACAAUGCAUCUCUUAGAUAGGUGGACAAGGGAAGAAACAAGGGUGAUAAAAAAUUGAGUUGUUAAACUCCCGUUAACAAAGAUAGAGAUUAUACCCUACUCCCCCACAUAGUUCAAAUCAUACCUAAGAAAUUAAGGAUAAGCAUGCUUCAUUAAUUAAAUACUAGAAUUUAAGUACAAAGUAAAUAACUAAGAGCUACAAAACAAAGAGUUGUAUCUCAAAAAUUACGACCUUGCGAGCGCAUCACCCGCUCGCGGAUGACUUACAAAUUCACCACCAGAAUUUAUUUAUUCCCAAAAAGGGAAAGGAAAAUAUAGAUAAAAACCUUCGUAAUAAAAUCGGGUUCGGGAGUCAAUUAUGCAAGGGGGGGGGGGGUAUUAGCACCCCUCACAUCUGUUGUAAUAAACGGGAGCAACUUAGUUUGUUUUAUGCAUAAGUGUUAGCCUAAAAAUGUUUGCUUUCUCGAGUUGUUAAAAAUUCAAAGAGAAAAAGAAAAGGGUUGCAAAAAGGUUUUUUAUUACGGUGCCUGACAAGAUUGUGAAUUUGGCUCCUACGUAUCUCUAGGUGCGAUGGAGAACUCAAGGCUACGUAGUUAUGGGUAAAAAAUGUUUAUUUGUUGGUCGGUUUUGGCAAAAGUUUUUAUUGUCGCAAUCGAACAGAACCCAAAACAGUUAAAGGAGGGGGCGUUUUCAACCCGACAUAAUGGAUUUAUAAAUCAACAUUCGCGGGAAAAUGUCACUUAGCCCACUCACUCAAGAUGGAAAUAUAUUUCUUUUAAAACAGAGUUUAAAGUUGUGAAAGUCAAAAGGAAAAAGUUUGAAUGUGUUUGAUUGUUUUUAGGGUUGUAAGACGAGUAUUUGGACUUGUAAGUUAUUACGACUUUGGUCUAGUACCCAGGACUAUGAUUGGACAUUACACCCAAGUAGUCUUUUUAAUCAAUUUUUGUUGUGAAAAGGUUUUGAAUAUUUACAAGUGUUUUAAGUAGAAUAUGAAUACUUGGACUUGCAAACUAUUACCACAUGGGACUAGUAGUCAGGACUAUGAUUGGACAUUACAUCCAAGUAGCAUUUUUCUUCCAAUUUAUUAUGAAAAUAAUUCGAUUUCUUAAGAUAAAAGGAAUUAUUUAACUUAAUGUUUAUUUACAUGACAACAUAAAAUAUAGUUCGAGACAAAAAUCGAAAAUAUCAUGCACAUAAAAGUAAUAGAGAAAUAGCAAUAAAAAGGGGGUACAAAAAUAAGAAUCACAAAAUUUUGGCCCAAGGCCUAAAUAUACACUAACCCUAAUUAUAUAACAAAAAAAGGAGAAAAAAUGGACAAAGCUAUAACAUUGGGAAGUCUCCCCAUUCAAAAUCCGAAUCUAUAUUUUGGAGAAAAUGUAUAAAAAAAUAUACUCAACGGGGACCUCUUAGUUAAAUUUGCGAUUAAAAGUUAGUGUGAUGUUAAUUGUUUUCUUAUACUUAUUGAGUGAUAAAAGAGAAAGAAAAGAGAAAUGUGUUUUAUUAAAGGUGUGAUUUUUAUUAAGGCGUGCUUGACAAGAUUUCGAAAUCCUUGUCUUAUGUAUCUCCAGGUGUUAUGAAGAACUCAAGGCUAUAGUUCUGGUAACAAAGAACUUAUGGGUUGAUUACUUUUAAGGAGUGAUUCUUUAGACAUAUUGAGUACUAAAACUUUGCUUGUUGCUUGCUCUUGGAGGCUGAAGCAUUUGUUUAUUUCAAGUCAAAAUGGAUAAAGAAUACUCAUUUCUGAAAACGUUUUUGAAGUCGCACAAGGGCAGAAAAUAAGUUUGAUUGGUUAAGUUGCUUUUAAGUGGAGACAGACGUCCAAACAGAGAUCUCUACAACAAUAUUCAAAUGUAUGGAAAGGAAGAGGCCUAAGCCCAAUCGCUCUCUUUUCAUCCAAGUGUUAUUAUAAGAAUGUGUGAUGAAUUAGGUCAAAGUUCAUUAACGAAAGACGAUUAUUCACACAUGGAGCUCUCUAGUAGUUCCCUAAUAAUUGGGAAGGAGAAGGUCGAUACCCAAUCAAUAUUUUUUCUUUUAUAGGAUAAUCGAAUUAAUUCAAAUAAUUAUUGUUUUUUAACAUGGAAGACGGAUGUUCAAACAUGGAGCUCUACAACAGUACCCAAACAUUCGAGAAAGAGAAAGUCAAAACCUAAUAUUUUUCUUCCAUAUUUAUUGUGAAAGGCUUAAAAGGGAACGACUUAGCAUUGGAAUUAAUCGGAAGGGACACUCGAAUUUGGAUCAAGCACUUGCGUUGCAUUUAAUUUGAAUUUGAUUUGGGAAAAAGGCUCAACUUUGGAUCGAGUAUUAUUUUUGUUAUUUUCUGAAAGUGGUUAAUUUUAUGCUAAUCUUGAAUUAAUAAUUAACUAAUGUAAUAAGAAUAAUAUAAAUGAAAGCGGUAAACUUAUUACAUGUCACGUGGAUGGUGAUACAUUUUUUUUGAAUGGGGAUAUAAUAAAGUGAUUAAAAUACAAGCCUACUAAAUAAGCAAAUGUAAACAAAAAGGAGUUCAUUUUAAGAAAGCCCAAGAGAAAGCCAAGGGACCAGAAAUAAACUAAAAUCUAAAGUAAGGAAUUUAGCGCUAUGUUAAACUAACUUAAAGCUAAAUUGAAUUUAAGCUUCGAAAUUGAAUUUAAGCUUCGAAAUUAUGAUGCAAUGAACCAAACAACAUCAAUUCGAUGAUUUAUGUACAACAACUUCAAAGGUAAAAUAACCGACAAUUAAACUAAUGAAUUUAGCGAUAUGUUAAGCUAACUUAAAGUGAAUUCAUAUAGGAAUCACUCUAUAAGAAGUCGAUCAACAAAGACUAUAAUUAACUAAUUAAAUAAAAAUAUAACCAAUUAAUUAACUACUAAUUAAAAUUAAUCAAAAUAAUAAAAAUAAAUAAUAAGGAUGUACAAAAUGAUCAUGGGGGUGUGAAGAGUAAAUAUGGGUACAUGAGCAAUCAAAACAACGCACAACAUGAGCCCAAGGCCCAUAAAUUAUAAACCCAAAUCUAAAAUAAUAAUGACAAAUAAUAAUAAAUAACAAAUAAUAAUAAAUAACAAUAAUAAUAAAAAUAAUAAUAAUAAUAAUAAUAAUAAAAAUAACAACAGUAAACAAGAAGAAAAUAAUAAUAAAAUAAAGAAAAGAGAGAGUGUGGGGCGGGAGACACUUUCAAAAAGAGAGAGGAUGUUUUUUUUUCAAAACACAAAAAGCCACAAACCGCAUCGUGACACGUGACAAGGAGAAGAACUAGUCAAAACAAAAAAAUAUAGAAUUUCCUCAUCCUCUCUCUCGUUCGGCCAGUCUAUUUCAAGAGCAACAACAACACAACUUACUUCUACAAAUAAAAAUCUCUCUCUCUCUCUCUCUCUCUCUCUCUCUUCUCCUCUAUAUAUAUAUAUUAUAUAUAUAUAUAAUAUAUAUAUAUAAAUCUAUAUAUAUAUAUAUAUAUAUUAUAUAUAUAUAUAUAUCAUGUCUUAAAUUUUUUUCCUUAUUCAAACCAAACUCUUGCCAGUGGAUAAAACCCUGUCACAUUCAAAUUAACACACGAUAUGGAUAAAUAUCUCAAAUCUAACCGCGUACAAUAAAAUAUAAAAAGAAAGGCAAAAAUAAGCUUCACCUAUAACAUGGAGAAUGGUGACUAAGGUGGUGUAGGUGAAGUUUUUUUUAUGUUGUUGUAAUUGGUUGUUGUUGAUGAUGAUGGUGAGUGAAGGUGAUGUUUAUGUCAUGUGUUGGUUGAUUAUGAGUAUGUUACGAACGGAGUUGGAAGAUUUAUGUUGUAUGUGGUUUGUGAAGUUGAUGGAAGGUUGAUGAAGAGAUAGAGAUAAAGAAGGUGAUGAGUGUAGUUGAGAGGAGAGUAGAAGUGAAUGUGUUUGUGAUAUGUGGAAGAGAGAAACGAUGUUCAUUUGUAGUUCAGAAAAGAAAUAUUAUUUCUUUCAUUCGUUUCCCUUUUCUCUAACGGUGGAGAGAGUAUUAUCUCUUCUUAAAUGGCCCCCUUGUUUAGUGGUGCGUCUGUGCCCUCUUUUUCUUCAUGCUGCUUCAUCCAUAUAUAUUAUAUAUAUAUAUAUAUAUAUAUAAUAUAUAUAUAUAUAUAUUAUAAUAUAUUAUAUAUAUAUAAUAUAUAUAUUAUAUAUAUAUAUUAAAAAAAUACUUAAAUACAAAAGGCCCCUCUUGGGUGUUUUAGUAGAUUAAAAUGAGUUCAAAUCCUUUAAGUAAAAUAAAAUCCAAACAUUCUAAAUAGUCAAAAUUAAAUCAAAACAAGAACAUAAAAAACUAUAACUAAUUCCAACAAUUAUUUUGACUGAAAAACAAAAAUAAACGAAUUAAAAAUAAAUAAAAAUCGAGCGCAAAAAUAUCUGAAAACUAAAAUACAUGCACAAAAAUGAUCAGCGCAAAAUAAACUUCUCGAAAACAUUCAUGUUUGAUCAAAUCUUAAAGUAAAAAAUGUUCGGUUUAAAAGGAUUUGGCUGGUCAAAAUACGAUCAAAAAAUAAAGCGAGCAUGAUCAUUUAAACUACGAGAACUGUAGAUUAAUAAUACUGACAUCUUCAAACUCGAUUUUGAUAUUUUUCGCCCGUUAAUUUGACGUGCAUUUGAGAAUUAAUUCAAUCGAUUUAACUGUAGAUCCAAAAAUUUAUUCUAGUUGACAUUUUAGGUGUUAUGCAGAACGAAAUGCAUGUUGUGAUGAAUAGAUAAUACAGAUGUCUGGUGAAUGCUUUGAUUUAUAGAUUGGAAUUUUUGAAUAGAUAAUCAGAUACAAAGGAAUCAACUCUUGGACCCUUUGCUUCUAACUCUCAAUCAUAAUGACAAUCAAAACCUUACAAAGAUUCAGAUGAGAACAAUAUUAUUGAUUGUCAUCCCUCUGAACCUAUGAAACUUAAUGCAAUGGAAUGGAUGAUGCAAUGAGACUAAGAAACUAAGUCUUUCGACUUCUUAACCUCCAGAUGACUGAAUGAAUGUCACCAAUACCAGAUAAAUUGUUAGAACUCCAGACUUUUCAUCUAAACCCUGAUAAAUACUUUUCACUGAUGAAAUGCAUGAUCAAAUGAAAUUUUCGUACUACGUUGAUGUAGGUGAAAAACCUCAGGAUAAAAUUUAAGGUAUGACAGUUGUCCCUAUUUAAACAUUUUUAACUUGAGGAUAUGAAAAACUCUUGUCUUCAAAUCAUCAAGGUGAAAGAUGGUUUAAAUACCAUACAUACCCAAAUUUUGCUCUUUUUUACAAUAGAAUGAUACGCUUAUGGUUAUGAAUGAUGUGCAUUGAGAUUAAGAAAUACUCUUAUUUUCUUAAUCAUCAGAUGUUAUGUUAAAAAGAAUAUAAUAAUAAUAAUAAUAAUAAUAAUAAUAAUAAUAAUAAUAAUAAUAAUAAUAAAGAAACACAACUAACCACAACCUCUGUAAAUAAUAGUGAACUCUAAGGAAUUAGAAUGAAACUAAUUGGACUUUGACAAUAUUGGNUUUUCUUAAUCAUCAGAUGUUAUGUUAAAAAGAAUAUAAUAAUAAUAAUAAUAAUAAUAAUAAUAAUAAUAAUAAUAAUAAUAAUAAUAAAGAAACACAACUAACCACAACCUCUGUAAAUAAUAGUGAACUCUAAGGAAUUAGAAUGAAACUAAUUGGACUUUGACAAUAUUGGAAACAAGGUCUUGAUAGCUAAUCAACGCAUCACUUUGUGUUUCUGAUAACCCCUGUCACGCCUCUAAUAGUCAGAAAAGUAGACAACCUUUUGAAACAUUUGAAUUGCUUUAAAAUAUGGAAUAAGAGCUCAUUGAAGGAUUUAGUUAGGGCAGUCUCACACUGCUACUUAAAGACUUUGCACAUAGGAUACACUGCAUAUGCUAAUAAAAUACCAAAGUGUAUGGUUGAAGUAAGCCAAAUAACACUUCAAAAAUAAGUUCUUAUGCCUGAAACUGGAGGAACAAUGGAUGUUUUCACUAUUAGUAAUAGGUUGGACUCAUUACAAGUGAGAUCCUGUUAGGUGAAAAGGUGAAGCAUCUAGCAAAAAUGGACAUAAAAUAAAAUUAAAAAUUAAAAAAAUAAAUGCAUUUCUAAUCCUAAAAUAUCCCCCAUAAAUAUUAUUUUCGCAUUCAUAUCAUAUGCAUCAUAAGGUCUCUUAGGGACCAAAAUUUGUUUCUUGAUGUUGUUAUUUAAGUCCAUUCUACCGCGUUAAUAUGAAUAUUUUAACCUUCACAUCCCCAGAUAGAAUGAGCUUAAAUAGAGGCAGUUGUAAGACCCAUAUUUUGACCCCUAAGAUCCCUCAUGCCAUCUCAUAACAUUGCAUUGGCAUUGGGAUCACAACUUGGUAUCCUUCUCACCUUUCAUUCAUUGGGUUUUCAUUGGGAGAGAUCACCAAGCAUAUUUGAUUGUAUCAUACUUUAUUUUUCUUUGUUUACUAACCAAAAUACCAAAAACAUGUCUAGUGUAGCUUUAUUUCUUUUGUAGGUAGUGUGUGUAUCCACUUGUGCCUCAUCAAGCUCAUAACUAGGGUUUGAGACCAUCAAUGCAAGGGAUCUAGUUAGAAAAGGACAACAUUGGUUCUAAGAAUCAUAUAUAGAUCCCUAUGUUCUUUAUAUGUCAUUUUGAUCAAGAAUUCAUGAAGAGUUUAAAGCCUGUUUGUCAAGGAAGCCUUAAUUCAUCUAGGUAUCUUGUGUGCCUUCCUCAACAAGUUUCUUCAACAUUUGGUCAAAUAUAUUAUGGGAUACUUCAUUAAACAUCAUAAUAAGUAUAUAUGAUCCUCCAUGAGCCCCAAAGAGCAAGAGAGCUUCAAGUUUGCAAGUUGGUUCAAGGAGGUUGACCAGAAAAGUCAAAUGAUCAAAUCUAGGGUUCCCUAGACCCUAUCUCAUACAAUUUUUAUCGUAUGAAAAUUAUUCCAAGAUCCAAGUUACUCUUUGUGACAUUCCAAACAACUUUCAUGUUGGCAUCAAGAGCUAACUGUUCUUGGAAAGUCAUUUUUUAUGGUAAACGAUUAUAGGUCAUUUUGUGCGUGCCCUAUAUAGAAGGUCAACUUCCAAGAACCAUAACUUGGUCAAUUUUUAUGAUAUGAAGAUGAUCCAAUUUUCAUGAUCAAUUUCAAGAUGUCUUAUUAAACUUUGUUUCUUUGAGAAAGGUCAAAUUCCACUUGCAAGGGCAUGUGCCAUGAGGAAAGAUUAUAGGUCCAUUCUGGUCUUCACCAUUGAACAAGCAUUUUUCCUCAACUUCUAAAAUUCGUAACUCUAUCAUGCAAGAUGCAAAUGGUGUCAAAUUUGUGACCAAAUUGAAUAUGAUUAAGAGAGCUAAAACUUUGAAUAAGGAAUCAAAGUCAUUUAAAGCUUAUAGAAAAGUUAUUAAAGGUGGAAAAAGGGGUCAUUUGACUUUUAACUUAGAAAAUUUUCAAGUAUGUUUGAUUACUCCAACUUCAAGGUCAGAAUUCAUAAUUAUGGUAGCUUUCCAAAGAUUCCAAGAUCGUUACAUUUGAACUAGAUUUGAAAGGGUUACGCAUAGCUUCUUUGCAUGGCCCAAAUUGGCAACUUUUGAACUCAAAUGUUAAACACCUUUGCAUGGCUUCGUGUUAUGAUCUCAUCAUCAUUUAUGCACGAAUUUGGACUGAUUGCACUGAUCAUUUAGGCCUAAACACAUGCCCAUGCACCCAUGCACAUCAAUUACUAUUUUUGGAUUCAAAAUUCAAAUGGUGUGGUAAUGAAUUGAAUUGCCUAUAAAUUGAACUCCAUAGCCUCAGAAUGAAGGAGAACCCUUGCCGAAGUUGUGCCAAGCAAUCUCUUAGCCAUACUUGAGAGAAUACCUUGAAGAUUUCAUUGAAAUUGAGCUUCUAGUUCAACUUCUGUUUCUGAACUAGAACCCCAAGGAUUCAAAGCCUUUUUAUUCUAAUCAUCUCUUACAAGCAAGAGGAAGCAAAGCCAAGUGGAAUUGCAUCAAGAUCGAGCCUCAUCACUAUAACCCGAAGGUGAAUUUUCUAGAAUUUGAACUCUUUGAUUCUCUCUCAUUUCUUAAUAUUUUUUCUUAUUUUGUGGUUGCCUGAAGCCCUACCAAUGUAGGCAUUGAUAUUGAGUUUCUUUGAGGUUGAAUCGAAGCAACUCAAUUUUGGAACCUCAAUUUUCAACUCCAGAUUCUCAUUAUAGAGUGAGAGUUGGAAAAUUUAGAGGUCAUAUUUGGAAUCCUCAUCAUUUUAUCUUUAAAUUGAUGUAUGAUCCAUUUAUUUUGGUGACAUUUUGUAAGACCAGUCCAGUGAGUGUGGCCGGAGAAGAAUAUCGGAGAUAUGGCUCCGGUGGUGUGUUGGCUCAGUCCAGACAAUUUGAUCUUGUUGCCACGUUCUAAUCUGGGCCCUUGAUUCUGAAUACCACUUAUACAUGCGCGUUGACUGAUGACCAUGGUGGAUGCUAUACACGUAGCCAUCAGAUCUGUCACCUCAAUUAAUAAGGGAAAUCUGAUGGCCCUUAUUUUUUUUAUUUAAUUAAUUUCCAAUUUAAUUUUUUAAAUAGCAUUUUCUCUUAAUUCACUAUAAUUUCAAUUUUAAUGCAAAAUUUAUGGGACUUUCACUAAAAUUUCACAAAUAAUUUCCUCUUCCAUUUUCUAAAUUAAAAAUAAUUUUUGGAUUCAGUUUGAUAUUUUUAGUGAAUUUUGUGACUUUUGACUUGUUUUUAAUUGAUUUUAAAUACUUAUGACUUUCAAAAAAAUGCAAAAAAAAAUAGUCAAAGGUCCUUUGACCUUGUUUGACCUAUGAUAAAUCCCUUGGCCAUUUCUUUGGUGAUUUGAAGGGAUUUGAGGUUUUUUCCCUUUUAAAAUGGAUUUUCUUCAUUUAAAAAUUGAUUUAAAUUAUUUUAAUUGCUUUUAUAUUUUAUUGAUCUAUUUUAUUUGACUUUGUGUUGACUCAACUUCUGUUUGGCCUUGAUCUUGAUUGGAUUGGACAUUAAUUUGAUCAAUACCAUGGGAUUUAGGGGUUUGAUGAAGUUUGAACUUCAUCCCUCAAAAUGAAUUGAUGGUAUUGAUCAUCUGAGGUUCAUCAUUUGAUAAAUUUGGGAUAUCUUUCACCUUAUCUUUCCAUCUUCAUAUCUCUUCUUUCCCAAUCCACUCAUGACCAAUGAUUUCUCAUAAGAUCAAAAUGCUAGUUAAUUCAUCAAUGACCUUGUGUCAGAUGAAUCAACAUGAGCUUGAUUGAAAUAGGUACAUCCCCUUUUAUUUUUGUGUGUGGUAUGCUUUAGAUGCUUGGUCUUUAUACCUUGUCUCUACCAGGCAUUAACACCAAUAUUAUUAUUGCCUGGCCUCAGAUAGUUGUGACUUCUACAUAAGUCCAAUUACGAUUGCUUAACAUAUCGUUAAAUUUGUCACAAAAGGCAUAGACUUUUUGUAUGUGAGAUUGUAAGUCUCACAUUCCUCAUGGUAUUGUGUUAGGAUUUUGCCUCUUUCCCAUUUGUGAAAGCUAGUGGCAUACUUGUUGAUUUAUCCAAGUUGGAGCCCUUCGAAUGGAUGAUGUCUAGGUUCAUAUCUUCAUGCUUGUGAGUGGAUGGUUGAGUGUUCUCCAAAAAAUGACUUAAAGACAAUCUUUUCUUCUUCCACUAACAUUCACUAGCAUCUCUUUAUUGUUGACUUUAUUUUUAAUGUCAUUUACUUUAAUGCAAUUUAAAUUCUUGCAUUUUAUCAUUCAUUGUCAUUUACAUUCAUGCAAGUUGUUUAUCUUUCAGUCAUUUUCACUUAGCUCACUUGAGCCAUAUUUUGGGCUUGUAUUAUAUUGUAUGCUUGUGAUCUUGUUUUGUUUGUAGUCUUAGGACCUUAAAACACUUAAUAAACAAUAAAAAACCUAAAAAAAUACUUUGGUGGACUGUUGGACCUCUGUCUGUGACUUGAUCUAAACUUUUGAACUUAGAGUAGGCAACAUCCCUGUGCUUUGGAAGGACUUGGCGAAUUCCAUUAAUAUGAGACCUUAUCUUGACCAAUGACAUUCACCUAAUACAAGCAUUGAGAGACUCCUUUGGUUUAUUUAUUAUACACUUUGUCUUUGUGCUUAAGUUGUUAUUAUGAUCUUAUUGUUUCUAUCUGAUGCUUUCUCUUUGAGUAUGUUUCGAGGGAUAUUUCAUCUGAUACAAUCUAAAGGACAUUGAAGAUUGUUUGCUUUGGAGUUCUUGCUUGGAUGUUUGGUUAUAUUUCUUUGAUGCCAUCGGCCUUCUUCUUAAUUUCUUGGAUGAUUAUGCUUGUGGCUUGCUUGACAAUCCAAAGGAAAUGGUUUUCUAUCUGACACUAUUGUCUUGUGGAUACUUCCCAUUGGUUAGAUCUUUUCAACUCUAAACUUUAAAUCUUGUCUAAUGCUUGACAAUCCAAAGGAAAUGGUUUUCUAUCUGACACUAUUGUCUUGUGGAUACUUCCCAUUGGUUAGAUCUUUUCAACUCUAAACUUUAAAUCUUGUCUAGGAUAGUCCCUUCAUCUCCUUCUGCUUCUUUAAUUUCAAAAUCUCUCCCUCACUUUCAAAAACUUAUUUGUUGGUUGUUUUCAACUUAGACUUGUUUUAAUGAGUAGAAACCUUGGCCUUAUGCCAUUGAUAUUCAAAAUAUUUUUCUUAAGAAAACUUUUAAAUGAAUUUAAUUAUAUUGACUUUAUAUUCAAAAAAAGACAAAAAAAAAAGAACUAACAACCUCAUCUAAUCCUUUUGGCCAUUUUGUGCCUUUUCCUUUUAAAUUUUUCAAAAGCGAGCAUUUAGAUUUGAGUUAUCUUUGGUUGAUAUAUAAUUCUUCCAUUCCAUGAUAUAUUGAUUGUAAGUCUUUCCAUUUAUUAGGGGUUAGUGGCAUACUUAUUGAUUGAAUCCAAGUUGGGGCCCUCCCUCUUAAAUGUUGUGAAGCCCUCAUUAUCGGUGGAUUUGGGCUUGAAUAUUCUCCCGUUGAUAACAAAAGAUUUUUAAGCUUUUGUUAAAAUCAAUCCACCUAUCUUUGAAAUUUUUACCUUGAACUACGAGGUUUUUAUCCAUCUUUUUAUGUUGGUACGUAGGCCUAAGUCCGAAGGUCUUGUCAAACACAAAAAUUAUAAAUAUUGAAUUAUCUUCCCAUCUCCUCAUUCUAUUUUUUAGCAAACAUCUUUUUCAACUAAAACACUUGCACGCAAAAAGGGCUCCUUAAGAGUACCUAGGACACUUUGGGUGCUAAUACCUUCCCUCUGUGUAACCAACCCCUUUACCUGUAAUCUAUGACAAUUUAUUAGUUUUAAUUUGAAAACUUAUUAUCUUUGGUUUUGUUUGUACUUUUCCCUUUUCCUUUGGAAACAAUAAAAGCGUGGUGGCGACUCUGAUUUUAUUGACGUUGAGGUAACCAAUAACUCAGUGGCCAUAAAAUUACCACUACAGAAAGAAAGUGGCGACUCUGCUGGGGAGUAGUCCUCAGUGGGUUUAGCCUACUUUUUAUGUUUAUUAUAUUUGUUUAUUAUUGAUGUUUGUUUGCUUGUAUGUAUUGUAUGUGUGAAACUUUUUGUCUGUUGUGCUUGGUGAUCUCUGUGUGGUGAGAUAAGUUCUAUCCCGAACUUGAGUGAAAUCCAAGAUAGGAGGGUGGUAUAGUCAUUUUGGCUUUGAAGGAGUAGUUUUUGGUUCUAUGUGUUGGCAUCAAUUUUGGUAAAACUUAGGGUUAUCACAAGAUGUCACACGUGAUAUCAGCUUCCUGCAGGAUGUUUAAUAUGGUUGUGCAGGAUGUAGUCAAGACGUCAGACCCGAUGUUAAGACAUGUGCAUACAGAACAUUAAGUCUGAAUGUUAUGUGUUGUAUUAUUGCGCUUUUCAUGCAAGUCUUUGUGUGCUUAUGUGGAGAUUGCAUGCGUUAUUAAAGGAGUAAUUAAAGCCAAAAUAUUAUGCUUCCCAAAGAGGAAUGAUUUGUUACUAAUUCCUAUGGAAUACGCGUUAGAUAGGAUUAGGGUUACAUGCUUCCCAGGCCCAUUCAGAAAGCUUCUAUUUAAAGACCAUGUAACCCUGUGUAAUUGCAAGAAGAAAAUAUGCGAACGUUGAAGUCAGUGAGUAUUAGGGUUGUUAGCCUAUUGUGCAUUCAUGCAUUGUGAUCCAUUCGUUCAUCUGGUUGAUGUGUGAAUUGGACUGAGUUUUGUGUUGUAAUUUGUCUACUCUAAGCUUUGAAGUACACGUGUAUUUGUUUACUUGAUUUAAGCUUUUAAGCAAGAUCAAGUAUGUGUCCUUGAAGUGUGUCUUCUUUCUUUGUAGUUUUUGUUCUAAUAUCACUGCUGUGAUUGAGGGGGGUGAGUAGGGUCUCAUAUCUAAGAGUUCUUAGAUAGAAGUCACACGGGUAGAGAUUAGGUGAAAAGACUGUAACUUGAAAUUAUUUACUGAGAGUCUUUGAACCAAUUCUAUUUACUGGAUUUCCUUCCUGGCUUGGUAGCCCCCAGACGUAGGUGUGUUUGCACCGAACUGGGUUAACAAUUGCUUGUGUCGUUGUUUCAAUUGUUUCUUUAUUUUUAUCCUGUUUAUAUUUCACUUGUUGUUCAGAUAUUAGUGUCGUGACAUUACCUUCGACAUCUCAUAUUUGAUACCAGAAUUUCAAUUGGUAUCAGAGCAGGCAUCCUGCUCUGGCUCUGGGUGAGAUCUUAGGACGUUACUUUCUGGUACUAUGGAUAGAGGCGGAGGAUCUGUGCACAGACCACCAAUUCUGGAUGGAUCUAACUAUGACUACUGGAAACCUCGGAUGGUAGCCUUCCUGAAAUCCUUGGAUAAUAAGGCUUGGAAGGUUGUUCUAACAGGCUGGGAACAUCCCUUCACUACAAAGGAUGAAGAAGUUACAACUGAUAAGAAGCCUGAGGAAGAAUGGACCAAGGAGGAGGAUGAACUAGCUCUUGGAAACUCUAAAGCAUUGAAUUAUAUAUUCAAUGGGGUUGAUAAGAACAUCUUCAGACUGGUGAACAAUUGUGAUGUGGCUAAAGAUGCUUGGAAUAUUCUCAAAACCACUCAUGAAGGUACCUCUAGAGUAAAGAUGUCUAGAUUGCAGCUGCUUACUUCAAAGUUUGAGAAUUUGAGGAUGAAAGAAGAUGAAAGUAUUCAUGACUUCCAUAUGAAUAUCCUUGAAAUUGCUAAUGCCUUAGAAGCCCUGGGUAAGAAGAUGUCAGAUGAAAAGCUUGUGAGGAAAAUUCUCAGAUCACUUCCCAAGAGAUUUGCCAUAAAAGUAACAGCCAUAGAAGAAUCUCAAGAUAUCUGCAAGAUGAGAGUGGAUGAGCUAAUUGGAUCCCUCCAAACAUUUGAGUUGGGAAUGAGUGAUGGAUCUGAAAAGAAAGUCAAAAGCAUAACCUUUGUGUCAAACACUGAAGAUAAAAAGGAAGAAAGUAGUCAGGAUACUGAUGAAGAUAUGGCAAAUGAUUUAGCGUUACUUGGAAGAUAAUUCAACAAAAUCCUGAAGAGCAUGGAUGUGAGGUCAAAGUCUAAUGUCAAGAACAACUCAUUUGACAUCAGUAGGCCCAAUGAUGCUGGAAGAAGAACAAAAUCUAAAGAAAAAUCCAGACAGGGCAAAGGAAUUCAGUGCCAUGAAUGUGAAGGGUAUGGUCACAUUAGAGCUGAAUGUGGGACCUAUCUCAAGAAACAGAAGAAGAGUCUUGCUGCUACUUGGUCUGAUGAUAAUUUUGAAAGUGAAACAGAAGGAGAAUCUGCCAAUAUUGUGACUGCCUUGACUGGGAGAUGGGAUCCUGAUGAAGACUCCAGUGAUGAUGAAUUGACCUUUGAUGAAUUAGCUACUUCUUAUAGGAAGUUGUGUUUCAGAAGUGAAGAAGUGUGUCAACAAGUGGAGAAUCAUAAGAAACUAAUAACUCAGCUAGAGACUGAGAGGACAGAACACUUAGAAACCAUCUCUAAGUUGAAGAUUGAAGUUGUGUUCCUCAAUUCGAAACUGGAUUAGAUGACAAAGUAUGUCAGAAUGUUAAACAGUGGAUCUGACACCUUAGACAAAAUCCUCCAGGCUGGAAAGAUGGCAGGAGACAUGACUGGCCUUGGGUUCAAUGAAUCCUCUCCUGACUGUAGUCCCACUGGUAGCAAACCAAAGAUGUCACAUCAGGUGUCUCAACAUCACAAGGAAAGACAACAUAAAGGAAAACACCAAAGAUGGAGAUGUCAUUAUUAUGGGAAAUUGGGUCACAUAAAGAAGAUUAUCCAGAAGAUGGUUGUGACGUACAGAGAUUCACAUGAGAUGCUCCCAUUUACUUUGCAUGGGUACCAUACAUCCCUCUAAACUUCAAUAGGGGAAACCCCUUUUCUCUCUUGUUUAUGGCAUGGAAGUUGUGAUCCCCGUAGAGGUUGAGAUCCCAUCAUUGUGUGUAUUGAUGGAAGCCAAGUUAACCGGAGCUAAAUGGUGUCAGACCAAGUUUGAUCAGUUGAAUUUGAUUGAAGAUAAGAGAUUAACUACCAUGUGUCAUGGUCAAUUAUAUCAGCAGAGAAUGAAGAAAGCUUUUGAUAAGAAGGUCAAGCCUCGUGUGUUAUGAGAAGGUGACCUCAUGCUCAAGAAUAUGUUAUCUUUGAAACAUGAUUCAAGGGGCAAGUGGACUCCUAAUUAUGAAGGCCCAUAUGUUGUUAAGAGAGCCUUCUCAGGCGGUGUAUUGAUUAUUACAACUAUUGAUGGUGAAGAGUUCACUCGUCCUAUGAAUACUGAUCCAGCUAAGAAAUACUUCGCCUAAAAAAAGAAAAGAACAACUCGCUAAGUUGAAACCCGAAAGGGCGACUUAGGAAAAAAUGAGCGUCUCGAUGGAUUGAAAACCUGAAAGGGUGAUCCAGGAAAAAGUUAGAGACAUAAAACAGAAAAAUUAUCCCGGUAGAUUGAGUACCCCACCUUGGGGAAAUCUAGGCAAAAAUUAGGGAUUAUGGAUAGUAAUUACAUCCAGCUAGAUCUGAUCGUUGAAGCAGCAUUGUCCGUCAUUUGGUUCUAAUUCAUCAUUUUCAACCGAAGACAAAAGCACAGUGGCUUUCAAAGUUGGUAGGGAGAGUAGUUGUCAUCAUAUUCAGUGUAGCCCUUUUCCAUGUAAAUUACCAUUUUCAAACUUUGUAAAGAUCCAUGGAGUCCUACCAUUUGCAGACAACCAUUCUAUUAAAUAAAAUUGAGCCUUUAUCCAAUUAUUUGCAAUUCUUAUUUGUUUCUCUUUAAUAAAACUGCAUUUUUAUGAUGAUGAUUUUGAAAUAAAUAAAUCAAUGAAUAAACAUUUUUCUAAAAUAAUAAGGCAUUUACUUUAAGAACUUUGAAUUCAAAAAAGGAAUGUCAACAACAAUCUGAGAACGGUAAGUCUUAACGUGUGAAGCAUUAUUGUCUUCCCCAUGCAGUUUUUGGAGGUGUUUGCUCCUUAAACAGUCCGUUGUUCAUCCCCAGCGUGGUUGAUAUGUUGUUCUCCUAGUAGUUCAUCAUUCUUUCCCCGGUUGAGGCCUUCAUGGAUUUUCAUCCUUGAUUUGCAUUAAUGUGAUUGAACCCUGGAUCUCCAGUGAAACCUUUAUUUGGUUCUCGAAUCCCUAACACCUUUAUUUGGUGGUUGCAUAGUCGUGGCAUGAUUUCUCCCGUUGUGAGUUUCUGCAGGCCAGUUGUUGUUUUUUGGUACGUUGGAAUUGGUUUAUUUCUCAAUCUUCAAGAAGAGUCUUGUGACUGUUGUUUUCCUCUUGAGGAAUAUGUUGUUGUUUGUAUCCUAACAUGGCGCUUGAUUUGUCCUGAUGAAUUUUAUUCCCCAGUGAAGUCCCCAUAGAGUUGAUAUUGAAUUGAUAGAAUCCCGAGUAAGUUGUCUGGUUCCCCACUCAGAGUCUUUGUCUCUUGUUGUGAUGUGGAUUCCCCACAGAGUUUCCUCUUCUGAUGAAAGAUCUCCCCAUUCAGGCAGCGUGUGAUUCAGAGCAGUAUUGAUGUAGUCGUUCCCUGUAGGGUUGUCUCCCAUUUGAUAUUGUGUUGAUAUAAAAUUCCCCGCAUCGUUGACUUGUGGAUUUAAAUUUUAUAUAUAUAUCCCUCAGCUUGAAGGUGUGGAUCCUCAACAAAUCUCUCUUAUCCUUAGCAUGUUGGUUGAUGUCCUCAACAAUUCUUUCGUUCCUCAACGAAGUUUCCAAGUUGUAUUUUUCUAUUCUCCUAGAGAGUUUGAGCUUUAAGUAAGAUCUUUUUUAAUCAUUUCUUAUACCCUAGCAGUUGUUCCUCCUCUCCCGAGAGUCGAGUUUUAAAGUUGGAUCUGUUUUGAUCCCCAUGAUUGCUAUUGAUACACACACACACACACACACACACACACACACACACACAACCAUACACACACACACACACACACACACACACACAAGGUGCUAAUAAUCCUUGUGCUACUAAUCUUACUUUGUUUUUAGUAAUAACCCCUUGUUCAUAAGACUUAUUCUUAUACACCCACUUUGUACCUAUGACAUUUACUCCUUCAGGUCUAGGAACCAGUUCCCAUACUUCAUUCCUCUUGAAUUGACCUAACUCCUCCUGCAUGGCAUUGUACCAAAACUCAUCAUUCAAGGCUUCCUUGACAUUAUUAGGUUCAAUCUUGGACACAAAGCAGCCAUGUGAGAUCAUUUCCCUUGAUCUAGUAGUGAUCCCUUUAUUUGGAUCUCCUAUAAUGAGAUCUUUGGGAUGAUCCUUCUGAACUCUGAUGGAGGGUCCCUUGUUGAUUUUGUCAUCUUCAGGUUCAGCUUGAGGAGGUUCACUCUCUUUAUUUUUGUCUGAGAAGUCAGUUGGGAAAUCAUUCAGAGGUGUCUCGACAUCGUCUGUGACAUCAGUCUAUUGGUCAUCAACCACAACAUUGAUAGAUUCCAUCAUUACUUUAGUUCUGGAAUUAAAGAAUUUGUAUGCUCUGCUGUUUGUUGAGUAGCCCAGAAAUAUUCCCUCAUCACUUUUGGGAUUUAUCUUCCUUCUUUGUUCACUUCUAAUUUUGAUAACUUGACUUUCCUUUUCUCUUUGAAGUUUUAGACAAAGAUCUUUGAAGACUUCAAACACAUCAGAUUUGUUUCUGAUAAAGUUGAUCCAGGUGUAUCUGGAGAAGUCAUCCACCACUACAUAUGCAUACUUCUUCCCACCAAGGCUUUCCACCUGCAUGGGUCCCAUCAAAUCCAUAUGGAGAGUUCCAAACCUUUAGAAGUGGUGUCAUGUCUGAGUUUCUGGUGUGACAUCCUUGUCUGACAUUUCCCAUAGACUUUUCUUUCAUCAACCUUCAAGUUGGGAAUUCUUCUAACAGCUUUAACAGAUAUAAUCAUCUUCAUACCUUCAAGAUGAAGAUGACUCAAUCUUUGAUGCCAUGUCUUCACUCCUUCUUCUUUGACUAAGGUACACUUUGAGGAAUAACCAAUUUGAGAAUUCCACAUGUAACAGUUGUCUUUGGACCUGACUCCUUUCAUGAUCACUUCACUUUCUUUGUUAGUAAUCAGACAUUCAGUUUUAGUGAAGUUAACAUUUAGACCUUGGUCACACAGUUGACUGAUGCUAUGUAACAGUUGUCUUUGGACCUGACUCCUUUCAUGAUCACUUCACUUUCUUUGUUAGUAAUCAGACAUUCAGUUUUAGUGAAGUUAACAUUUAGACCUUGGUCACACAGUUGACUGAUGCUUAUUAGCUUUGCAGUUAAGCCCUUCACAAGUAGGACAUUGUAAAGAUCAGGAACUCUAGGGAAGUCAAGCUUACCAAUCCCCUUGAUUUCACCCUUUUCUCCAUCACCAAAGGUUACAUAGCUCGUGGCAUGAGGAUGAAGGCCAGUUAGCAGGUUUUUGUUUCCAGUCAUGUGUCUGGAGCACCCACUGUCAAAAUACCAAUCUUCUUUGGCUGAAACUCUGAAGGAAGUGUGAGAUAUUAGACUUGUAACAUUAGUCUUAGGAACCCAUUGCUUUUUGUUGACAGGACUGUGAUAUUUGGGUUUAGGUUGAUGGUGAGUGUGAUGAUGAACAGGGCUAGGAUAACCAUACAACUUAUAACAGAAGCGCUUUGUGUGGCCAAAUUUUCCACAGUAAUGGCAUCUCCAUCUUUGGUGUUUCCCUUUAUGUUGUCUUCCCUUACGAUGUUGUGACAUAUGAUGUGACAUCUCAGGUUUUCUUUUAAUAUGGCUGCACUUAGGUUUGGAUUUAGGUUUGCCACCAGUGUAACUGCACUCAGGCUUAGAUUCGUUGAACCCAAUGCCAGAUUUGUCUCCUGUUAUUUGUCCAGUCUGGAGAAUCUUGUCUAAGGAGUCAGAUCCAUUGUUUAACAUUCUUACAUACUUGGUCAUCUCUUCCAGUUUAGAAUUCAAGAAAACAGCUUCAGUCUUUAACUUGGAGAUGGUUUCCACAUGUUCUGCCUAAUCUCUUCCAGUUUAGAAUUCAAGAAAACAGCUUCAGUCUUUAACUUGGAGAUGGUUUCCACAUGUUCUGCCUUCUCAUUCUCCAGCUGUGCUAUCACUUUCUUCUGGCUAUCAACUUGUUGACUCUUAUGUAGUUUGGCAUUCAGUAACACUACUUCAGUUUUUAAUUUAGAUAUGGUUUCCAAGUGUUCAACCUUCUCAUUCUCCAAUUGAGUUAUCACCUUCUUCUGGUUUUCAACCUGUUUACACACUUCUGCACUUCUGUGACACAACUUUCUGUAGGUAGUGGCCAACUCUUAAAAGGUUACUUCAUCAUCACUUGAGUCUUCAUCAGAACCCCAUCUUCCAGUCAAGGCAGUCACCAGAUUUGCAGACUCUUCUGUUUCACUUUCAUCAGACCAAGUGGCAGCAAGACUCCUCUUUUGUUUCUUGAGGUAGGUUCCACAUUCAGUUCUAAUGUGUCCAUACCCAUCACGUUCAUGGCACUGAACUCCUUUUCCCUCUUUGGGAUUUUCAUCUGACCUUGUUCUUCUUCCAACAUUGUUGGAUUUACUGAUGUCAGAUGAGAUGUUCUUGACAUUUGCCUUGGAUCUUACAUCCAUCUUUUUGAAAAGUUUGUUGAACUGUCUUCCCAACAUUGCUACAUCAUUUUCCAGGUCUUCAUCAACAUCCUGACCACUUUCCUCCUCUUCCUCCUCAGUGUUUGACAUGAAGGCUAUGCUUUUGGCUUUCUUUUCAGAUCCAUCACACAUUUCCAUCUCAAAUGUUUGGAGGGAACCAAUUAGCUCAUCAAUUCUCAUAUUGGAGAUGUCUUGAGACUCUUCUAUGGUUGUCACCUUCAUAGCAAAUCUCUUAGGGAGUGACCUGAGUAUUUUCCUUACUAAUUUUUCAUCUGACAUCUUCUCUCCCAGAGCUCUUGAGGCAUUAGCAAUUUCAAGGAUACUCAUAUGAAAUUCAUGAACAUUUUCAUCUUCUUUAAUCCUUAAAUUUUCAAACUUGGUGGUGAGCAGCUGCAGUCUAGACAUCUUCACUCUAGAGGUGCCUUCAUGAGUGGUUUUGAGAAUGUCCCAGCAAUCUUUAGCCACCUCACAGUUGUUUAUCAAUCUGAAGAUAUUCUUGUCUACUCCAUUGAAUAUAGCAUUCAAUGCUUUAGAAUUUCAAGGGCUAGAUCAUCCUCCUCCUUGGUCCAUUAUUCUUCAGGCUUUUUACAGUUGUAGCUUCUCCUUCCUUAGCAACUACUGGAUGUUCCCAGCCUAUUAACACAUCCUUCCAAGCCUUAUUAUCCAGAGAUUUUAGAAGGCUACCAUUCGACGGUUUCUAGUAGUCAAAGUUGGAUCCAUCCAAAAUAGGUGGCCUGUGAACAAAUCCUCCAUCUCUCUCCAUAGUACUAGAAAGUAUCGUCCCUAGAUCUCACCAGAACCAGAGCAGGAUGCCUGCUCUGAUACCCAAUUGAAAUUCUGGUAUCAGAUAUGAGAUGUCGAAGGUAAUGUCACGACACUAAUAUCUGAAUAAUACAAACAUGAUAAAGAUAAAGAAUAGUAAUGCAAGAGACACAAGCAAUUGUUAACUCAGUUCGGUGCAACUCACCUACGUCUGGGGGCUACCAAGCUAGGAAGGAAAUCCACUAAAUAGAAUCAGUUCAAAGACUCUCAGUAAACUACACAAGUUAUAGUCUUUUUCACCUAAUCUCUACCCGUAUGAUUUCUACCUAAGAACUCUUAGAUAUGAGAUCCCACUCACUCCCCCUCAAUCACACCAGUGAUAUUAAAUAAGAAUUACUUAUGAAAAGAAGACACUCUUCAAAGACACACACUUGAUCUUACUUAGCAGCUUCAAUCAAGUAGACACCACUCAUGCUUAAAAGCUUAGAGUGACAAAUUACAACUCAAAAAUCAGACCAAUUCAAUCAUCUAUGGAUGAAUUAAAUGGCUUACAAGUCACACAACCACACAAGACUAAAACCCUUAUUCUCUCUCAAUAUUUUGUUCUGUAUUUCUUGUGUAUCAAAUCAGGUUUUCCAUGUCCUUUUUAUAGAAGCAUUCAGCUGGGCUUGGACAUCAUAAAACCCUAAAACUAUUUUCCACUCAUAUCUUCUCAUGACAGUUGAUUAGAUCUCUUUGGAAAACAAGUUUAAUCACGUUGUAAUUACUGAUUGAUAGCGUGUUCAAUUAACUUAUCAAUCAGACUGAAUGUUUUGUGUACAGAUGUCAUGACAUCGGGUCUGACAUCCUGGAACAAUCCUGCAUAAUUCCAUUUUAAAUAUCCAACAGGUACAUUAUAUCAGAUGUCAUGACAUCGGGUAUGACAUCCUGAAACAAUCCUGCAUAUAAUUCCAUUUUAAAUAUCCAACAGGUACAUUAUAUCAGAUGUCAUGACAUCGGGUAUGACAUCCUGAAACAAUCCUGCAUAAUUAUAUUUUAAACCUCCAGCAGGUACAAGAUAUCUUAUGUUAAGGCAUCACAUGUAACAUCUUGUGAACACUCUUUGUUUUACCAAAAUUGCUGCCAACACUUAGAGCCAACAUUUCCCCAGCAGGCUAUUCUUACCCAGUAACCGAUAAUGGAUAUUCCUCAGUUUCCUCUGCGAGUCACCCUUGAUAUGUUUACCUCAACCGGUAACGGAUGUCCCUCUAUUCGAGUGUAUUAUCUUCCUACCAAGUAAUAGGUGGUAGAUAUAUAUCUCUUUUACUCAUGUGUUGAAGUUUUUCUACCUUAGUUGAGUAUGGAUUCGUAUUUCUUUGUGAAAUCGAAUUUCCUUUUGUUUGGGUAUUUCAGCUUCAUUCUAAUUUACGCCUUUCCCCAGUGGUUGUUUCUUGCUGUGUUGGUUUUAUUCCGAUACAUGCAGAUUCUUUUUCCCCAGUCCAAGUCUUUCCAUUGAUUUAUUUUCAUGGAAAUCCCCUCGUGUCUCUAGUAGUCUUUUAAGUCGUAGCCUGGCCUACGUAUAACUUUUAUCCCUAGAGUCUUUGUCCCCUCAAUGAGUUUUCCUUAUGGAAUGCAUUGUGCUCUUGUGGAUUUUCAGUCUCUCUGGAUUCUUUUCCUUUGUGGCAUAUAUCCCCCCGAAAUAUUAUUUUUGCAUUCAUAUCAUAUGCAUCAUGAGGUCUCUCAGGGACAAAAAUUUGUUUCUUGAUCUUGUUAUUUAAGUUCAUUCUAGUGUGUUGAUACAAAGAUUUUAACCUUCACAUCCCUGGAUAGAAUGACCUUAAAUAGAGGCAGUUGUAAGACCCCAAUUUUGACCCCUAAGAUCCCUCAUGCCAUUUCAUAGCAUUGCAUUGGCAUUGGGGUCACAACUUGGUAUCCUUCUCACCUUUCAUUCAUUGGGUUUGCAUUGGGAGAGAUCACCAAGCAUAUUUGAUUGUAUCAUCCUUUAUUUUUGUUUAUUUACUAACCAAAAUACCAAAAAUAUGUCUAGUGUAGCUUUGUUUCUUUUGUAGGUAGUGUGUGUACCCACUUGUGCCUCAUCAAGCUCACAACUAGGGUUUCAUACUGUCGCAUUACGCGAAAAAACCGGCGGGAAAACAAGAACAACAGAGCCGCCACCGUGCGUUAUUUAUCCCAAAAGAGGGAAAGGAAACGCUCAGAGUAAACCUGGAAAGAACAUGGUCUCGCGACUCAGCGACCAAAGAGAAUGGGAUCGGGAGGUCGGUUAUGCGAAGGGAAGGUAUUAGCACCCCUACGCAUCCGUCGUACUCGACGGGAUCCACGCACAAUAGGAAGGAAAAUGGUUGCUAAACACUGCUCAAACUCACACACACUGGCUGAAAGAGACACAGAAAAACAAAGGGACUGACUCGGCAGGACAUCGCAUCCUGGGCCUACUUAGUCUAUCAGGCAUAGACAUCAGAGUCAAAGUAGUUCGGACUGCGGGAACGACACAUGCUUGCUAGGAUGUCGCAUCCUAUGCAUACGUAUCUCCUUGGACGAAGGAGAAUCAGAGCAUUCGUAGCUCGGCUAACACACACACAAACAAACACAGGCAAAGGAAAACGUGGAGCCUGAAUGCCAAUCACUGGACUUACAUCAGCAUCCGAACCAAAACACACACAAAGAGGCAAACGUGGAGCCUGAACGCCAAUCACUGGACUUACAUCAGCAGUCCGAACCAAACAAAACCCACGAUGGAACCCGAAUGCCACUCGAUGGACGUUACAUUCAGCUCCAAGACACAACAAGACAAAACAAAGACACAGGCGCCCGGGAGGAGAUCAGCUCAUCUCCUGCCUACGUACCUCAUCUGGUAUGAGGAUCAGGGUGACGUAGUUCCCCUACAGAGGGAUAAAGGACUAGCCUAACCAGAUAACAGAGGGAGACACAACUAGGGAGACUACGGCUCGAGCCUAGAUGUUAUCAUGCAAAAUCAUCCCUAAGUUAAGGUUUCUAGCUAACUUGCACAGGAAGCAAGCCUAUCCUAAUCAUUGACUUGCACAGGAAGCAAGCCACACCUAACUUGCACAGGAAGCAAGUCAAACUAAACCUAACUUGCACAGGAAGCAAGUCAAACUAAACCUAACUUGCCACAGGAAGCAAGCUAAAGCAAACACACAAGCACAAGUAGCACACACUAUAUGCAAGCAAUGGGCUCAAACAAGGUUAGGUUUUUAGUCGAGGGGUCAUAUCAACCUCAACAAACAACCUCUGGAACUGUGAGUGUUAGCUCUUAACCUUGCCAUUGAGGGGCUAAGGUGAAGCAGAUGAAAGGUGAGUGAAGAUAAGACUUCACAGCUCUUAUCCCUGGCCUGGGAGAGCUUAAGACAAGAAUGUGUGGGUUCAGAAGGUGGAACCCUUCUACACAUUUGAAACUGACUCAACUGUACAAUUGUACAAGAUCUUGGGUUGUAUCUGCAAUGCAUCAACACAGUGGUGUGAGCAAAGCAGAUGACACACAGAAUAACAGGGGAUAGAUUGCAUAUCCCUUGUGUCUGCCAAUGCCUCUUCAUUAGGAGGUCUUUGACUCUGUACAAGGACAAAUGUAAACAGUCACAAACAUUGCCUCUUAAGGAGGACUUCAGACAGUUGCCUGGCCAAGUAACAGGCCAGGUCUUCCAGACUACAUGAAGAUGAGAAGUUAUACCUGAAUGCAAAUUGCUUAUCAAGCAAAGCAAAGCAAAGUUCACAAGGAACUAAAGCAACUAAAAGUACCUGAAACCAGUCAGACAACAUUAGUACACAAGUCAAAGUUAAAUCAAAAGAUGAAACAAGGUCAACAGUCAACACAAGCAGAUAAAUGUGCAAAUGCACAAAGCUCAAGGCAUUGUGAGCCAAGCAACCUACAAAACAAAUAGGUUAUUCAUGAUAAGCAAGCAACUCAAUCAAUUUUAUAUUGGUCUCAUUGUUAAUUGUUUGGUUCAACCUGAAAACAUGAACUCAAAUGUGAGUAGCAGGACCACUGGGCAAGCCUAGGGUCAAAAGGGAAUGAAAACAUUAAAACAGCAAGUGGCAAGCAUCCAAAAUCAUGUUCAAACAAUCAAGAAACAAUACCAAUUGGUUUCACAUUCAUAUCAAUAUAUCAUCAUCAUUUCAUGAACAAGCUAGGUCAAGGUAUUGCCAACAGAAGCUCAUAGAAGUCAACAGCAAAGACUUAGCUCAAAACAAUCUUAAACAUUUCCAAAAAUCACCAAAUAAUCAUGGUCAAUCACAACCCACAUCAUGGUAAGCAUGUCAAAUUUCAUCUCAUUUGGACAAGUGGAAGGCAGUCAAUGAAAAUCAGAAAGGCAAAGCAAUUUUGAACAUGCUCAAAGAAGUCAAACCAACGUGCAUCAACUUGAAAAAAUCAUAAAUCAGGGAUGGCAUAAGAUAAAUGAAUGGGACUAUAACCAUGGCAAAGCUUAGAUGUUAGUAAUCACAUACCAAAUUUCAUGUCCAUCUAAUAAAGUAUGAGCAUUUCACAAAACAAAUGGAGCAAGUUGUCACAAAAAGUCAACGUAGACCAAACAGUGGGACAAAAUCUUAAUCAAUUGGAAAAUGCCAUAAACAAAUCCACAAAAAAUCAUAUGUAAACUAGACAUACUCAAGCUCAAUCAUGCAAAACAAUCCAUUUUGAGGUCAAUAGGCAUGGCUAUGAAAAAUCAUCAAGUGCACAUCAAUUGGUGUGACACAAAUUUUCACACCCUACUUCAAAAAUCAUAACUCACAAUUCAGAUUAGAAAAUUCAUGAUCUUUACACAAAAUCACCAUAGAGAGGUCUAGUUUGUGCACAAAAAAUUUUCAAGGUCAAAGGUUAAAGCAUGACUAUUUCACAAAUGAUUUGGUGGAAUGUGCAAAAUGUGGAUACAUGUUACAAACCAAAUUGCCAAAUAAAAUCCAUUCAUCCACAAAAUCUGGAAAAAAUAUGACAAUUAAGUAAGAGUCAUGAAUGAAAAGAAUGCAAAAAUUCCCAUGAGGAAUUGGACUUAAAAUGAUGGAGAUAUGAGUUUUCAAAGUUAGAGAUCAAAAAUGAAAUUAAAUUGAAAAAUAAACAUGAAAUAAUAGGUCAAAAGGGCCACGGAUGGCAUAAUUGUAAAUAGAGGAUCCACUUAAUCCAAACGCGGUCGUUUGGUACACGGCAGGAAAUAAUUUCAUUGGCUGUUGGCUACAGGACCAUGCCUGCACGUGGGAAGGAAGAAAUCUGGGCAAGGCAAUUGAAUCUUAGGUUUACUAUGAACAGCAUGCAUCUUCAUCUUCCAAAAUCGAUUCAAUCAAAAAUUUUCCCAGGAAUUGCAAUUGGGCACACCCAUCAUGAUCAGUAAACAAUGUACAUGCAUAAUCUACAAGCCCUUUUCAUUUAAAUCCACUUGAACAACACGAAUCACACCAAAACAUAUUUCAUCAACAAACUUUUAAAACAGCAUAUCUCCUAACUAGUCAAACCAAUUCAUGUGAUUCGAAGGCUUAAUGUGAUCAGGGACAAAGAGAUCUACAAGUGCAUAUCAUGAAUUAGAGAAAAAAAAGAGAUCGAGUUUUUACUUGAUUCUUGAAGAAAUUCAGAAGCAGUGGUUGUUUGGUGCUGCAAGCUUGAAACCGAUGUCCUAUGACCCUCCAAGUGAUGAAUGAUGAAGAUGGUUUGGCUUGAAACAACUUGAAAUAGCUUUAACCAAACUUUGCCAUUGAUGGAGCUUUAGCAAACACAGUCCACGAAAUGGCCCUCCAGUUGGUUAUGUGAUGGUUGCAAUAGGCUCACAAUGAUGUUAUAUGAUGAAAACAACAAUGGCCAGCUCGAGUUUCUCUGAGUUUUUGGCAGAAAAUCAAAAAUGAAGAAAUGAGAUUUUGAGAGAGAGAGAGUUUUUCUGUUUUCUAAUGGUGGCUUCUAGGGUUUCUUUCAGAGAGAAAAUGAUGAAUAUAUACUCUGUUUAAUGGUACUAAUCAAGGUUAAUGAAAAAGUGGAAUUGGAGUUGGUAAAAGUGUCCUUUUGCCAAUUUCAAACAAGUUGGUAAUGGGUGUAUGUACUGCACGAAAAUGGGCUCCAACAAGUUUGAACAACAUGUUCAGAAACAUAUUUGAAUGGCAAAAAUGGUUCGGAAAUGAUUAAUUGAAGAUUCACUUUUUCACCUCACUUAAAAUUAAUUCAAGUAGGUUCAAAAAUGCCAUUUUGAUCUAUGAUGUUUUUGGUGAAUGAUGGUGACAUUUUUGGAAAGAGGGGAUCAAAUGUGACUUGUAGGAAAAAAACCCCACCAAAUUGGCCAAAUGGUUUGAGAGAUAUGGCCUUUUGAAAGUUCAAGAAUUUUUGAAAAUGAAUUGAUUCAUAUCUUGCCAACCAUACAUGGGAAUUUGAGAGUUCUUGGAUUUUUGGAAAUGGUGAGACAAGAUUCUUCAACGUUUCAUGUUGGGAAAAAAUUCAUUUGAAGCUUGUAUCAUGAUGUAAGUUUAGGCUCAAGAAGUUUCCAUUUUGGCAAGUUUCAGUUACAGGUCCAGUUUCUAUUUUUGGAAAUUUCUGAUUUGGCUUCCAAAUUCUUCAAUGAUGUGUUUGACAUGAUAUAUGAGGCUAUUUAGACAUGAAUAAGCUCUCUCAACCAAUCCCAUCAUCAAAACAUAAAAUAACGUCACAGUUGACCAGUUUUGAUUUUUAGGGUUUCUGAUUGACUGUGCAUUGUGAUGAUGACUUCUGAUCAUUCCAAUCCUUGACCAAAACACUCCAAAAGGGAUUCCCUAGGUCAUGUGAAACAUGUUGGACCAAUCCUAGGGCCUUGUCUCCUUAAAUUUUACUGCUUGCUUUGACUGACUGGAUCUCCUGACCAGUUUGACCUAAUCUGUCUGAUUUCUUGCACUUGGGGGCAAAGGACAAUUGCAUGCUAUGCGUGACUAUGUUAAAUGUUAAUGACCUAAUAAUGAGAAUGUAUGUACAAGAAGUAGGCUGCAAAUUUGAGGGUGCUACAGCUGCCCCCUAUUCAAUCAGCUGGGGAAACCCGAAACGAUGAGCGUAGCUGAAUCAGGCAGUAACCAGACGGAAGCCGCGGAUAUAAGAAGGUCAUUUCAGACACGCCAUGACACUUAAAGGCCAAACAGUCAUGGUAAACUGGACUUUACGGAUCACUUGCGCAACGAUGCUUGGAACAAACUCUGAGAUGUAUAAAGGAGCGAAACUACUGUUAAAGAAAUUCAUUCCGAUAUCAACCCCUCGACAUUUCAUGCUCUGCACGGAUCCUAUGAUACAAGGAAACACGCAUUAUAUGCGAUAUGAACUGGCAAUUCGAAAUUUCCGAUAGCGAAGAACCAUUACGAUGUUAACGAGAACUGGAUACAAAUUGUAUGUUCGUAAUCAACUCAGCAAGACGUUUACCCGAUUUUGGGAUCUCUGCUGAGGAAAGACACUUCCGAUCGAUGUUUCAGAAGGAACGAACAUUACGUGUUUACCACAUCGAAAUAUGACUUUACCGCAUAUCACUCAAAUACUCAGACCAUUACCGAAUGAGCUGGGGAGAUCCCAGUAUGUUACGCAACGAAAAAUGGGGCAUUUACCUAUCAUGCGGAAAAAUGACAUCAACUUUUACGAUGACUGGCGAGAAUACGUUGCAUUUACCGAUGCGCCACCUAGAACAAAUCUUGUGGUUGUGUAUUAAACAAGACGAUUACCAAGAGACCGGGAUUCAGCGUGGAUAUCAGACAUUUACCGAUGUCUGGCAGAGAAGACCGAUGUUUACACCGACACAUCGAAACAGAUGGAUGUUACCGCACACUCAAAAGCCAAUGACCAGGACAUUACCGAUUAUGGGGAGAACCCGAUGUUUACAGCACGAAACAAUGGUGUUUACCGACACCAACAAUGAUGACCCAGACAUUUACCGAUUGACUGCGGGAGAAUAUAACCCGAUGUUUACAGACACCCGAACAAUGCGUGUUUAACCGCGGACACCAAAAAUGAUGACCAGACAUUUACGAUGACGGGGGAAUACACGAGUGUUUACAGGACACCGAAAAACAAUGCGUGGUUUACCGACACCAAAAAAUGAUGACAGACAAUUUACGAUGACUGGGCAAGGCAAUUACCCGACUGUUUACAGACACGAAAAACCAAUGGUGUUUUUACCGGGACCCCCAACCAAAAAAUGAUGACCAGGACAAUUUUACCGAUGAAACUGGGAAGAAUUUUUAAACCCCCCCCCGGGGGGGGGGGGGGGGGGGGGGGGGGGAAAAUUUUUUUUUUUUUUUUUGGGGGGGGGGUUAUACAAGACCACGGAAAACAAAGGUUUGGUGUUUAAACCGGACAACCAAAAAAAAUUUGAAUUUUUGGGACCCAGGGGACCAUGUUUACCGAUUUUUUGGACUGGGGAGGAAUUUUAAACCCGAUGUUUUUUUACAGGGGGACACCGGGAAAACAAUGGUUUGUUUACCGACACCCAAAAAAUGAUGGACCCAGACAGUUUUACGAUGACUGGGGAGAAUUAUACUCUCUUUUNNNNNNNNNNNNNNNNNNNNNNNNNNNNNNNNNNNNNNNNNNNNNNNNNNNNNNNNNNNNNNNNNNNNNNNNNNNNNNNNNNNNNNNNNNNNNNNNNNNNNNNNNNNNNNNNNNNNNNNNNNNNNNNNNNNNNNNNNNNNNNNNNNNNNNNNNNNNNNNNNNNNNNNNNNNNNNNNNNNNNNNNNNNNNNNNNNNNNNNNNNNNNNNNNNNNNNNNNNNNNNNNNNNNNNNNNNNNNNNNNNNNNNNNNNNNNNNNNNNNNNNNNNNNNNNNNNNNNNNNNNNNNNNNNNNNNNNNNNNNNNNNNNNNNNNNNNNNNNNNNNNNNNNNNNNNNNNNNNNNNNNNNNNNNNNNNNNNNNNNNNNNNNNNNNNNNNNNNNNNNNNNNNNNNNNNNNNNNNNNNNNNNNNNNNNNNNNNNNNNNNNNNNNNNNNNNNNNNNNNNNNNNNNNNNNNNNNNNNNNNNNNNNNNNNNNNNNNNNNNNNNNNNNNNNNNNNNNNNNNNNNNNNNNNNNNNNNNNNNNNNNNNNNNNNNNNNNNNNNNNNNNNNNNNNNNNNNNNNNNNNNNNNNNNNNNNNNNNNNNNNNNNNNNNNNNNNNNNNNNNNNNNNNNNNNNNNNNNNNNNNNNNNNNNNNNNNNNNNNNNNNNNNNNNNNNNNNNNNNNNNNNNNNNNNNNNNNNNNNNNNNNNNNNNNNNNNNNNNNNNNNNNNNNNNNNNNNNNNNNNNNNNNNNNNNNNNNNNNNNNNNNNNNNNNNNNNNNNNNNNNNNNNNNNNNNNNNNNNNNNNNNNNNNNNNNNNNNNNNNNNNNNNNNNNNNNNNNNNNNNNNNNNNNNNNNNNNNNNNNNNNNNNNNNNNNNNNNNNNNNNNNNNNNNNNNNNNNNNNNNNNNNNNNNNNNNNNNNNNNNNNNNNNNNNNNNNNNNNNNNNGAGAUCAAUUUCUGCAUUUGGCUUCAAAUUCUUCAAUGAUGAUGUUUGACAUGAAUAUGAGGCCUAUUUGGACAUGAAUAAGCUCUCUCAAACCAAAUCCAUCAUCAAAACCAUAAAAAUCAGUCACAGUUGACGCAAGUUUGACUUUUUAGGGUUUCUGAUUGACUGUGCAUUGACUGAUGACUCUGAUCAUCACAAUCCUUGACCAAAACACUCCAAAAGGAUCCCUAGGUCAUGUGAACAUGUUGGACCAAUCCUAGUAUCCUAGGGCCUUGUCUCCUUGGAAAUUGUACUUGCUUGCUUGACUGACUGAUCUCCUGACCAGUUUGACCUAAUCUGUCUGAUGAUCUUGCACUUGGGGCAAAGGACAAUGCAAUGUUAUGCAGUGAACUAUGUUAAAUGUUAAUGACCUAAUAAUGAGAAUGUAUGUACAAGAAGUAGGUGCAAAUUUGAGGUGCUACACAUACCCUCAAUGCAAGGGAUCAAGUUAGAAAAGGUCCACAUUAGUUCUAAGCAUCAUAUAUGGAUCCCUAUGUUCUUUAUUUGACAUUUUUAUCAAGAAUUCAUCAAGAGUUUGAAUCUUGUUUGUCAAGGAAGCCCUAAUUCACCUGGGUAUCUUGUGUGCCUUCCUCAACAAUUUUCUUCAACAUUUAGUCAAAUAUAUUAUGGGAUACUUCAUUUGACAUCAUCAUAAGCAUAUUUGAUCCUCCAUGAGCCCCAAAUAGGAAGAGAUCUUCAAGUUUGCAAGUUGGUUCAAGGAGGUUGACCAAAAAAGUCAACUAAUCAAAUAUAGGGUUCCCUAGACCCUAUCUCCUACAAUUUUUAUCAUAUGAAAAUUAUUCCAAGAGAAAAGUUACUCUUUACGACAUUAAAAACAACUUUAAUGUUGGCAUCAAGAGCUAACUUUUCUUGGAAAUUCAUUUUUAAUGUGAAAGAUUAUAGGUCAUUUUCUUUGUGCCCUAGAUAGAAGGUCAACUUCCGAGAACCAUAACUUACUCAAUUUUUAUUAUAUGAAUAUGAUCCAAGUUUCAUGAUCAAUUUCAAGAUAUCUUCUUAAACGUUUCUUCUUUAAGAAAUGUCAAAUUCCACUUUCAAGAGCAUGUGCCAUGAGGAAAGAUUAUAGGUCUAUUUUGGUCUUCAUCAAUGAACAAGCAUUUUUCCUCAACUUCUAAAAUCCAUAACUCUAUAAUGCAAGCUCCAAAUCGUGUCAAAUAUGUGACCAAAUUGAAUAUGAUUGAAACCUUUACAAAUUUUAAGAAGGAACCAAAGUCAUUUGAAGCUCAUAGAAAAAGUUAUUCAAGGUGGAAAAAGGGGUCAUUUUACUUGUAACUUAGAAAAUUUUCUAGUAUGUUUGAUUCCUCCAACUUCAAGGUUAGAAUUCAUCAUGUUCCAAGAUACAAAUGGAAAAAGUACCAACAUCAAAGUUAUUCCUCAUUACAGUAUAUUUCUAAAGAGUCCAAGAUCAUUCCAUUUGGAAAAUAUUUGAAGGGGUUGCGCAUAGCUUCUUUGCAUGGCUCAAUUUUGCAACUUUUGAACUCAAAUGUUGAACACUUUUGCAUGGCUUCAUGUUAUGAUCUCAGUAUCAUUUGCGCACUAAUUUGGACUGAUUGCAAUGAUCAUUUGGGCCUAAACACAUGCCCAUGAACCCAUGCAGAUCAAUUAAUAUUUUUGGGUUCAAAUUUCAAAUGGUGUGGAAAUGAAUUGCAUUGCCUAUAAAUUGAACUCCAUAGGCUCAGAAUGAAGAAUAACCCUUGACCAAGUUGUGCCAAGCAAUCCCAUAUCAAUACUUGAGAGAAUACCUUGAAGAUUUCAUUGAAAUCGAGCUUCUAGUUCAACUUUUAUUUCUGAACUAGAACUCCAAGGAUUCAAAGCCUUUUUUAUUCUAAUCAUCUCCUGCAAGCAAAAGGAAGCAAGGCCAAGUGGAAUUGCAACAAGAUCGAGCCUCAUCACUGCAACCCGAAGGUGAAUUUUCCUGAAUUUCAACUCUUCGAUUCUCUUUCAUUUCCUAAUAUUUUUGCUUGUUUUGUGGUCUCCUAAAGCCCUACCAAUCUAGGCAUUGAUAUUGAAUUGCUUUGAGGUUGAAUGAAGCAACUCAGUUUUGGAACCUCAAUUUUCAACUCCACAUUUCUCAUUAUAGAGUGAGAGUUGGAAAAUUUGGAGGUCAUAUUUGGAAUCCUCACGAUUUUCCUUUUAAAUUAAUGUAUGCUCCAUUUAUUUUGGUGAUAUUUUUGUUGGACUAGUUCGAUGAGUAUGGCCGGAGAAGAUGAUCGGAGUUAGGGCUCCAGUGGUGUGCUGGCUCAGUCCAGACCAUUUGAUCUUGUUUCCACGUUCUAAUCUGGGCACUUGAUUCUGAAUAUCACAUGUACAUGCAUGUUGACUGAUGACCAUGGUGGAUGUUAUGCGCGUGGCCAUCAGAUCUGCCACCUCAAUUAAUGAGGGAAAUCUUAUGGCCCUUAUUUUUUUUGAUUUAAUUAAUUUCCAAUUUAAUUUUUUAAAUAGCAUUUUCUCAUUUAAUUCACUAUAAUUUCAAUUUUAAUCCAAAAACUAUUGGACUUUCACCAAAAUUUCACAAAUAGUUUCAUCUUCCAUUUUCUGAAUUAAAAUUAAUUUUUGGGUUGAGUUUGAUAUUUUUAGUGAAUUUUGUGAUUUUUGACUUGUUUUUAAUUGAUUUUAAAUACUUCUGACUUUCAAAAAUUGAAAAAAAAACAGUCAAAGGUCCUUUGACCUUGUUUGACCUAUGAUAAAUCCCUUGGCCAUUUAUUUGGUGAUUUGAAGGGAUUUGAGGUUUUUCCCCUUUUAAAAUGUAUUUUCUUCAUUUAAAAAUUGAUUUAAAUUGUUUUAAUUGCUUUAAUAUUUUGUUGAGCUAUUUUAUUUGACUUUGUGUUGACUCAACUUCAGUUUGGCCUUGAUCUUGGUUGAAUUGUACAUUAAUUUGAUCAAUAUCAUUGGAUUUAGGGGGUUGAUGAAGUUUGAACUCCAUCCCUCCAAAUUAAUGGAUGGUAUUGAUUAAGUGAGGUUCAUCCCUUGAUCAAUUUGGGAUCUCUUUCACCUCAUAUCUUCAUACUUAUGAGUGGAUGGUUGUGUGUUCUCCAAAAAAUGACUUAAAAACAAUCUUUUCUUCUUCCACUAACAUUCACUAACAUCUUUUUAUUGUUGACUUUAUUGUUAAUGUCAUUUACUUUAAUGCAAUUUAAAUUCUUGGACUUUAUCAUUCAUUGUCAUUUACAUUCAUACAAGUUGUUUAUAUUUCAGUCAUUUUCACUUUGCUCACUUGAGCCAUAUUUUGUGCUUAUAUUAUAUUGUGUUCUUGUGAUCUUGUUUUGUUUAUGGUCUUAGGACCUUAAAACACUUAAUAAACAAUAAAAACCCUAAAAAAAAUACAUUGGUGGACUGUUGGACCUCUGUCUGUGACAUGAUCUAAACUUUUGGACUUAGAGUAGGCAACAUCCCUCUGCUUUGGAAGGACUUGGCCAAUGCCAUUAAUCUGAGAUCUUAUCUUGGCCAAUGUCAUUCAUCUGAUACAAGCCUUGAGAGACUCCUUUGGUUUAUCUUUUAUACACUUUGUCUUUGUGCUUAAGUUGUUAUUUUGAUCUUAUUGUUUCUAUCUGAUGCUUUCUCUUUGAGUAUGUUUCAAGGGAUAUUUCAUAUGAUACAUCUAAAGGACAUUGAAGACUGCUUGCUUUGGAGUGCUUACUUGGAUGUUUGGUUAUCUUUAUUUGAUGCCAUUGGUCUUCUUAUCAAUUGCUUGGAUGAUUAUGAUUGUUGCUUUCUUGACAAUCCAAAGGAAAUGGAUUUCUAUCUGACACUAUUGUCUUGUGGAUACUUCCCAUUGAUUAGAUUUUUUCAACUCUAAAAUUUUAAAUCUUGUCUAGGAUAGUCUCUUCAUCUCCUUCUACUUCUUUAAUUUCAAAAUCUCUCCCUCACUUUCAAAAACUUCUUUGCUUUUUUUUUACAACUUAGACUUGUUUUAAUGAGUAGAAACCUUGGCCUUGUGCCAUUGAUUUUCAAAAGAUUUUUCUUAAGCAAACUUGUAAUUGAACUUAAUCAUAUUGACUUUAUAUUCAAAAUAAGACAAAAAAAAAGAACUUGCAACCUCAUCUAAUCCUUUUGGCCAUUUUAUGCAUUUUGCUUUUAAACUUUUCAAAAGAGAGCAUUUAGAUUUGAGUUAUCUUUGGUUGAGAUAUAAUUUUCCCAUUCCAUGAUAUAUUGAGUGUAUGUCUUUCCAUUUAUUAGGGGUUAGUGGCAUACUUAAUGAUUGAAUCCAAGGUGGGUCCCUCCCUCUUAAAUGUUGUAAAGCCCUCAUUAUCUAUGGAUGUUUGAUUUAGUAUUCUCCCGUUGAUAACAAAAGAUCUUUAAGCUUUUAUUAAAUUCAAUCAACCCAUCUUUGAAAUUUUUACCACGAACUACGAGGUUUUGAUCCCUCAUUUUAUGUUGGUACGUAGGCAUAAGACCGAAGGUCUUGUCAAACACAAAAAUUGUAAAUAAUUAAUUCAUUUCUCAUCCCAUCAUUCUAUUUGUUAGCAAACAUCUUUUUCAACUAAAACACUUGCACACAAAAAGGGCUCCUUAUGAGUACCUAGGACACUUUGGGUGCUAAUACCUUCACUCUGUGUAACCAACCCCCUUACCUGUAAUCUCUGAUAUUUUAUUAGUUUUGAUUUGAAAACUUCUAAUCUUUGGGUUUUUUUCGUACUUUUCCCUUUUCCUUUGGAAACAAUAAAAUCACGGUGACGACUCUAGUCUUAUUGAUGUUGAGCUAACCAAUAGCUCAGUGGUCAUGAAUUUACUUCUACACAAAGCAGUUAAACUCCCUUUUUAAAACUGAAAGAUAAACUCUUGUACCAUAUGAUGAGGCAACAAAAGUUGAAUGUAAGCUAGCUAUCUUGACUGAAUAGUAGUAGCAUGACUGGUAACAUGAGUAUAACACAACACACACACACACACACGCACGAUUGAUACCAGGGCUAAGUUGUGUCAAUUUUGAAAACAUUCCUCUGAGAUGAGUUAUGAUAGUAACGGUGGUUAUUGGAUGAUUUAAUUUAUGUGUUGUUAACUAUCGCAUCACCUGAGGGCAAGUAAUGAUUCAAGUUUGGGGGUGUCAUAACCCACAUUUUGUGAGUUAUUAUACAAUCUAAUCUCUUGUUUAACACUAGUAGAAUUAUCAUUUUAUUUAUGUUUUAAUGCAUCAUAGAUGGUUCUGUAGUUUUUAGCUUGGAGCAUAAUAGGUGCUCUCUUUUGUAGUGUUAAUGUGCUUGUUGCUUGUUUUAGUAAUAUUCUGAUGAGAUGAGGCAAGACAAUUGAGGGCAUGACCUGGGAGUUCAAGAUGGAAAAAAAUGAAGUCAGUUAAGAGAUGAAAUGAAAAACCAUCUGAAUCCCUAUGGCAUACAUGGAUAAGGAGUUGCAUUGGGAAGGAAUAUUUGUCAGUGUGUUGGUAGAGCACCCUCAAGCUAAGUGGAUAAGACUAAUGGCGUUAGAAGACAAAAAAGGUACAAUAGUACAUCCUUAAAAGAGUGUGUCAUGCAGAUAGGACAACACUGUCAGCACCUCUGAUAUAGCAGAUUACCAUGCUACACCUUGUCCCCAACUACUGCCUUUGUACCUUAUUCCUUGUACACAAAGUUGAAGGAAGUAAGGGACUGUUCUGAUUUGAUAUUUGGGCUUGAUGUGAUCCUACAAAGGCCCAUGAUCUAAGAGAAGAGAGAAAGAAACCAUAGUUGUAGGAUAUAAAUAUGCAAUAUUGAAGAGUUGAUAGAGAGUUCAACACUUUAGAGAAAAACAAAGUGAAUAUUGUUGUAAGAAAGAAUGGAGAGAAAAGAGAGUUUCUUAUUCUCAUCCCUUAUAGUGGUGACAGUUGAAGCCUGACACGACUGAAGUCAUCACUUGCUAGUUAUCCACAAUGAGGAAGCUUCACGUUACUUUUAGGUUUCUAUUUAUUUUUUAUCUCUUGUUAAGAAUGUUUUCUUUAAGAACCAGUUUUGUAAGUUGUACACAGCUAAUCAUGAACUAAACCUUUUAUUUACUGAGCAAUGAGAAAUUAAUUUGAAGUUGGUUUUAUGUUAAAAUGAUGUGUUGUUUAGUGACUUGUUUUAUUAUGUGGUAACAUAUUUAAAUCUAUUUUUUUGAAUUAUCAACUUAGGAAACUAUAAAAGUUUGUUGUUGUGAGAGAUCCAACAACAAGUGGUUGCAUAAUAAAAGUAGUUGCACGAGUAGUAUAGAGAUAUUCACUCACUUAGUUUUCUUAGAGAUAAGAAACUACAACUAUAAAUUAAUUUUAGGAGACAAGAAGACGUAUCCUAGGGUUAUAAGUGAGACUUAGAGACUUGUUCCCUUGCACUUGUAUGCAUGCUUUUGAGGUUGUAGAAAUACACUCCUAGAUCACUCACGGGCAUUUUCUGGCACGACACUUCAUAUCAUAUACACAUAAUUAAUUAAUACAUAUUAAUGAAUCACAACUCAACAUACACUCUCUUGAUAUAUUCACAACCCUCUCUCGCAAUAUUAAUUUACUGAUUUGAGAAACACUAAACUUGUGACAACCUAUUAUUAUUUUUACUCUUGCUCAUGCUUAAUAUCUAUAGAUAGUUGCUUAUAAAAUUAACCUAAGUUACUUCCACUCCCUGUGGGUAAAAUAUCCUUACUUUUUUUAUCACUUGCUACUUAUAACGAACAUGUAUACUUGCAUGUAACACAAUUUCAGUUAAAAGUUUGAAUGUGUUUGACUGUUUUUAGGGUUGUAAGACGAGUAUUUGGACUUGCAAGCUAUUACGGCUUAGGUCUAAUACUCGAGACUAUGAUUGGAUAUUACACCCAAGUAGUCUUUUUAAUUCAUUUUUGUUGUGAAAAGGUUUUAAAUAUUUACAAGUGUUUUAAGUGGAAGACGAAUACUUGGACUUGCAAGCUAUUUGCUGAACUCAGAUCAUAAGUUCUGAUACUAACCUGUAAUGUCCCAAGUAGCCUUUUUCUUCCAAUUUAUUGUGAAAAUAAUUCAAUUUCUAAGAUAAAAAUAAUUAUUUAACUUAAUGUUUAUUUUUGUGACAACAUCAAAAAUAAUUCGAGAAAAAAAUAAAAAAUAUCAUGCAUAUAAAAAUAAUAGAGAAAUAGAAAUAAAAAUGGGCUACAAAAAUAAGAAUCACAAAAGAUUGGCCCAAGGCCCAAAUAUACACUAACCCUAAUUAUAUAACAAAAAAAUAAUAAAUGGACAAAGCUAUAACAUGGGGAAGUCACCCCAUUCAAAAUUAUGAUUUAUAUUUUAGAAAAAAUGUAUGUUAACUUAAUUAAUAUAAUUAACUAGAUGUUGACUUUUUCAAAAUAAAAAAAACAAAUUCAUAGCCAAAUGAAAAAAAAUCUCUUCAUUCACGUUAAAACCCAAUUGAGUAGAAACCAAGAUUUAGCUCUCUUGUUAAAAGAAAAACCGAAAAAAAAAAACUCACAUUCUCCCUUUCAUGAAACAACAACUAUCAACAUCAAAUAACAUUUUCAAUUUUAGAAAAUUUGGCAAAAAUGAAACAGAAUAAAAAAUCAGUCGAAGCAAAAUAUAAAAGGAAUCAAAUAACAUUUUCAAUUUUAGAAAAUUUGGCAAAAAUGAAACAGAAUAAAAAAUCAGUCGAAGCAAAAUAUAAAAGGGAAAAGAUGCCGACCAACUAUUUGACAUGAUGGUUGAUUCAAUGGUUUCUCAAAUUUGUUGCGUAUGUAGCAAUUUUUUAUGAUGGUGUGGCAACCGAGGGACGUGAUUCUAAUAGCAGUAUGUGGUUAUGGCUUCGCAAAAAAUAGAGCAACUUUGUGUGCGUUUGGUUUCUAUUUUCAAUCUGAGCUAUUGUUGUUUUCGACUUUGUGGAGAGUCUCUUCUCACUCUCUAUUUCAUUUUAUGUUCAUAUUUGUUUCUUGGUUUAUGUUUAUAUGUUGUGAUAAUGGCGAAGGUGUGAAUUCGGUUGAAGGUAAGGUUUGUUGAUCGAAUGGUUGUUGUUAUGGAGUUUUACAUGUAGAGAUGUAAUGAUUAAGUGUUUUUUUAUAGUGGUUAUAAGGGUAUUGUAGCAAGUUGUGUAAGUGUGUUUAUGGUGUGUUACUGGUUUUUGUUGUGAAGGAGAAGAGUGUUUGAGGUGUUUAUAAGGUUUAUGUAGGGAGUGUGUUUGGAGUGACUAUGAGGUUAUAUGGUGUUGAUUCUGUUUUGUGUAAAUGAGGAUGGUGUAGUAAUGAAGUUUGGGGGAUGGAAGAAGGAAGAAGGUGGGGGAAGUUCACGCAUGAACAAUGAGGUGGAAGGAAUUUAUUGUUGUGCAUGAAGUGAAAAAGGCGCUAACAUUUUUAACUACAUGAUGACAUUAAUGGUGUAAGUUGAAUAAGGAAGGUUUAUGUUGGUUAGAAUGUUUGUGAAAAUAAGAGUAUGAUGUGAGUUGCAUGAAAGAAAAAAAUAUGACGGUCUCUUGGUGUGAAAAUGAGCUUAGUGAAGAUAAGAGUGGCUAGAAGUCAUGUUUUUCUUUCUAAAGCUCUUUCUUAGUUUUCCUUUUCAAAUUUUUUCCAUGCUCAGUUUCAAGAAUUCAAUGGGGCGACUGUUAUUGGUUAGUUUCCCAUUUUCUUCCAUUGGUCACUAUCACUAUUUAUAUUGCAAACCAGGGCUACAAUUUUAAUUAAAAUCCCUAAAACACCUUAGAUAUUUCCUCUAGAUAUUUUUGUGAUUAAAAUGAGUUUAAACAAUUAAAUGAAACAAAAUUCUAAUAAAAAUCAAAUGACUAUGUAUUUAUCUCUAUUUAUUUUUUCUUAAUAUUUUGACUAAAAAAUAAAAAUAAAAGAAAUUAAAAUGAAUAAAAAGGAGGCACAAAAAUGCGUAAAAAAAUAAAAUGAACGCGUUAAAAUGAUCUACAUGAAAUAAAGUUUUAUAAACUGGAUAGAUGCGGAUCAAAUCUCGCAGUAAAAAGUACCAGGUUAAAAAGGCUUACGUUGAUCAAAAUGUGACCUUCCAAAGAGUCAAAAAAUUUAAGCGAACUCGUUGGGCUAAAUCAUGCGAGUCGUAGAUCAAUAAAAUAGACAGCUGCAGGCCAGAUCUCGAAAUUUUUGCCCGCUAAUUUUACACGCAUUUGAAGAUUGAUUUAACGGGUUUGUCUAUAGAACCGGAGUUUUAUUCUGGUAGACUUUUUAAGCUUUAUGCUUACAUGAAUGCAGGUUAUGAUAGGAAGCUGAUGAAAAUAGCAUAAUGAAUGAAUGAAUUUAUUGAACUAAGGGAAAAAUUGGGGUAUGAUAGAUAGGAAGACAUAAACAUAACUAAGCAAGCUACUCCGAAUCAUCAUCAUCAUCAUUUCUGAACACCCCAAAGGGCAUGUGAGAUCAAAUUUUAGUGAACAUUUAGCCUAGAGCAUUCAUUUUUUAUCAUCAUUUUUAUGCCUCUUCAUCAUCUUUUUGAGGAGAGCUUCAAAUGGAUUAGUUAUUGGAAUUUCAAAAUCAAAAUCUUCUUUGAUAUCUAUUCCCAUUUGGUUUAACGUGCUAUUUCCUAUCCUAGUGUAUUUUUGGUUUGCUUCCUCUCCCUCAAAGUUGAAUUCGAUGUGUUCCAAAAAAAUUGUUACCAACCCACCAUAUGGUCAUCCCAUAUCCAUAGCCUUGAUGUCAAUCAUGCGAACUAUUACAAUUCUAUCCCAAUUUGUUUCCAAUCUAUUUGUAAUUUUCUAGAUCGCGGUGACCUUGAUCUUAUAUAAUUUCCCAAAAUUAUGUUUCUUUUGAGCAAGGAUAUGUGAGACCACAUGAUGUGUACGAUGAAUAUUAGGUAAUACUUCCAUCACGUUAAAAGCGGUACAGAUGAUAGAAUCAGGAUCAAGAAGGAAAUAAAUAGUAGCAGGAAAAUAAUAAUAUUUGAUACCUUCAAUUUUUCGUUAUGAGGAAGGGAGAUUGCAGAUCUUAGUGAGUUCUUGAAGGGUCAUAUAUAUUUAGUGCUUCUUUACUUUGCUAGUGAUGAUUCCUCCAACAUAUCUUAGGUUAGAGUAAAACAUAAUCAAGUAUGCUUGAUACACUUCAUAUGGGACAUUACAGAUGAAACUCUUGAAAUAUGCAUCUUCAAACCACUUUAGAAAAUCACAAUCCUUGAAAAUGUCUCUAUCAUGUGAUAAUAUUUGAAGAUCUUCCUUCUUUCAAAAUCUCGGUUGAACCAAGCCUCUUGCUCUUUAGACGAAAAUAUUUAUAAGGAGUAACCAAAAUUUGAAGACUUUUCAGAGUUUUUAUUCUCUUGGGAGCCAUUGAUGAUGAUGAUAAUUACAAGAGAAAAAUCAUACAUAAGAAGAAAAAUUCAAGAGAGGGAUGAAAAAUGAGGGAUGAGGUGAUACUUGUUUAUAUUAAUUGGAUUUAAUUGAUUAUUUUUCCUUAAUAAUUGAUUACGGAAUUAGUUCAGUGAUUCCCUUAUGAUUUAAUUGUGGGCGGCACGCUCUGAUCAAUGAAAUAAUUGAUUAUUCUCUAUGUCUAAUCGAUUAUGGGGAACAAAAAUUUGAAUUUUGAAUUUCAAUUUUCCCUAGUCGACUAUGCCUUAUGUAUAAGAAAUUAUUAAUUAUUUUUUAGCUUCUCUUGUUCCUUUUGGGUCUUGGUUUGACAUUGAGCCUUGGAAAACUUCUUUUGUCACCUUUUUGCUUUCAAUUUGCAUCCAUUUUCUUGAGAAACAUCUUACACUCCACUGAAAUGUUAGUAGGGAUAAUUUUAAAUGACUAGACAUGUAAGAAACCACUUUAUAAAGGAUCAAUCAAAGUUUUCCAAAUUUUUAACCUAUAUUUAGUGUACUACCUCAAAACCUCAAGAAACCUUGAGAAAAACUCCCUAUCAAGAGGGUCGACAAACAAACAUGAAAAGUCCAUCUCUUUGGAUUAGUAAAUACGAGAUCUCGAAAAAUAUAAACUAAUAUAGUUACCAAUAAUUGUUGGAUCCAAAAUCAUUUGGACUAAUAAGACUAUUGAGAACCACCUUCAAUACCAACAAACAACUAGGUAUAAAAUAACUUGUUGAACACCACCGUCGAUGCUAACACACUGUUAAGCAUUACCAUAAAUGCUAGUAACAUGAACGAGCACCACCAUCAAUGAUUUAACAAAAAAGUAAUGAACAUCACCAUUAAUUCUUGUUGAUCACUACCAUUAAUGCUAACAAAACAUAUUAUUGAGCCUUAUCACUGAUGCUAACAACAAACACCACUAAGAUAACCAUAGACCAACAAACUUCUUUGUAUAUGCUUUUAAAAAUGUUAUCGAACUUUUCCAAUGAGUCUCUUGAAAGUUGCAAAGAACUUCCUACAAAACAGAAUUAGAUUUUCACCUUUGGUACCGAAAUCUUUUUGAGUCAGGGUGCAUUAGUGGCUCUAAGAGGUCUAGAGUUAUUCCCUUUAUACCAUCUUAGUUUAUCAUAGAAAAAAGGAUCUAAAUGACCAUAUUUAUUACAAAAAUAGCAUUCAUAAACAAGUUAUUUCAAUUUCUUUUGUUUUUAGUUAUCUUAACAAAUGAUCUAUCUAGGUUAAAUCUUACUCCAUUUUUAUCAUAGUAGUGAUUUUUUUAUAGGAUUAAAUCAAGAUUUUAUUUCCCCUUGAUAAAUUUACUUAUUGUUUAAUACAAAUCUUCUAGAGAAUACAUGGUGCAUGAAUCACAUUUAGCUUAUUUUAAGGAUUCGUCUCUUAUGCUAGAAAUUCAUCACAAAGAAUCUUAUUGAUAUUUUCCAAGAAUUCGGCAUAAUCCUUAAGAUCAUUAAUUUUCUUCUCUAGCUUCUCAAUUUCCUUAGAAAUCUUAACACCGAGCUUAACAAAAUGAUUAUGAGAUAGAAAAGUUACCUCAGAGUCAUCUUCCUUUAAAGCAUUAAUGCAUACGUGAUCAGUUUCACUCUUUUUGUCUAAUGAAACACCAACAUUUUAGAGGUUUAGUAUAAUGAAGUGACCUACUCCUCUCCCCAAGAAUUAUUUCUUAAGAUUUUCCAUUAUCUUAUGAGCUCUUAAUAGGAUAUGCCCACGAAACUCCUUAUGCAAGGAUUGGAGUUUUACAACGGCUAACUUCCCAACCAAAAUGGCGUUUUAACUACAAAAACAUCCAUAAUCAAUUGAGAGAUUUUUGACAGUAGACUAAGCUUACAAACCAAUUGAGAGUUUUUAACAUAUGGAUAAGCUCCCAAACUAACUGAGAGUUUUAAGUACAAAGACCUCCCAAACCAAACAGAGCUUUUACUUGGUUUAUCACAACAACCAAAUGAGAUAUUUUUACUUGGUUUAGAUUACAACCAAAAAAGCUUUCUCCCAAUGAGAAAUUACAAUUAUGCUUUUAACCUAGACCAGACUACCUCACAGAUAAAAAGAUUUCACUCUCAAAAGCACUAAGGAAAAUAUGAGAAAAUAAAAGAGAAAGAAGAGAGUUAGAGAAAGGUAUCUCAAAUAUAUUUUCUAGUGUGUUCAAAAUGAGCCUUCUAUUUAUAGGACAAAAGGUGGCUAAAAGAUAGAAAUAAUCCAUAUACUUUUCAAUGUUGAUAAUUGAUUAUGCACAUUCAAUAAUCGAUUAUCAAACCCAAAAAUCAAAGGUUUUAAAUAAUCCAUAUACUUUUCAAUGUUGAUAAUUGAUUAUGCACAUUCAAUAAUCGAUUAUCAAACCCAAAAAUCAAAGGUUUUGAUUCUAAGUUGUUUCCAUCCAAUCAUUAAGGGACUUCUACAACAAUUGACAUUUUCCAUCAUUGUUCAUCCUCAUAUCAGAUUCUUCAUAAAUAUUGUAUGCUUUAGAAGUAUAACAUUGCUUUGCACAAUUUCAUUAAUAAUCUUCAAAUUUCUGACUUGUAAAGCAUACCUACAAAACACUAAGGUUUCACCUUCAGUGCCCAUAAUUUAUUAGGCCAAAAUGAAAUAUUCCGAGAAGAUCUAAGGUGGUUGGUUACCUUUAGAUCUUUGCAAUUUACCAAAACAAAAAAAGGUUCUAAACGUCCUAUUCUCUUACAUUGUGUGCACUUAUAAACCUGACACCUCUUUUCCUUAUGAUCUAUACCUUUCCUAGGUUUUUUAUCCUUUUAUAUCCUAGGCAAAUUUUUUUUAUGAAGAAUAUUUGACAUGAUAAUAUCAGGUCAACCUUUUCUUUCCCUUGGGUAAACUUUCCUAGAGUUUCGCGAAGAUCAUAUACUUGUUCUACAAGUGAGUCACAAUGCUUACAUUCUCCUUUGGAAUUUCUAAGCUUCGUUAUUUGUAUCUUAAAUGAUUCAUUUAUUUAUUUGAGAUGUAUUAGAGAUUCCUUAAAACCUAGGAUGCAUUCCCUUAUUUAUAAUUUCCUUCCACUAAUUGACCUGUCAUUAUAGACAUUUGAUCAUAAGAUGGUUGAUACCUAGAAUAUUAUUUUCCUUGUAGGAUUUCUUUAAGCAUAAUUCAUCUUCUUUGUUGGAAGUUGAUCCUUUCACAUUUCUCCCUGAGGUUAAUGUCUCUCCUCCUUCUCUUUGUUCAGGUAUUAAAUAAAUUAUUCUUAUUCUUCUUUGUCGUUCCUUGAACUAAAGGGUCCUUCAUUGGAUGUUGAAUCUUUUAAGGAUCAUUCAACAAUUGAGUAUUUUAUUUCGAAUGAAUCUACCGGAGUUGUAUGAUAGGAGUAUGGAAGUUAAUGAUUCUUUGGUUUUUGCUUCUUCAACUUUGAAUAGUUGAACUAGUUUGUUUAACUUCUAUAUAAUUUCCAUACUUUUUGAUGUUUCCUGAAAUUCAUGAAGGCUCCCAUCUUUUGAUUUAAUAUUUGGAUUAAUCUUCCAAUUCCAAACUCUUAGAUAUUUGUUAUUGAUACAAUUGCCAACAUACUUCCCAAUACUCAUAUGCUUUGAAAAACAUUUGAGAGUGAUAUCUUCAUCUUCUUCGCCUCGUGUUUUCUUCUUCUCUUGUUAGAUACUUGGAAGAGCUACAUAUAUCAUUUCAAGAGUAUCCCACGUUUUCUUAGUGGUUUUAAAAUGAUGAACAUAAUAAAUUUUACUAUCAUCUAGAGACAUUGUUAUAAAGUUCUUGGUUUUAAAAUCUAUGUCAAGUUUUCUCUUUUUCUCUUUUAUCCAAAGGGAGUUGGGUUUAUCUACUACUUCAUCAUUUACUUGAUGAAUGAGGAUAAACAGACCAUUGAUUAAUGUUUUUCACAAUUAACGAAUUAUACUUUGAAGAAAAGUUUUAAACCUAGAUUGCCAAAUAUUAAAUUUUCUAUCAUUAAAAAGGGUUGGUGUGUUUAUAAAAGGUUUCUUGUCAGAAGUCGUCUUCCUCCUGAGAUGAUUAGUCCUUAAACAAGAGUUAGACUUUGAUGCCAAUUGUUGGACAUGUGACUUCAUACACAAGAGGGGGCUGAAUUGCGUAGUUCAGAAAAACUUCGUUUUGUAAAACGUUUUGGAAUGUAGUCCGAGUUUAAAAACAUUUUGAAAAUGUUAAAAUGUUUAAGCAACGAAAAAUAAUUGCAGAAAGUAAAUAGCAUAAAAUAAAAAGUUAAUGGAAAGAAAGAAAACCAAAAAAUUUAGAGGUAUUGUCAAUUCAAGAAAGCAACCUACUCAUCUUCUAAAGAAUUGAUCUUAAGAAUGUCCAAUAAACUUUGAGAGUUUUUAAUAGGUAAUGCUCGCGAACCCCCUUAUAUCAGGAAAAUGGUUGACUUCCAAUAAGAACAACAAGACUCUGGAAUUCAGUAGUUUAAGACUUCUCUUCCAAACAGUGGAUUGAAGCGGUUAGUCUUCUUUUCUCAAACGGUAGAUCGAAAGGGUUAGUCUUCUUUCCACAACAACCUUUGAGCAGUUACUCUUGAAGCUUCUAAAUGAUCUUUGUAAGAUUUUACCAAAGGUUGAGGUCACAAAGCUUAAACCUUAUUUUACACGGGCUAACCAAUAACCUAGGAUAUUUUAAUACCAGGCCAAUCUCGAACCUUAUCCAAGAUUUUAAUAUUAGGCUAAUCUCGAACCCAACCUUGGUUUUACCACAGGCUAACCAAGCACCUAUGAGAUUUUACCAAGGGAUAAUAUCGAACCUAUCAAGCUUUUAAUCACAGACUGAGCUUGAACCUAAACAAAGUCUUGAUCACACAAUCCCAAACCAAGAGCUUUUACAGGUUUAGCUUCUAACCCAAACAAUAGAACUUUCUUAGAGAAGCAUUUUGGCUAAAAUAUUAGUGAGAGAAAGUAAAACAAUUUUUUUAAAGAGAGAGAGAAAUGUUAAAACACGAUUCUAGAUUGUUUGAAAUGAUGGAAUGGGCCUCUAUUUAUAGGCUAGAGGUUGGCUCAAAAAGAGAAUUAAUUUUAAUGCCUUUUUAGACAAUCUAAUUGAUUAGAACCAAAUGCUGAUCUAUUAGCCACUCAAAAGGUAAUAGAUUACCAGCUCAAAAUAGGAAGAAAAAUAUAUUUAGUUGUUGUACCUAAUUAAGAUGUUUUCGUAAUUGUUUAGAGCUUAAUUUUGAACUAAUCUAAUCGAUUAGACAAGUGUUCUAUGUACCUAAUUAAGAUGUUUUCGUAAUUGUUUAGAGCUUAAUUUUGAACUAAUCUAAUCGAUUAGACAAGUGUUCUAAUCGAUUAGAAAAGGCAAAACUUUGCCCGCACCAAUUUUGAUUGCUCUCAGUUCAUCUGGAACAAUUUCAAGACAUUUUUGAAUACAUUUUCUUGAUAAAAAUCAUUUUGAAAAUACAUUUUAAUGUGUGUGUGUGUGUGUGUUUGUGUGUGUGUGUUUUAGCCAUGUACUUUUACGAGAAUGCCAUUUUUCUUUACACAAUAUUCACUCAGAUUAAGGUAGGACUUCCUUCCACUUCAAGACUUUCUUAGAUGCUUUCUUUUAUACACACUUGCUCUAGUUUAUAUGAGAUGAAGCUUGAGCUUAUAUUCCAUUUGGUUGCCAUCUUCGAAUAGUUAAGUCCAUCAAACCCUAAUACUCAGGUUUGCAUCUUUAUCAGUCUAAUCACUUAUGCUUGACUUAUUAGAGGACAUUUGAGUAAUUAUCAAUAAGUUUUCGUUAUCAAACGUUCAACAAAAGUUUAUGUCCUUGUUAAAAGUAGAUCACCUGCAAAAUAAUGUUCUACACGCCUUCCUCAAUAAGGCCGAUUCUUUGGUCUUCUAUAUUUACUAGGUUUGAACUAUUAGGAUGCAAAGGGUGAAAUUCACUUUUUAAAUUGGGGGAGUGUGACAAUGAUUAAAGAAUUCUCCUAAUUCUCUAAAACGUAUCUCAACAUGUCACUAAUGUAAAAUGACCAAAUUAGGUAUGCUGAGAGCUUACCCGUGUUGAGCUUGACAUUGCCCAUGUUGGGUUUGAGCUUACUUGUUUUCUUUUGAAUACUCUCUAGGAUCGUAGCAGGUUCUAAUCCUAAAGGUCCAAGUCCAAAUGGUUCCGAAUGGACCAGGACCCUUACGAAUAUAUUGUAACAAUACUCAUUUGGUAGAUUAGGAUUUUUUACACAUAUUGUAGAUGUUUGGAUUAUUGCACUAACCGAGUUGAAAUUCGAACUCCAAUAUCUUUUUAUAAGGUAGUGAUCAUAAAUGAGACGUGGUCCAUCCUCUAGAGCUUUAGUGUAAUCUUAUUCACUUGUAAAAUAAACUAGAAAAUAGUCUUUUUUUUCAAAUCUAUAAUACUAAUGACUCAUUCCUCACCCAAAUCUAUUUCAAAUGUAUCUUCAAAGCUUUGCAUCCAAUACACUUCCUUAUAAGCUUAACAAUAACCCUUUUCUCCAAAGGGCAAUUGAAUCUUAAAUCUUCUCUUGAAGAUAAUAAUAAGGAAAGACUAUCAUAUAUUUAGGUUUAUUUCUAUUAUCAAGAUCCUCAUUCUUCUGAUUUUAGUGUUAAUUUAUAUCUUCAUUAUUCUAAAAGUUGAAUCUUGCUAGUAUGUAGUAACUUUUAGGUUAAAAAUAACUCAUAAACAAUUCAAAUUAACAAGAGAAGGGGAUAUGGUAGAAAAUUAAUAUAUUAAAAAAAUCACAACAACAAUUUAUUAUUGAACCAAAUCAAAUUCAAAAUAAAACAACUAUGUAAUCAAAUAAAGAACCAUAUCAAGGUUAAUUGCACAAGGUGAUCGAAGAACAUAUCAAGUUUCCAAACUAGUUAUUGUCAUACCAAGUCUGUCCUUGAAGAUAAUCAAUGAUACUCUUAUCAACUUGAAAA